rnacentral:lncRNA from 1 species
UUUUUUUUACAACCUAUACGAAACGGACGUUAAAUAUUAACGGUGAUUUAAAAUUAACCAUGGUUACCUAUACGAAACGGACGUUAAAUAUUAACGGUGAUUUAAAAUUAACCAUGGUUAAAAGUUAACCACCCCUUCAAAAACAAUGAAAACCCUUUUAUUGAAAAAAUCCUCAAUAUUAUCACAAACCCCAAAUCGGUUAUGAGCGAAGCCGACUUUUAUUGAAAAAAUCCUCAAUAUUAUCACAAACCCCAAAUCGGUUAUGAGCGAAGCCGACAUCGUAUAAGAGAAUCAGAAGCUUAAGGGGGUGUUAUUCAAUGGUGGAGUUAAAGUCAAUUAGUUGAAUAACACUGGAUUAGUGUUGGAUUUCAAUUCUAUUAAAAUGCAUCAUUGAAUAACACCACCUAAAUUUCAUCGUUUUCAAUAGAAAUCUGACUUGAUUUCAGCGAAACCAAACAAGAUAAGGUACGAUUUGUUGCCAUCUAUUAUCGAUUAUGAAUAAAAGAUGCAAAUGGUUUAAUGUGCUCUCGAUUGUGCAUAUUGUUGAGUUUCUCUAUUGGAUUGUGUUGUCCUAGAGUUUUCUUUUGACUAUCCUUAUCCAAUUUUGAUUAGAAAAAAUUCAUUUAUUUAUUUGUUUUACCUCCGGCGGUGAACCCUAAACAGCAGAUCGAUUUAGAACAUAUAUUUUGAUCAAUCAAAGAAAACAUCGAAACAGAUUGACAAAACCAUAAUUGAAACUAAUGUCACACACUACAGAUUACUAGUUAGAUGUUUUUUGUCAACAGUACGUGACUGUUUUUUUCUUCUUUCUUUCUUCAGUAAAAACUUGGGUUAUUUAUGUAAUUUGACGAAAAAGUAAAAAAAAAAAAAAAAAAAAAAGUUGUGUGUUUGGGGACCUACCAACAAGAAUUGUAGAUUUUAGUAUUCGGAAAAUCAGGAAUAUUUAUAUAAAGCGAACCCAUACGAAAACAGAAAUAAGUAACCCUCGACUCGAUCUCUGCGUUUAAUAUCUCUCGCUAUCUUCCGAUCUUCGCCCCCAUCGCCGUUUCGUUUUCCGGUAAUACUCCAAAAAAAAAAAAAAAAGAAUAAAUAAAACCCUAAUCGCAAUUCUCUCAUCCUAGUUUCCGAUCGCUAGUGCUUCUUUCUCUUCUCCUUGGUGAAAUUCAAUACGUUUCUUACUAUUUUUUCUCGUUUAUGUUUUGGGUUUUGGUAGUAAGUCGAAUUUAAAACCAGGAAACUCCAAGCCGUGUCUUUUCUCCAGGUCUGAUUGGUUCUUUCUGCAUUGCUUUUUUUUUUUUAAUUCUCCUUUAAUGUUCAUGGCUACUGUUUAAUUAUCUGUUAAAUUAUGCUUGAGAGAGAGAGAGAGAGAGUUACGUCACUGUUUUGAUUAAUGUGUGAAUUGCGUCAUCAACUUCUUCUUUUCUUUGUAUGUUUGCUUACUUGUUGACUUGUUCUAUGAGUUCUUUUGAUUUUGGAUUCUGGGGUUUUACUGUUUACACUAUGCAAUUUUUGCUUUCUCAAACUACUUUCAGAAGUUAUUUUUCUUCAUUAGAUUAUUCAGUUAUGUUGUGUUCUUUGGUCAUGAAAAGAUUCAUCAAGUGCCCACCAUUUUUUUUGUGCAAAAAGUGAUUUUGCUUUUUGUUCUUCAUAAUUUCCAAAUGAAUUGCUCUCUCUGUCAAAAUUUGAUGCCCUGUUUUUUUUUGUGUUGCUCAAUCUACUGUUUUUGGCUCCACAAGUCUCUUGAUUUUCUAGUGUAUCUUCUCAGUUCAACAAAUGAAGGAAAGUUAGUUCUGUUGUUAUUUUAGUUUUCUGUAACAGCCAUGCCAAAAAGGAUGAAGCAUAUGGAGAAAGUUAAUGGUGCUUCUGGAGAAGAUCCAGAAUAUGGUGCCAUUUUCAUGUCCAAUAACUCAACCAGGAAGGAAUGCCUUAGCCGAGGGCUUUUCGGUUUGCCGAUUGGGCUUGCCGGAUUUGUUAAACAGGUCAAAGCUGGAAUGAUGCUCUUUUUGUUUGAAUUCGAGAAGAGAGAGCUACAUGGUGUGUUUCAGGCUUGCUCUGAUGGUGCAAUAAACAUCGAGCCCAAUGCAUUCCAAUCUUCUGGGAAACAGUUUCCUGCUCAGGUACUUGCAUUCACUUUUCCUCCUUGAGUUUUUGUUUUUACUAAGUUUGUGUCUUUAACAUUUUUACUUGCCUUUUUCUUAGGUCAAGUUUACUGAGAAGUGGCGUUGUAGGCCACUUUGUGAAAGUGAGUUUGGUAAUGCUAUCCAUGAAAAUUACUUCACAUCAAAAAAGUUCAAAUUUGGACUCUCCAAGGCUCAGGUGUGUGCUUAAUUUUCUUAGUUUAAUUUACAGUACGUCUCCAAUCGUUCUUGUUUGGUCUAAUAUUAUGCGGGUUGAUUUACUUUCUUAUGUAGUCUGACACUUUCCGUUUGAAUAUGUUAUGUAUAGGUUCAAAGGCUAUUGAAGUUGUUUUGCUUGAAGAAGGUAGAGAGAUCACGACUGAUAGAAACUGCAGCUCCGAAACCAUUUAAAAAAUCUGAAAAUAUAGUUGGUGAUCGUGGUUUUGGGAAUCGCGAUGCAGAAGAAACGGAUGGAGAUGUUGACCGUGAGUUUCCCAUCAGAGUUACAUCUGCAGGAGAUCAUCGUGGUCGUAGGUUAAUAGAGAAUUAUGGUUGUGGGGGGGAAUCUAAAUGGACUAGUGGCCUAGAGUAUGAUCCAACUAAAGGGAAUGAGUACUCCAGACUCGUUGAUUCCAAACUCCAUGGGUUGAAGGAUAGAUUAGGAUGUGAGGUUAGCAUGAAUAAUAAUAGCUUUGGCACUGAUGCUUUAACUAAGAAUUCGUAUAAUUCUCUUGUUAACGAUCGAAGAGUCCCGAAGAGCUUGAGACACACUGCAAAUGGCUGGUUAGAAAAUGAUUACCAUGAAAAAGAUGGUAUCGCACAGGCAAGUUCGUGGUCUAACAACAAGGAACGCCUUAAUUUUGAGGCAGAUCCAAUGGUUCCCACUCAAAGCUCAGUAUCUCCAGACUUACCAUAUGGCACAAACACAGGAUCCUAUGACCCUUAUCAGCCCAGCAUCAUGGGAGAUACAACAAUGACAAGCUCUAGGUAUGGUUUUGGUGCACCUAAUGUUGAUUUAACUGGCUCAGCUUCCUAUACAGCCAACUCAAAUCAUGGUUUGGGAGAAGAUAUUAUACCUGUUGGUGAUUAUGUCAGUGACGCCUUUCCCUCUAAGACAGUCCAACCAUUCCCUGAUGAGCAUAAUGCUACACGCAUGAACACUAGUAGUCUGGACUCGGGUUUCUAUAUUCCAAUGCCUAUUGAACAUCAUAAAUACCAAAUAAACACUGGCAUGUUUGGAGUUGCUCGUGGUGAAUCUGAAUCUGAAUCUGAUUCCAGAAAUGGUCAUUUGCGUCAUUCUCAGUUUCCUGGUCUCUUAACUUCUGCAGGGGACACUGAGAACAUGAGGCAGUUUGAAAGGCCGCUGUACUCAGACCGCAACAUCUUCCCUUCAUUUGUUUAUCCUUCAUCAUCAAGGGGUUUGUCUCCUAAGGACAGACUCAACAAUGAACUUCAAACAUAUCAACACCAAGAAGAAUCUAGAGGUCAUGAUUCUUAUACAAACGAUAUGGUGGUUUGGGGUUCCAGUAUUUACCCUUCUUUUACUAAUCCUUCAACAUCAGGGGAUGAAGCUGAUUUGUAUCUAGAGAACAGAGCCAAUAACGAAGUUCAAGCUUAUCAACGGCAGAAAGAAUUUGGCGAUGAUGCUUUUGACUCUAACAAUAGGGUGACUGAAAUGAAGAAUCGUAUUAAACCUGCUGAACUUGAAGGAAACAAAACCAGAGAGAGUGUCUUCAAUAGGCUGGGUGGGCGUUCAAAAGAACGUGUUGCUGAAAAGGAUAUGUCUCCGGACACUGAAUCAGUGGACGAGGUCAUGGCCUUUUUAAACGACCGUCACAAAGAUUGGAUGGAGCAAAAAAGAGCAAAUAUGAGUAAUUCUGAGGAUUUUGGAAAACCGAAGAAGAAAAAGGAAAAGAUUCAUACAGCAGAGGUCAAAAGAGAAAAUGAUAUGAUGCUUCCUUUUACUGAGACUACUCCAGAUAAUCUGUUGGAUUGUGAAGGAAGUAUGGAACAUACUGUUCAAAAGCUACCAUUCAUUGAUUUUAAGCGCCGUAGCAAAGCUCGAAGGAGCAGCCUUGGUAAUCCAACUCAAGGGUGUAAAGAUAGCCCCGAACAUUCAGCUUCUCAGAGCAAGAAAAGGAAGCUGCUGAGACCAAAACUCGUUGAAGAUGACUCGGAAAAGGAUAGAGGACACAAAGCCGGUCCUAUUAAAAUUGUCUUGGCCUCGGCAAAAGAUAGAGGAAACAAUGAUCCGAUUGUAAAAUUCUUGGCCUCAAAGUCAGCUACUGAAGUCCCAGUCCAUGGCUUCCUUGGACGAAAUGAAGGUGACUCGCAAAAGGAUAGAGGUGAGAAUGAUAAUCCUAUUGAAAAUGUCUUGGCCUCACAGUCAGCUACUGAAGUCCCCGUCCAUGACUUCCUUGGACGUGAUGAAGGUGACUCGCAAAAGGAGAGAGGUAAGAAUGAUAAUCCUAUUGAAAAUUUAUUGGCCUCACAGUCAGCUACUGAAGUCCACGUCCAUGACUUCUUUGGACGUGAUGAAGAUGACUUGGAAAAGGAUAGAGGAAAAAAUGACGAUCCUGUUGAAAAUUUCUUGGCCUCAGAGUUUGCUUCUGAAGUCCCCUUCCAUGACUUCCUUGGAUGUGAUGAUCGAUAAACACUCAAAUGGAGUUGGAAACUCUUAUGGACAGAACAAUGCCUCUUCAAGGAUGCUUCUGCAAUAGAAGGUGAGGGUGUUCUCUAGUUGUUGUGUCUUUUUGGUCGAGUAAGUGUCUUCUUAAUCAUGUUGACUAUUUUACUAUCAUAGAACAAUGCCUACAUGCUUUGGCAGAACAGCCGUUUUGAGGUAGUUGUGAAAUUUUAUGCUGAUGUCAAAGCAUGCGUUUGGUUCAGAAACUUUGUCAAGUGAAUCUUGAUAGCUAAUAAUACCUAGAUUUUGUAGUCUUAAACUGACAAAUGCAAAGAGUCGAGUCGACUAGGUAAGGAAAAGAUAAACCAUAUACAGGUUUGUUUCCUCAAGCUUCAAGCUCAAGGGUUUGGUGAAAGUGGUAACAAACAUGAUUGUCUCUAAUUCAUAGCGUUUGGUCCAAAGCAUCUGUUCCUAUUAAGAUCCCAAACCCAUUGAAUCAGAUACUUUCUUCCUUUAACGCCCUUCACAUUAUACACAGUCCUCCACCUAUCCUUAAACACACUUCCCAUAUACCCUCCUCCUCCUCCUGAUCCAUACACUCCCAAACAUAAAUCCGCUAUCUCUGUGGGUGCCGUCGCAUCCUCUCCUCCAUACCAUCCGUUCAACAUUGGGUUACUGGACACUUCCGCCAGCUCAUGAGCUAUCACGCUGAUCAUCCCAUCAAUUCCCACCUCUCCGUUUGGCGGUUUCAUCUUCUCUCUGGCUACAAACCCGCUUCCCGGAAAUGGCUUAGGUUGUGCAAAUGGGUACGCGCAUAUCUCUGGACACUGUUUCCUACUGUUCCCGACCCAAACGUAUGGUACGGUUGCACCAACAACGCUUGGGAAAGUGAAGUAAUGAAACCCGCAAAUCGCUCUGCAGAACUCUUGCAUCUCUACAUCAUCCGAGGUCAAGACUAAGUACAAGCCGUUUACAGCGUUUAGUGGUAACUUGGAAGUCAAGGCAGUUCUGAUCACAGACUGAACAGAGAAGCGAGUUAGGUGAGAUCCAUGAGAGUACGUAGAGUCGUGGAACUCUUCGGACAAGACAAGAGUGUCGGUGAUGUUGGAACCUGUCUGGUCUCUGUAUAGCCUCACUGUCUUCCACCAGUUGGAUACUGACGGGUACUGAGCCGGUGUCGGUGAAGAGAUAGAGUAGAGAAAGUCUCGGAUUAUAGAUUGGUGAGUUGGGUUCCAUCGGCCGUACCAAAUGAUAUAAAGACUCGUCACCGGCGAGGAUAUGACCGGACCCAUGUGGUAUUGAAGGUCGACGAGAUCGGAGGAGCCUUCGUAGUUCUUGCUCUCGUCGAAGAACUGUCCAUUAGAUGUGAGAGAGAGUGAGAGGGAAAAGAAGAAGAUGAUGAGAGGAAUCAUCUCGUUGGUUUUAUGAUUUACUUAGUGUGAACGUUGGAGAUCUUAUUAUAGGAAGUGGAGUUUUUAACUUUUUUUAUUACUAGUUCUUUUUUUGGUAAAGUAAAUUUCAUUUGGUAAUCUUUCUAUUUUAAGUUUUAACUACCCACCAAAAACAAAGUUUUAACCAACUGAAAAUUGUGAAGUCAAUCCAUAAAACUGUACAAUUUGCAUCAAAAUGACAUAAAGAAAUGUAUAUAGAUUAAAAGGUUGAAGAGAUUAGUAUAGAAAUGCAAUAUUUUUAUUUAUUUCGUAAGGUAGUUUUGAUUUAUACAUGUAAUUAUAUGUUUUCACAGAAGAUGUCGGUUAAGUACAACUUUUGAGCUUGAUUGGUGGCACUGUUAGAGGCCACUUGACCAAAAAGCAUGUUUACCUCUAAUGAUUUCUUGUCAAAAUAUAUUCGUGAAAGCUAAUGAAAAGUAGUAAAAGUGUAAAACCAUAAUUGCAUAAAAUUUUAUAAGACCCAUUUUCGAAAAGUUAGAGAAGUUUCUCAUGUUAACCUAGAACACUGAGUUUAAGCAUUGACAUGAUGAUAUUAUAUAGUAAAAUUAGUACAGUUGGGAAAUCCAUCUGAUAAGUUAAAAUUUUCACAAAUCUAAGAUACUACCAUCUUUUCUUUUUGUCUGUAAUUUUUACCAUCUACUACUAAUAUACUACCAACUACUUUUUGUCGGCAGUCACCUUUUCUUAGUGCUAGUGGAAAGUUGUCACACAUUGAGCUGCUUCUAUUAAGGUUUGGUUCUUUAGUUUUUGAAAAGACAAACUUUCUCCCUAUGGAUUGAUUCACUCCUUUUGCUUUGAACUUUGAUUCGUGAGUCAAAAACGCUAAACCAUUCCCUGUUUACAUUUGGGUAUUAGUGAUUACCUUUAAAUUUCAUAAAACUUAAAGCUUAUACAAUUUUGCUACAGAACUUGGUCCUGAUAGGUCUUUCGUCCCCAAAGAAUAAUAAUACUAUGCACAAUUACGACAUAAAAGUUUGGGGAUUUACUCAAAUCGCCAUCAAACCAAACUAAACCGGAAACUGGUAAAAGAGAUCAAUUUCCUGGUUCAGCUAAAAAAACUUUGGCUUCUUUAGUUUGGGCUCACCUAGAUGCAACGAUACGUUAACCUCUUCUUCGGAACUGUUCUUUAAAGCCAUGAGAUUAUCCAAUUUGGGUUUCUCUUGCCCUUUAAUGGCGGAAGUAGACUCGUUAACCGAUAUAGGAGCAAUGAAGAUAUGUUCCUCUACUUCAGGUGUUGGUUUGAUUGCUUCUUCUAUACGAAACUCAUGCGGAAUAAAUGGCUCAAAGCUCUCAUCUUGUUUCUCUCCUGAUGGAACCGGGUCGGGCGGGGAUGACUGGCUAACCGUUGAAUCGAGGGCUGUAACUGAAGUGUUUCUCUCUUCUCGUGCUGCUGCUGCAAGUUUACAAAGUCAAAAGAACAUGGCAUUAAGACUUGGGAACCAUUUUAAUAAAAGCUAGGAGAAUAGUUGUAAACCUUCAAGCUCAUGGUUCGAUGUGAUGAGAUCAAGCUCCAAGAGAUCCAAAAGGCGACCAAGAUCAACUCCACUUGUCCAGUUCUCGGGUUCUUGACCGGCUAUGAGUUUAAGUUUUCCUCGGUUGGCUGUCCCUCCCCAAAUGAUUCCAACUGGUCUUGGCUUCUGACCAUUUGGACCAGUUAAGAGUAUUAGGCUUCCACUGUCACCUUCAAGGUCAAAAGUUUGCUGGUUUUCGCCAAUGACCAGAAAAUCUGUGAGGAAACAGAUCCCUUUCUCGUCGUUGUAUUCCAAAGCAUAAGCCAUUAUGGUUCCGGUGGUAUAUCCAGAGCUUCUUCCAACUUUGACAACUUGUUUCCCAAUAAGACUAUCAAUUGGGGAUUGCAAGUCUAUAACGUGCACAUUUCCUAUCUCACCAAUGCCCUUUAUCAUGGUAGUUACAUUGCUCGUGUUGAAAUCUUCUGCAAAAGGAAUAAAGGCACCAUCUGCUCUCACAAAUGUUUCUGCAUUGGGACAGAUAUGAAAGGUGACAUGCAUAGUCAUUAGUCAGUAUGAAACAAGAGUGUCCAUAUAUGCCAGUUCCUGAACAGAAAGAUGCUGAGAUUUGAAAUAACUGGAGUACCUGGAUUUGUGCCAGCAAAUAUGCCGUACCACUGAUCAUCUGUGAUAAACGAUGUUGCUCUCUCAACUGCACCGAGGUAGACCCCCGGUCCAAGGCUUGGAGGUAAAGGAUGAAACAUUUUCUGGCUUGGAUAAUCCAAAUCAACUGCGACAUGCCGAUUGGUAAGAAAACCAACCUGAUGGUUACCUGUUCUGCUUUUCACUAUGGCUCCCAAGGUUCCAUACGUUUCUUGGCUUGCAACCUACACAACAUGAAACAAAACUGAGACUUUACGCUUAUGGUUUGCAGAAUAUGGAAAAAAAAAGUAUGCACCUGAGAACCAGAGCCAAUGCAGGGAUCACUUCCUCUCAAACCAUCUACAAGUUCAUUAUAAACUUGUUCAUUUGGUGUUGCAGCAGGAGCCCCGUAAUAUUGAAAUUCCACAACAUCUACAUCGCACCAUACCCCUCCAGGACCCUAUUAUGAAAUGAACAAAUCGCUUAUCAUAUAAGCUCCGAUAAAAUUCCUGAAAGGCUGUGUGUAGAAUGGAAUGGAAUACAAGAUAACUAAACCUCAAGGGCAGAAGGAAGGCACUGCAUUGGAUUUAGCCAUUGCCUAUGGACUUUCCUAGCAACAAAGACAAGUAUUGCUGGAACAUUCGUUAGAACACCACGGCUGAUCCGAAACCCAACCGCAGUACCAAGGCUGAAGCGGCGCAGGAUUUUACUAUGAAACGCUCUGAUGGUCAUGAGCUCAAGCAAAGUAGUGGCUUGUUGUCCUGAUGGCAACCUGCCAACAGUUUCUGGUAAAACCCCUUUCUGGAGAUUGCCAAAGUAGUUAGCUCGGUCUUCAACAGCAUCGUUAAGCCUGCUGAGAGUAGGCCACGAGAAGUAAGGGGCAUUGCUCUCUGCAUGUUGGAUGUUGAAUGUGAAUGGCUGAAGAGGAGAUGGAGUUGAAGAUGAUGGAAGACUCAAGUGAUUGCAGUGAUGAUUUCUCUCCAAAUCCAAAGCAGAAUCCUCCGAUUCAGAAGAAGCUGCUGCUUGGAUGAAUCUUUGACCCCAAGCUCCCAAAGUCAUCUCCUUUUACAAUGCUACUUAUUAAAGAUAACACCACCGAACCUUUUCAGCUCUGCCACAACGCAAAACAGGAGAUGCAACAGAAUUCAGCUUCCUAAAUUACAACACUUGAACUCAUGAUAUAAACUUAAAAAUGGCAACUUUAUGCAGAUUACAAGCAAUCAAACAAACAAUAAGAGAAAGAUCAUCCCAGACUUCGUUUAUGAACCCUAGAAGUCGAGAAAACCAAUAGAAUUACCUUAGAAAUUUUCAAAUUACAAUCGGAAAAAACAACAUAACACGCAACGCCUCAAAAGGAACUAUAAGAAGACGAAAACCUAAACGAACCCAGAAUCUAACAUCAUGUAAGAAUCCUAAAGAAAUCAACGUUGACAUAAUCCGGCGAAGAUUCUCGAAGGCGCGAAACUCACCGACAGGACAAUUCGUCGGAGUAGCUGCGAUAACCUCAUUGAGCUAAGACGGAGAAUUAGCAGGGGUGAAAGAGAAGUAGCUGCAUUUAGAGAGCAGGAGAAAACGAGAAAGUGAGGAUUACAGAGAAAAAUGGAGGAAGAAGAAGACCUGAGAGAGAGCAAUAGCAGCUGCAUAAUAAUAAUAUGUAGUUACUGUUGAUGGUGGUUGUGAAUACAGUACAGCGAGAAUUAUCUUCCUUUUUUUUGUUUUGUCAACCAAUACAAAUCUCUUUUCUUUUUUUAUUGAUUAUAUACAAAUCUCUUUAUAAUUAGUUUUCUUCUACUACUUUAUAAGUUCUUUUUGCUUUUAUGUUAUGUUAUUAUAUUUAUAUCUUUGAUUUUAAUUAGAGAAUAUUUAAUGAGAAAAUUUGGGAAAGGACAAGCAUAAAUAUUUUAUUAUAAGUUAAAUGAUAAAUUACUAAAUAGAUGUAAUAAGAUAAGAAAAAAAAAAAUAGAAUGAAAAUGCAUCAAAUCAUUGUUUAUUUAAACUUUUAUGUUCAGACUUUGGUGGUUUUCUUUUUUUGUGCAACAAGUUCUUCAUUCAAACUUAAACGAUUACAAAUGAAAAAGCAUAAUUGAACACUCCUUAUAUGCAAACCAAACACGUGAUUAAGUAGAACAAAUAAGACGAUGAAAGGAUAGGAAAUCAAACUUUUCGAAGUAGUUUUAGAGAUAAUAUCGGAAAAAGCAAGCACAAGCCAAUCCAGAAAAGAAUCGUAUCUUACACCAAAUUUUCUACAGAUAUACCAACAUUUCAUUUAAACAAAAAUAAUAUCGUUUUGGCUCAGUGCGUCCGAACACAAAUUGCUUAAUCUACUUGAAUCAUGCAAAGUAUCCAAUAGUAUUUUUUCGCAAUUGAAUUGAAUGAUUGCAUUCUUACCAAUCGUUGAAUUGAAUUAUUAUCAACAAAUCCUUGAGAAUAUCAAUCUCAAAUUGGAAUAUUGUUACCACUUUAUUUGUAUUUUGGGUAGUCAAAAUAGUUUAUUCUUACCCCCUUAUGUAUUUGAAAACUUUUUAAUUAUCAAAAAGAUCUUUGAAAUAUUCUCAAAGAUUAUCUUUCCAAUAAAUAUUACUUGAUUGUAUUAAAUGUAUGAUAUUCUCAAAGAUUAUUUUCCAAUAAAACCUUAUUCAUUAAAACCCUAGAUCAUGAAAUACCCCAUCAAAUAUACUUAACACUAGACUUUAACCCGCGGUGUACCGCGGAUCGAUUUUUUAACUAAAAAAUUAAAUUUUAAAUUUUAUUUUUUAAUAUUGUUUAUUUUGUUAAUUGUUUAAGAUUGUAUAAUUGUAUUUUGAUUGUUAAUUUUAAGAUUUUAUAUGUGAUAUUAAUACCGUCUCAUAUUAAUACCGAUCCAAAUCUGUCCCACUAUAUAACCCCGUCCCGUGAAAUUAAACAUCAUUUUGUUAUUUUUAAUAAUAUUUUAUUUAAUAGACAUAUAAUUCGAGUCAAUUUAAAAGUUUGAUUUUAUAUAUAUUUUUAAAUUUUAGUUAAUAAUAAUUAAUUCUAUAUAAUGAUUUUUGAAUUAAUUGUGUAUGACCGACGGUCAAGAUUGAAGAUUAAAAACCGGAUUAAGAUUUGAAUGACCACGAUUAAAUAUAGGGAUUGUUGAGAUCUUUUAAGGAAAUCGAAUUGAAUAUGGACGUAAUUGUGGCAAAAAUUAGUUAUGCUUAAUAUAUUAGGUAAGAUUUUUGAAAAUGAUUUUUUAUGUUAAUAUCUUUGAUAUAAUUUUGAAAAUAUAAAUAAUUAAUGUCAAUGACAUUUGAUCGUAUAAAUGUCUCUAAAAAUGUAUAUAUAGAUUUUUUUUUUUCAUUGUUAUUCUGGAGAUCAUUAUUUAGAACCUUCUAAAAAAUAGGAAUAUGAAGAUCUUUAGAAUAUUCUCAAAUAUUACCUUUCCAAUAAAUAUUACCAAAAAAACCACCAAAUCUCUAAAUUUAUGAUAAUCUCAAAGAUUAUAUUUCCAAAAAAACAUUCAUAGAGAUCCACUAAAACCCUAGAUCAUCAGCAAUAUCAAUUUUUCUUGAUAAACUUUUGUAUACAUAGGAAUUGGAGAAGUUAGGGAGCAAGAGAUGUGAGUGCCUUUAUUUAAGAUAUGAAUUCUUUAAAAAUACAAUAAAAAUUGAUAUUUUAUUGUUAUGUUUUGCAGCAAAAUGCCAAAUUAACCCCAAUUUGAGUAGGCGACUCACACAUAUCUCCCGCUCCGGCCAAUCGACUCGUCGUCAUCUCCGCCAUUAUCAGUAUUCCUUGGAAGCUUUUCCCUGGUAAAUCUUUGUACCCUUCUUCUUCUGUAUUUCUUUUUGUUGUUGCUUGGAGACUCGAAAUUGGUCUUACCUAUCGCUUCCAUCUCUCGAUUUAUUAUGUGGUAAUUUCGAGAUUUGGGGUCUGUUUCUGUAAAAUGUGGAAAAAGGGAAUGAACUAUAUCUUAUGAUUCAUGGAUUCAUGGGUUUUGAUUCACUCUAAGUUUUGAGAUUUCUCUGUAACUAUCUGGUUUUGAAGAUCUGCAUGUCUUCUUUUAGUGUUUAGUUAACUUAGAUCAUCAUAACAUGUGCAUUGCCAAAGGAUAUUAUUCAUUUAAUUGAUUGGAAUAUUUUUUUAAUCAUUAUGCUUGUUGUAAGUUGUAACUGCUAGGAUGGUGUUUUUAGUUCAUAUUCUUGUAUUACAUUGAGUAGGAAUUGGACAACAUGGUACAUUCAGAGUCAUCAAAACUCAUUUCGUUGCGCGGUGGUAGUGGUCCUUUUUCUAAGGAUGAACUGGCAACAAAUGGUAGUUAUACCGAUCCUAUGGGGCGGAGGAAGUCCAAGCGGUUUAAGGUUGCAGCGGAAAGUGAGUUUUCUCCUGAUUGUGGAUCGGGUUCCAUGCGGCUCAGAUCAAGAACUAUACAGAAGGAGGUCCAAAUUGAGACUUGCGAGAACAAGAAUGCUUCUGAGGUUGAGGUUGAGUUGAUUCCUGGAGAAAAAGUGGCAGAUCGAGAUGGUUUUAAAUCCGUUGAUUGUAAUGACAUGUCGGCUGGAGGAACCGAAGGAGCUAAAUCUCUUCGAGUUAAUAUGCAAGAACCAAUGGAAGGUAGGAAUCUGCCAGAGAAUACAAGUGAGCAAAAUUUGGUGGAGGUCCAUCCUCCAAGCAUUAGCCUGCCAGAAGAAGAUGUGGUGGGGUCUGUUUGCAGGAAAAGCAUCACCGGGACAAAGGAGCUUCGCGGAAGAACGGUUUCUGUAGUGAGAGACUUAUCUCCAAAUAUGGGGAGCAAGUUUUCAAAGAGUGGAAAGACCGCUAAAGGUUCUAUAUCGAUGGAAGAGGAUAACUUGGUUCUGGAAAAGUCAGAUUCUGGAGAUCAUUUGGGUCAAUCUCUUUCUAAAAGCAUAUCACCAGAGGUUUUGGAACUUGAUAAAUCAAAGGUUACUGUUCCAAAACCAAUUGAGGCUGCUGUUAGGAUAAUUACAAACAAAGGGGUUGCAAUGCCUCCACCCUUGAAGCCUUCCGAGAAGACGAAUGGAGAUUAUGGUGAAGGAUCUAUGAGGAAGAAUAGUGAGAGGGUUGCCCCGGAUAAAAAGAGAUUAGCUCGUAAUCCUCGGUUAUCAAAUGGUGGGCUUCCUAGUGGCUCAAGCAGUGGGGAAAGUGCUCGGUACAAAGUUAAGGAAACUCUGCGUCUUUUCCAUGAAACUUGUAAAAAAAUUAUGCAGGAGGAAGAAGCAAGGCCUAGGAAAAGAGAUGGUAGCAAGUUCAGAGUGGAUAACGAGGCUUCGAAAAUUCUCAAGGGUAAAGGGAAAAAUCUUAACAGUGGUACUCAGAUUAUUGGAACCGUGCCUGGUGUUGAGGUUGGCGAUGAAUUUCAAUAUAGAAUGGAGAUGAACUUUCUUGGUAUACAUAGACCAAGUCAAAGUGGUAUCGAUUAUAUGAAAGAUGACGGCGAGGAACUAGUUGCCACGAGUAUUGUAUCCUCUGGAGGUUAUGAUGACGUGGUUGAUAACUCGGAUGUCUUGAUCUACACGGGUCAAGGCGGAAAUGUGGGGAAAAAGGGAAAGAAAAAUAAUGAACCCAAAGACCAACAGCUUGUAACGGGAAACCUUGCGUUGAAAAACAGUAUACACAAAAAGAACCCUGUGCGGGUCAUAAGAGGCAUUAAAAAUACGACACUACAAUCAUCAGCUGUUGCAAAGAAUUAUGUUUACGAUGGAUUGUAUCUGGUGGAAGAGUACUGGGAUGAAACUGGGUCUCACGGUAAGCUCGUCUUCAAGUUCAAACUGCGGCGUAUUCCUGGACAACCCGAGCUUCCCUGGAAAGUGGUUGAGAAAUCGAAGAAAUCCGAGUUCCGGGACGGUCUUUGCAAUGUUGAUAUCUCAGAAGGGAAAGAGACAUUACCCAUAUGCGCUGUGAACAAUAUAGAUGAUGAGAAACCAGCUCCGUUUAUCUACACGGUUAAAAUGAUAUAUCCGGAUUGGUGCCGGCCAAUUCCUCCAAAGAGCUGUGGUUGCACAAAACGCUGCUCCGAAUCAAAAAAGUGUGCAUGCGUUGUGAAAAACGGUGGAGAGAUACCGUACAAUUAUGAUGGAGCCAUUGUUAGUAUAAAGCCCCUGGUCUAUGAGUGUGGCCCACACUGCCAAUGCCCACCUUCUUGCUACAUGAGAGUCUCACAGCACGGGAUCAAGAUCAAGCUGGAGAUCUUCAAAACGGAGUCAAGAGGAUGGGGAGUGAGAUCGCUGGAAUCUAUUCCUAUCGGAAGCUUUAUCUGUGAGUACGCAGGAGAGCUUCUAGAGGAUAAACAAGCAGAAAGACUUACCGGGAAAGAUGAGUAUCUCUUUGAACUCGGGGAGGAGGAGGAUCAGUUCACCAUAGACGCAGCACGGAAAGGGAACAUAGGGAGGUUUAUAAACCAUAGCUGCUCACCGAAUCUGUACGCACAGGACGUAUUGUACGACCAUGAGGACACAAGAAUACCUCACAUUAUGUUCUUUGCACUGGACCAUAUACCUCCACUUGAGGAACUCUCAUACGACUACAAUUAUAAGAUCGAUCAGGUAACCGACUCUAAUGGUAAUAUCAAGAAGAAAAUUUGCUACUGUGGUUCCGCUGAGUGUAGUGGUAGGCUCUACUAAGUAAGCUGUUGUUACCCCUUGUAUUCUUCUUCAUUUUCCCGCUUGAUGUUUAGUUCUGUAUGAAUAAGCAAAUUAGCUUUAGCCAAAAUUACAAUACACAGUGUGACAUAAUUGGUGUCAAUUAGUGUUGUGAUGUUUUAGCUGCAUUACUCACUGAACCUCACCAUAAUCCAAGUCUUUCAUAGUUAUUUUUCAUACACUUUGUUAUGGUAUUGCAACUAUUGUUUGUGUGUGUGUGUGUUUUUUCCUUUCAUCUACAAGAUCUGUUACUUAUGACACCUGAAACCACAGAAUCCUCGAACUUACAUGACCUCACUGUCUGUCUGAACCGAAUUUCAAAUUGUUCAUGCUGAUGUUGUCUUAGUGAUUGCUAAGCACCAAAGAAGUAGCUAGCUCUUUUGUUUGUUUGUCCCAAUCUCAGUCUCUGAUAUGGUUUGAUUUGAAAUUGGAAAAAGAGAGACAUUAUUGUUACUAUUACUUAAUUUAUAGCAAUGGGAUCCCCUAUGUUACAAUUCAUUAUCCUCUAUUCCAAAACUAUUUAUUCCAUAUUGUUUUUUAGCUUUUAAAGUACAUAAUGGUUUUGAGGAUCCAUAAAGAUAACUCUCGAAUUAGGAUAAAGAUAACAAUUGUGUACAUAGAUGGGAUCAUGAUGUUUAUAGUAUGGGUGGCCAUGAAAUCUUUGGACAACAAAUGUGAAAAAAGCUAUAACUUAUCCCUUCAUUGAGAUAUUCUUAGGGAUUAGACUGCUUUGGCCUCAUGGUAGUCUCUAAUUUUCCAUGACCAUCUUAUCGUUAUAUCAUCCAUAUCUCAAGAUUGUGACUAGCUGUUAAAUCAUUAACAAGUGUCUUUUUACUAAUUUAGGCUGGACAGUGGACACCAGGGUUUUUUUUUUUUACUAUUGUUAAAAACUUAAAAUUAAGGGUUUUUGCAAGUACAUUAAGAAAAGUAAAAAUUGACCUUCUUAAAUUGUCUCUUUCUGAAACUAGUCUUGCUCAAUCUCAAACCACUUCUUAAAAAAAUUGAUGUGUGUUUGUUUUUGAUGAAAUGCUUUACAAAAUUCCAAGCGGGUUCACUGGAUUUUAUAUUUUGGAAGUUAGCUCCAAAUUAUAUUAUUAUAACUCACUAAACUAAUCAUACAAACAAUUAUUGGUUGUUAAUUAACAACCAAACCACCAAAUAAAUUAAAUAGAGAAAAAAUAAAUACCCCAUAUAAUACCAUUACUUAAUCACCUGAAGUUUAUGCAAUUAGAUUGAAAGCAAAUUUUUGGAAUCUUAGAGAAUAAACUCUCUUAAUAACCAGAGAGAUUUGCUUAAUCAUUAAUUAAAAAUUGUCAUCAAGGAUUGGGUCAACAAGUGGCAAAUGGAUGGCACUUUCGUAAAUAAGUGAAACUCAGAGGUGUUUAUUGUGUUCUCACGUGGGUCUCUUGCCUUAGUUCAAAAGUUCAAAAUUGAGCUCUUUCUUCUUCUUCUUCGCGAAAACUUGAAAGCAGUUUUAGGAACAAAAACCAGAGGCUUUGAUUUGAAAAAAAACCCUAAUUUUCAAGAACCCUAAAUUCACCACCAUUUCUUCUCAAAUCCUCUUUCCAAGUUCCAUCCUUUUUAUGUAAAUGCAUCUGAAGAAAUCAUCUGUAACAGAACGACGAUUAAUCGGGAAAGACGAUUCCGAUCCAAACCAUAUCCCCAAUCCGAUUCACCAUCAUCAUCAUCAUCAGAACCCGAAUAAAACUCGAACCGCCAUUGAUAAAGGCUCUGGCUUCACUGUGUACAAUCAUCCGCAAGGUCAGAGUCAUCAUCACACGGUUGAUAUCCCAAUCUCGACUCCGCACCAAAGGUCAAAUUUCUCUGCCGGUGUUGAUCAUUUCCGACGAAGAAACGCACGGGCACGAUUGGGAUCGAUUUCUUCAUUUUUCCCAUCAAAUCUUUUGUCUUUUCUUUCUUCGUAUCGUCCCGUGAUUGCUCGGUUCUUGAGGAAGCUUCUACGUUAUACACUUCGAGCCCGUUUGAUUUGUUUCCAUCUUCGUUUCUUGCUUCUUCUUGCUGUCCCUCCUUUAUACAUCUUCUUCCUUGUAAUCAAUCUUCGUAUUUUUCUUCGUCUAAUCUUUGCGAUUAUCGCUCUUUCCUUCAUCCUCUCGAUCUCUCUCAAAUUCGCUCUUCCUCACUUACCGUCAAUUCGUCUUUUUGUCGCACGCUUGCUAACCUUUAUCCCUGCCAGAUUCUCUUCCUCUCAGCCGAGCACUACUAACCAAGUGAUUUGGUCCAUUGGGUCGAAGCCAGUUGCGGAGAAUAAGACCAAUUCAGGCUCUUGGGUUCAGAAGUUUGGCACUAAUGAUGUGUAUGAAGGAGAGUUUCAUAGAGGAAAGUGUUCAGGAAGUGGAGUUUAUUACUAUUCCAUGAAAGGCAAAUACGAAGGAGAGUGGAUUGAUGGGAAAUAUGAUGGUUAUGGAGUAGAAACAUGGGCUAAAGGAAGUAGGUAUCGAGGUCAAUAUAGGUUAGGGCUAAGGCAUGGAAUUGGAGUCUAUACAUUUUAUACAGGAGAUGUGUAUGCUGGUGAGUGGUCUAAUGGGCAGUGCCAUGGCUGUGGUGUAUAUACCUCUGAGGAUGGAAGUAGAUACGAUGGAGAGUUCAAGUGGGGUGUCAAACAUGGCCUUGGUAGUUACCAUUUCAGGUCAGCAUUAUUCUUUUUUACUCUGCAUAGUCAUUUAAGUUACUGGAAUAUGGUUGUGCUUUGACCAUUGAUGGUGGUUUUAGGUCCCUGUAUAAUUUGCUCGUCUGAGUGUGUUUGCAAAUCUUGAGUUCCAUUGUUUUUGAAGGGGAGUGUAGUUGUCUUUCCCUUUUAUUGGGGCCCUUGUUCACCACCUUUUGGAUCGAUUGUGAAUCUGAGGGAUCUCUGAAAGGCUGUCACUUUCGAUUUCUGACAUUUGAUGGAUAACACAUAAUAGGGUUGUGUUUCCUGUUUGUUGUGGUUAUCCUCACACUUUAAACAAGUCAAAUUUCAGGCUAAUAUGGUUACUGUCAUUAGCAUUGGUCUGAAACAACUGCAUGAAGCACUGCCUGUCAAGUGUGCAUAUCAUGACUUUAAAACUACAUUUAAAUUGGGAGUUAUGCUGCUGUUGCAGAAAUGGCGAUGCAUAUGCUGGGGAGUAUUUUGCGGACAAGAUGCAUGGUUUUGGAGUGUAUCACUUUGCCAACGGGCAUAAGUAUGAAGGAGCUUGGCACGAGGGAAGAAGGCAAGGGCUCGGUAUGUACACUUUCAGGAAUGGUGAGACACAAGCCGGUCAUUGGGAAGACGGUAUACUCAGUUGUGCUACCGAGCAGACUAUCCGUCCUGGAUCAUCUUUUACAAUCAGCCAUUCCAAAGUUGUUGAUGCUGUUGAGGUAAGUUAACUAGUAGUUUUAUCUUAGUGCUGCAAACAUCAUAUUUGCAUUGAAGUAAACUUGUUCUCUCUUUGGCAUUCAGAAAGCAAGGAAAGCAGCUGAGAAAGCACAUGAAGUUGUGAAAGUGGAAGAGAGGAUCAAGAGAGCGGUGAUGGCUGCAAAUAGAGCAGCGAAUGCGGCUAGAGUAGCGGCCGUGAAGGCUGUCCAAUCCCAAACCUUUCACAGGAAUGAUGGUGAUCUUGAAACCAAAUGUUGAGCAUAGGUUAGAAGAGAUCUUCAUUAACAGGUUUUCUUGUUCCUCCUUUAUGAACAAAGCUAGUUUUAAACUGUAGAUAAUAAACUAGGAGAGAUCUUUGUAAAUCAACACAAAAAAAAUGGGUCUGCUUCAUAGAAGGCAAUUGACAUACGUGUAGCCAAAAAUCCAUAUCUUGAUUAAAGAAUUAGAAAUCUGGUAUAUCAGUCUUAUAACAAAAGAUGGAAAAAAUCUUGAAUCUGGUCUUGAAAGGAGUAGAAGAAGUCUAGCUCUCAGUUUGCUCUCUGAGCCUCCUGAUGGUACUCCUGACAGUCGCAGCACUAGCCGUAUUCAUUGUGUAGGCGCACCUCCAGCCUUAAGUUUCCCACAGUCCCUGCAUCCCCAAAUUCGAACAGCCUUUCUUCUAACAGCAUACUUGCCACAGAACUCGCAGAAGUAUUUGCUGUGCUGACUCACUUCCAUCUUCUUGAUUUGCUUCCUAAGACUGGCACCAUAUCUGGUCCCUUUUCAGACAAAAUAUCAACAGAUUCAGAAACAAACCAACACAGAAACAAUGUAUAAUGGCUGAAAUGAAAAGAGGGGUCUUACGAUUCCACACAGCAGAGCAAUGAAGUAAUUAUUUGAAUCACAAAGAGAGUUAUGGCACUCACCAUUAUACACUUUCCUUAGUUGGAUUCAGUUUUAUAUUUAAGUACAUUUUUUUCUUUGUUAUUCAAAUUUAGUCUGGAUUCGAUUUCCAUUUAUCUAUCGGUUUGUAUAAUAUAUAAAUGAUUCUAAUUGAAUGAAAGACUGAAAUUUUUGUAUCGUUUUCGAAUUAAUUAGAUGAUGUGCUCUUUAUUUUAUUUUCCUUCGAAGUCAAUUUAUCAAAAUUAAUGUAAUGAAAAAGACUAUGGACCGUUAGAUCUGGGGAGGUGACCAAUCGUACGGGCCAGGUUAUAUGAGUUCUAACACUGACAAACGACGUCGUGGCGGGUCCCACUGGUUUUCGGUAACGCAGGUUUUCAAAAUCUUCUCAUUUUCGUCCCUUCGAGCCAAAUCAAUGGCAAAAAAAUAGCUUUUAGAAAUCCCCACGACCAAAAAAUCCAAAAGAAAAAAAAAAUGUCCGAGAGAAAUUAUCGAGAAAAAAAAAUCUUCGUGUAGGGGAGAGAGCUUGUGCCCAAGAUUUUGAAUUCUGUCUCUUCGUUAUCGAUUUUGAACAACCACAUUGUUCGUAGAUCUGAAAAAACAAGAAAAACUCACGGGUUUGAUUAUUACGAUUUGCUCGGUGAUUUUGACAUCACGAUUCGAUUGUUUUGUUGGAGGUUACGAAGAGCUAUUGAUUCGAUUCCAGAUCCAUACGGAUCUAAUCUCGGCGAGUCGAUUUGUGGUCGACAUUUUCAAAAGCUGUUCGCGUGGAUCUGAAGAAGAGACAUUGUUGUCUUUGUUAUAUAGCACCGAAUUUUUCUGGGAAAGAAUGGAUCCAAUAUCGGCGGUUAGCGAAGAGCUGGCUGAGAUCGAAGGACAGAUCAAUGACAUUUUCCGUGCUUUAUCGUGAGAAUAAAUCUCUCUAGCUUCUUUUUCUCCAUCUUUGACUUGGGAUUUGUGUCUAUAUAUAAUAAUGUUUUGAUAUUUGGUUUCUACAGAAAUGGAUUCCAGAAGCUGGAGAAGAUCAAAGAUGCUAAUAGGCAGAGUAGGCAGCUGGAAGAACUCACUGACAAAAUGCGUGACUGUAAGAGGUAAGCAUUGAUUGAAUCUGGUGUUUGAUGAUGAUGAUGAUGAUGAUGAUGAUGAUGCCUUGUUCUUCUUCUUCUUCUUUGCAGCCUUAUUAAAGAUUUCGAUAGGGAAAUCAAGAGCUUGGAAAGCGGUAAUGAUGCCAACACUAACCGCAUGUUGAACGAUAGACGACAAUCUAUGGUUAAGGAACUCAACUCAUAUGUUGCUCUUAAAAAGAAGUAGGUGACAUUUUUGCUAAUUGCUCAAUUGAUGUUCAUAUUUAUGGUUAAUGAUGAUAAUGAGGAUGGUUGUACAGAUACUCAUCUAACCUAGCAACCAAUAAUAAGCGAGUAGAUCUUUUCGAUGGACCCGGAGAAGAACACAUGGAAGAGAAUGUCUUAUUAGCUUCAAGUAAGCCUUUAAAUUACAUUGCACUUUUGUCAUAUGAUUACAUACACCUACCUAGAGUAUUUACUGGAAUCUUAAUCACUCUCAGAUAUGUCCAAUCAAGAGCUAAUGGAUAAAGGAAACUCAAUGAUGGAUGACACAGACCAAGCCAUUGAGAGGGGGAAGAAGGUCCGUUUUCAGAUUAUAUCAUUUCCUAUCUUCACAAAAGCAAAAUCUCACUGCUUUUUUUGUGGCUUUGAUAACAGAUUGUUCAGGAGACUAUAAAUGUGGGAACAGAUACUUCAGCAGCUCUCAAGGCUCAGGUUUGUGGUUCCAAACAGUCCUGCUUCUACCUGAAUUCCCUUUUUCCAAGAUUGUGUGUAAAUUCUAAAAAUUUACUUUUUCCUUGUUCAGACCGAGCAAAUGAGUAGAGUUGUCAAUGAGCUCGAUUCUAUUCAUUUCUCACUCAAGAAAGCCUCUAAGCUGGUCAAGGAAAUUGGUAGGCAGGUUAGUCUCGGAAAUAUCUUUAUUUCUUCUUUAUAGCAUUCUUAGUUAUCUGCAGCUCCUUCUUGUCCCUUUUACUUACUUUCUUCUGCCAUUUUCUCUCAGGUUGCCACUGACAAAUGUAUUAUGGCAUUUCUUUUCCUUAUCGUUAUUGGUGUCAUAGCAAUCAUCAUCGUCAAGGUACAUCUCAACUCCUUUCUUAUUUAAAUGUGCACACACACACUUAGGUGUACUUGUUUGAGUGAAAUAGAUUUCUCUGUUCGUCAUUAUUUUUUCAUGGAUAUUAUGAGGUGAAAGGUUUUUGCCUUUUCUGGAAACCAUGUUGAUUGAAGAACCUUAUAAAAAGCACAAAUACACACAAGUUUUUUUUCUCCAGUUAUUCAAUUAUGGAAUGUAUAAAGUUGUCUCUUCUGUGAUUGUUAAUUUGAUCUCUUUUGCUACUUUGUAUAGAUUGUGAACCCAAACAACAAAGACAUCCGCAACAUACCAGGCCUAGCUCCACCAGCCAUGAACAGACGUUUGCUCUGGAACCAUUACUGAACAAACAAUAUCUCAUUUUCAGGCCAUUCAAAAUACUGGUACGUCGCACAUUUUUUUGUCCCACACACUUCUUGGUCCUCCCCUAAGUCCAUGUUGUUGUAGAUGAAACCGCCUCACUUGAGAAAUUAACCAGUUUCUAUUCACAUGGCUCUUGGCGGCUGUGCCUUUGAGCAGUCACAGGAAUCAAAUUCCCCUUUCGUUAAAAGUCUCAGAAUCAAAACCAUCUUUUUUAGCUCAUGUGUUUGUAUAAGGAUGACUCUUUGUGUUAUAUCAUAUGUACGUGUAUUUCUAAAACGUCGUCUCUGUUUCAUGUUCUGGUAAUAAAAACUUGUUCCUCUGUUUCACUGGUUUAUGUUAACUGAGUUGUGUAUCAUAUUCGAUAUUAGUAUGACUAUUAAAGUAUUAACACAUUAUUGUUUCAUGUAACAAUGUUGUUUAGAGUUUACAAUAAGAAAAUAAAUCUAGCUCAAGGAGGAAAAUUGGGUGAUUAAAAUUGAAAACAAUUACUAAAUACAAAUAUUAAACUAAAUAACCCACGUAAUAACGAGUCGUCGUAAUCUAGUUUAUCUAGAAACGCAACGGAUCGAUAAUCAAGGAAAAUAAUUCGGAGCUGAUGAGUUAAAGCUAUAGUUAGUUUGACUAACCACGGUUAUGGUCAAGACUUAAGCAGAGAGUGGGGCUUAUUAUUAGUGGCUUAAUCAAAUAAAAAUUAAUCCAUAUUAAAACCUUUAUCUAUCUAUCUCUCUCUCCUUCACAGCAAGCAACAGAGAUUCAGAGACAAGAAAAUGCGAGAAAGCGAAGGAAAACGCGACAAAACUCAAAUGAAUUUGCGUUUCGACGAAGGAGGAGGCAGCGUUUGGCAGAGAUGCUCAAGACACGAAGGCCGUUUUGUCUGCGUUGGAGGUGUUUGUCCUUACUGCCUCCACGAACGUCUCUCCUCUCUCUGUCCCGAUUGUGCUCACGAUCUACCAUGUUCGUGUACUCCUCGCGCCUCCGUGUCUUCCGGUGGAGGAGAUGACGUUCCGUUCGCCGGUAUCGGGUCAGUUGGCCGCGUUGCCAACUUGAUUGAAAGCGAACCGGCGUUUCGGAGAUCGACAUCGCUUGCGGUUCCGUAUUUCUGGUCUUCUAAACCGGAGACGAUAUUAGAAACCGAGUCGGAUCUCAAACCGGGCCGUGGACGCUGGCUCUGGAGAUUGUUGAGAGGAAACAGAGAAGAGACGAAAAUAAAGGCUGCUACGGUUAUGAAGAAGUCGAAAUCCGUUGCCGGAGAAGAGCUAUUUUCGCCGGCGCCGGUUGCAAGCAAAGGAAAUGGUUGGUACUUUCCAAGUCCGAUUAAGGUUUUCAGACAAUCAAGAGUCUCCAAAAUGAUAUUUCAACAAAGAUCUCCAUUGUACAGAGGUUAAAUUUUAGGUUUUCUAGUAUGUGUGUUUUUUUUUCUUUUGUUUUACGAAAACGUUGAUUAAUAUUUCUUUUCAUAAUGAAAAUGCAGAUCUUAUACAUAAAAAUCGGACAUUCUUGAUAAAUUUGUUGAAGUUUGGGUUCAUUUCCAGUUACCAAUCUGUUAAUUAAGAAUUCUAGAUACAGUUUCGUAUAAAUUGAGGUCACUUGAAAGACAAAUUUGUCGAAUGAUUUUUUUAUUUUUGACUACAUAUGUCUUUCAAAAGGGUUAGAUAGAAUUGUUUUUAAAUGAUACUUCUUUUCACCCCAAGUUUAUUUUGCUGGCUACCGUUUAGCAUCAUGCUCUUUACAGUUGUGGUUCAGGCUGAUAAUUUUCUGAUAGAAAACUAACUAUUUAUUGUCUUUCAUAAACUUUUAUACCCCAAUUAAUGUAACACUAAUUGAGAGAAAUUUAGAACACACAUAUUUUGAGAGAUAUACUCCUAGUGAUGUUUUAAACAACAAAGUACAAAAUCUCAAUUAUCGAGAAGUAAAAAAAAGGUUAAUGGCUUUUAAAAUAUACUAAUGUUUAUAAGAAAAUGGGAAGAAGUAACAUGGUAACAUGUGCAUGGAAGCCCUACCAAACAAACACGUGAGUGAACUGAAGCCGUCUCCAUAUCUUAAAGAAGAAGGUGAAAAUAGGGAAACGUGAGGGAGUGUUAAGGAGAUAGAGAACAGAGCCGACAAAGAGUGGCGACAAACCUACGCACACGGUUGCACCUUCUCUCUAUUGUCAUCAUCACCAUUCACCACCCUUGCACUUCUCCACUUUAUAAAAAAAUCCCUCAACCUUUUGAUUCUUCAUAAAUCAAAACCCCAAUAUAAUAUUUUAAUCAACCUUUUUCUUCUUGGCCUCUUGGAUAUAUGGAUAUUUUACUUUGUUGCCCACUCCCAAACUAACUCAUGUGUUUGGUGUUCCUACUUCCUAAUUCUGACUUUAAUCAAUAUUCGUUUAAACAGAUCGCGCGACAAACAAAACAAAUCAAUAGAGAUAUAUAAUUAAACUGGUUCUUCUUAUACAUUAACAAAUACUAUAUGUUAUAUUUUUUGGUAACCAAAAAAUAUCAAUUUGCGUUGAUCUAUAUAAUUCGGAUAGGAGAUUAGACAUGCUAAUUAGUAGUAUUCUUUCUACCGAUGGUACUAAAAACUCGUGGCUUGCUUCUGUUUUCAUUUUUACUCUAAUCAUUUACGAAAAAAACUCUCUUAAAAGUUUGAAGCAGAAAACGAAUUUGUAUCUCUCUUGAUGUUGCCAUCUUGCUUAUAAGGAUAGAAGUUUAUAAAUUCAAUUUAAUUAAUAAUAAUUACUUGAUUACAUGAAAUAAUAAUCCAUUUGUUAUAUAAUAAAAAUCCAUUUUGAUAUGUAACACUAAAUGACGUCAAAACCAUUAACCAUACACGAAAAGGUUAAUUACGGAGGAAAAACAAUUUACCUCUCGUAUUGGGGUAAAUGUAAAAUUGGGUCGUUGGGUUAACUAACUACCUCUCGUUACCGUUACACAUCAAAACGCGCGAGAGAGAGCUAAAAGGUUAUAGUAGUCAAUUCACAUACCAACCUCACCUUACGGCUGGAUCUCUCUUAAGCAACCUCAUUUAUAAACCCCUCCUCGAUUUCUUGCGUUAAUUUCGAAUUUUUAUCCUCUUUCUUUCUAUCUUCUCCUCUCGAUUUCAAAAUUUUCACAUCUCCGGAAUUUUCAUUUCUGGAGAAUAUUGUUUCAUCCCUACAAUGGCGUCCGAGAAUCUGAAUGAUAAGAUCUCUGUUUUUAAGAAGCUCAAAGCCAAAUCCGAUAAUAAGGUAAUGUCAAUGCAGAUUCAUAGAUCCGAUUAAGAUCUACAAGUUCGACGAUCAGAUCUGGGAUUUAUCUAUGGCGGUCUUGAAUCAUUUUUGCAGAUUUGUUUUGAUUGCAAUGCGAAGAACCCAACAUGGGCUUCCGUUACUUACGGGAUCUUUCUCUGUAUCGAUUGUUCUGCUGUUCAUCGGAGUCUUGGCGUCCACAUUAGCUUCGUCAGGUCAUUUGAUUUUCAUCUUUCUAUUAUAGAGAGACAUUUCCUAAUAAUCUAGGGUUUAGAGAAUCUGCUUUUUUAGCCAAGAAUCUAUGUUGAUCGUCAUUUUUAUUUAGGUCAACCAAUUUAGAUUCAUGGAGCCCUGAGCAAUUGAAAAUGAUGAUAUAUGGAGGAAACAACAGGGCACAAGUCUUUUUCAAGCAGUAUGGAUGGAGCGAUGGAGGUAAGACCGAGGCUAAGUAUACUUCGAGAGCUGCUGAUUUGUAUAAACAGAUUCUUGCUAAAGAAGUUGUUGCUAAAAGCAAGGCCGAGGAAGUAUUAUUGGAUUUGCCUCCAUCUCCUCCUGUUUCAUCAACACAAGUGCCCAAUGGGCUCUCCAGCAUCAAAACCAGUGAAGCUCCUAAAGAGAGUAAUAAUACGCUAAAGCAGCAAGAAAAGUCUGAAGUUGUUCCCGUCUCACCCAGAGUUUCUCGCAGCGUUAAGAAACCUCUUGGUGCUAAGAGGACAGGCAAAACAGGUGGACUUGGCGCCCGGAAACUAACUACUAAGGUCAGGAACGUUCUUUACUCUUUAUAGAAUUUGUUGAGAGAUAUCACAAAAGAAGUUUUUGAUUACUUGCAGUCGAGCGAGACUCUUUAUGAUCAAAAGCCAGAGGAAUCUCUUGUUAUACAAGUGACUUCCCCAGCAUCAGCUAAAUCAGCCAGGUCAUCGUUUUCCUCUCGCUUUGAUUACGCGGACAGUGUUCAAAACAGAGAAGAUUACAUGAGCCCUCAAGUGGUUAGUCAUGUAGCUCCACCAAAAUCAUCAGGCUUCUUUGAGGAAGAGUUGGAGAUGAACGGAGGCAGGUUUCAGAAGAAACCAGUCACAAGUUCCUCAAAAGUGCAAGUGAGUUUCACUCUUUUGUACUAAAGAUUUGAGUAGAUUCAUUUUGUACUCACCGUCUUUAGCAUCUACCAGAUUCAAGAAACAGAUGAAGCACGGAAGAAAUUCACAAACGCGAAAUCAAUCUCCUCUGCUCAGUAUUUCGGAAGUGACAACAACUCGGCCGACCUUGAGGCCAAAAGUACAUUGAAGAAGUUCUCCGUACGUUUCCUCUUAGUUGACCCUACUUGCCUUAACAAAUUGAUACUUGUGUUUUCUGUUGCCUUAACUUACAUUUUUAAAAACAGGGUUCAUCAGCAAUCUCUAGUGCUGAUUUGUUUGGAGACAGUGAUGGAGAUUUCACUCUUGAUCUCACCGCGGGUGAUCUUCUCAACCGCCUAUCUCUCCAGGUCUCAUUUCAAUACUUGUCAUGCAUGCUCUCUUUUUCUAUGCAAAUAACAACAGAUUUUGUCAUCAUUAAGACGUCUUAUAAAUGUGUUAGGCUCAACAAGACAUGUCAUCAUUGAAGAACAUGGCAGAGGAGACAAAGAAGAAGCUUGGCUCUGUUGCUUCCAGCUUAUGGGUUUGAAAUGUUCAUAAUUCUCUAAAGUCCAUUCAACUUUUUUAUUUUAUUUUUUCUUAUACUCUAAAUUCCAUUUACAAAAUCAGUUAUCCUAUUCUUUUACCAGGGAAACUCUGUUUCGAGUUAUCAAUAUUUUGUAUAAUUGAGAUUAUUUUGUGUUACUUUGUAAAAAUUGUCAAAUAAAAAAAUAUGUUGUGUGCAUUUGGAUGUUUAUUGUCUUAGAUGCAUCCGACUUUACUCAUAUAAGACUUACAUCGUAUAAACCAUCCCAAACUAUCUUCCGCAUUUCGAGAUUCACAGUGACCAUAUAUCCCUUGACAAUUUUCAUCUUCACCAAAUUAAAUGUUUGUGAAUUUUGUUUGGUAUGGAAAUUUGACGUUUUUGUAAGGAACUUAAGAAAGUCAAAAAGAUUUUUUGUAAGGAACUUAAGACAAUGACCAUAGUUGAUACUUGAUACCUUCCAUAAAGAGAAACAAGCUAAAAUAUGUGUUGUGGAGUGGAGCCAUGUUUGAAGAGGGAUUCUCUAAAGGAGCCUAAGAGCAUCUCCAAUGGUGAGAGCCCUCUCAUGGGCUCUCUCCCAUUCUUUAAUAUUAAUUGUGAAAAUUUGUAAGAAGAGAGCUUGUAUUUUUUUUGAAAAAAAAUUCAUAGUCCAAUGGUAGUAUCUCUCAAGUGGGGUUCUCUUCAAAUGUUUCAAAUUUUUGUCCACAAUCUCUAAAUCUCAAAAAAGAAAUCAAUACCUUGCUAAAGAAAACAAUGUUAACUAGUUUCUUUCUCUUAAGAAGUAUAGAAGUCGAAAAGAACAUAUAUCCAAGAACACAAAGAACAUGUCUUAAGUAGAACACAAGUUUUAAGAAGAACACAAAGAACAAGUCGAAAAAUCAACACACCUUACUCUUAAGAAGUACAGAAGCACAAAUCCAAGAGACUCUUGGUCAGCUCUUCGACUUUGCUCUGUGAAAGAGAAACCAAAAUAUAUGAGCAAAGACGGUUUACUUCACAUAAGGAGAUUAAAAUUGGCAGUAUGCCUUACCAAUACCAGUUUAGGAACAUAUAAGAUUCUUAAUGCAGUACCACUAAAGAUCACAAUCAAUCAGGAACAUAUAAAACUUUCCAAUAAGAUCAUUUUCUGAAGUUCAAAAACAAUGAAUUCUUAGCUAGGGAAUCGUGUGUAGGAAAGUACAUAAUUUCAAAUCCUCACCAACUCCAGUAUUCAAGAAGAAAAAAUCUUCAGGCAUGUUCCAAUCAAUCUCAUUAACCUGUUACAAGAAGACGAAAGACAUGAGAACAUUCCAUACAGCACCAGAAAAUUACUAGGCGAUUAUUACAUGAACAAGGGACUUAGGUGAAAUAUAACUGCAUGCACUUUUAAUAGGAGACAGGGAAGGGGAAAAACCUUAUCAAAAAGAUUAACAAGGGUAUGAGCUUACGUUACCUCAUAACAAGAGAUGGGGCUCGAGACAAUACCCUAUUACCAACAGCUACAUGUGUCCCAUCAGGUUUGUAAGUGAUGUUUAUAUUCUCUCCACUAAGUUCUGCCUGCUGUGUGCAUUUUCCACCUGUAUAACUCGAAGAAGACAUAUCUUAGCAAUUGAUAGUAAUAUUUGUGAAUGACACAAAGCUAAUCCAUUAGAAAAUUUACAGAUUUCUAAACCAAGCUCCAUGCAUAUUUCAGAAGCAAAACUAAACGAUUAAGAGAAUACUUCUCCAUAUGUAUUCAUCAUCAUCAAAAAUACACAGAAGUUCCCAUAGCUCAAAAGGUAAAGAAAUUACAUGACCGUGUGGUUCGAUAUUCCAAAUGCGAGUCGUUUGAUCAACAGAACCCGAAGCAAGAUUUGUUCCAUUAGAAUUCCAAGCUACAGAAUGUACCUUCAAUCCCAAAAAUUCCCCCAAAUUCAGCAAAAAAACUAGGAUUUCGCAAGUUUUAUUGACUACAGAAAAUUAGACUGGAGAUAGAAAAAAUAAAACCCUAAUUUUGGAGAUUCAACCACAAAAUACAAAAUUAAAUCACGAUUUACACUCAAUAAUUGCUUGAUUAAUACCUAAUUUGGAGCUUCCAUCACAGAUUUCACUCCAAAUCACUUUCGGUUCCGAUUGAGUUUGGUCUUCCUCCGCCAAUGGACAACAGCUUCUGUCGACUUGAUGAUUUCGGCGUCUCAGAUUCCUCGAUUACACACAUAAACGGCUUGAUUCAUCGAAAAUCAUAGAUCAAUGAUUUUCUGUUUGGUCGCGAGAGAGACAGAGAGAAAAGAGAGUAGUCGUGUUUAGUUUUAUUUUUGCGGAGGAAACGAGAGUUGUUUAUUUUUUUGUUUUGUUAAAUAUGACGACCCAAUCAAAUAAGGACACGUGGUCGCCUCUCUCAUCCUCAGAAAGCUCUCUGAAGAGAGCUGGCUCUCUCAAUUUUAUUCACUUUUGAUUUAUUUUUUUGCAAUUAAUUCAAGAGAACCUCUGAAUUUGUUCAUUACAUCCUCCCAUUGGAGAUGCUCUAAGUCCAAAAACUUGAGCAUCAUGAUAUAUUUUUAUGUAUUCUUUUUUUUUAAAAGAGUAUCAAAAUUUUAAAAUCUACUAAUAUAUCUUCUUUUGUUUUGGUAAUCUAGGAUUGUAAUCUUACAUUAGCCCCCAAAAUGAUGAGUUGUCCUAAAAUAGAAUAACCUUACAAAAACAUCUAUUAUAAGAAUUCUUUUUUAAUCCACCGAACGAUCAAACACUAAAAAUAAGCAAACUGCCACCCAAACUAUUUGUCUUUAUCUCUCUUUCUUCAUUUACAAAAAAAGAGGAAGCUCUUAGUUUUUUAUCCCCUAAUUCCUCAACAACAAAACAAUCAAAACCCAUUAAUAUAGGUUUUCAUUAGGUACUCAAAGUUUGAUUUCUUGUCAUUCAAACAACCAGAGAACCCUAAAAGGAACAUCACCAAAAGAUUGUCAUUUGAGAUUUGAGCUCUCUUCGUGAUACCACAACCGCAUUUUGAGGUGUCCCCUUUUCUAAUCAAUUUAAGCAAAUCAAAACUCAGAAGAUAACAACCUUUAAAAAAUCUCUCAUUUUCGAUUCGGUUUCCGUAAGAAACAGAAACAAUGAGCCUGAACUGCCUCGCUUGCCACAUCUUGCAAAGAACAGACUCGGACAGAGAAAUAGGAAGCCUUAAAGAUUCAAACUUCAAAGAAAAUUUCGCAACUUCAAGGUAUGACAAGAUGGUAAGGAACAGAUCAUCGUUGCCAGUAGUAAGACGGGUUAAUAAGGGUCAUCGCAGGCUUUACAGUGCGGAGAUCAUGGUCUAUGGGGAACUGGACGAGCCCAAGCUGGUCAGAAGCAGUGGGAUCAGAAGGGAUUGGAGCUUUGAGGAUCUAAAGAAAAAUAAAGAUCAGCUAAGAAUUGAAGAGACAAUAAAGGAAUAAAACAGAUCCUUUUGCUAGGUUUCUUCUAAUGUUCUUGUUAACCUGUUCUGUUGUUUUCGAUAAGUUUACGGAUUUUCUGUGAUCCGACAUGAUAAAAUCUGUGAAAGUUCAUAUAUAUGAAUUCAUUUUCCUAAUGAAGAUUCUAUAAGAGCUGAAGUUUCAAUCCCAAUUCCAUGAGAUGAAGGAACACAUGAUUCACCUUCUUUUUUUUUUGGUUUUAAUGUGAAGAUGAUUCACCUUCUUCAGAUAGAGUUUGCCCUUAGAUGUAUAAAUUCUUGAAAAAGGUUCAAUUUUUCAUCUUUCUAGCUUCUGCUUUCCAAUCUCUCCGACAGUGACUUAUGUUCAUAAGAAUCAUAACCAUAAAGCUCUGCUUCCCGCUCUCAGCCCUUUCCUCUCCCAUAUACGAGCGUUGCCUUUCUUGUUGUUUCAUGCACAAAACAUGAGACCAAUGCUGCCUCAUGAACCGUCUCUGUUUUCAUCCAUGCACAAAAGUAUAUAGACGUUUUAGCACUAACACUCAACACCGGAAGUAACAAACACAUGUUUCUAUUAGAAACAUUUAGCUUCUUCAUCAGUUUCAAUACCAUAAAGGGUAAUGCAUUCAAGUAAGAACCAAUAGAAUACUUAACAUAUAAGAUUGAAAAACCUAAAACCAAUAGAUACAUAAACACAAGUGAUAAGAACAGAGCACAUAAAGCUCUAAUCCUCUUUACACAACAAGGAUCACGUAGGAUGAUUUAUUUACGAUCUUUGUAUAUAGCUAGGCUAUGCAAUCCAUUCUAAUUCUGUUACAAGGACUCCUAUGCACGUAUCAACAAUAAACAGAGUUAAUAAUUCUAAAGAUGGAUAAACCAGCAACUGGGGUGGUGGCGCAGUUGGCUAGCGCGUAGGUCUCAUAGCUAUUGAGUGAUCCUGAGGUCGAGAGUUCGAGCCUCUCUCACCCCAUUCAUUUUUAAUUAUAACAUGUCUUUUAAUAGUUUUGUGUUUUUAGUUCAGAUAAAAAAAAAAUUGAUUGUACUGUGCUACGAUAAUUUUGAUGGUACCAGUCGGUCAUCAUCACCAAAAGAAAUAUAUAAAAUCAUUUUUUUUUUUCUCUAAUUUUGUUGUUGUUGAAAUAUUAGUAUAGUUUUAUUGUUAAUAUUGAUCAUACCAAAUCCAAAAUAAAUUCAAUAAAUUGAAAAUAAAAAUAAAAGGAUAUUUUUAAAAUGGAUAAGAUUAACGCAGAUUUUAUUGGAUAAAAUCAUCGCAAAUCUCUGUUGUUGGUACAAUUGUCCUUAAAUUUUGCGUGCGAUCUUAUCUUAAAAAAAAUCGAAUACUUAACCCUUAAUCCAACGGUGAUUAGGGUAAAAGACUAAAAGGCAUUGCUCUACUAUAAAUAGGAAAGCAUGAUACGCGAUAGAGAUAAAAAAAAUAGUGAGAACGAGAGAUUUAAAAAUUACAUCGAUUAUUUUUUGUCAACUAACAAAGUUUAUAGAUUGAUUGAUAGUAUUUGGAUUUUUGUUAUCUAAUCAACAAAGAGAUUAUUUUCUCUAAAUUUCUUGUUUUUUGUAGGUUCUAGCGAGUCAAAUACUUUUUUCCCAAAUUAUAAACACCGUUUAUCAAAUUUUGUGUGACUAAGGGUGGACACAUAGCGGAUAUCAUGGAUUUUGGUGGUAUUCGUGAUCCGUUUCGUCCGGACCCCACUUUAAUAUAUGUAUCUGUUCUGCAACUAAUCGGAUAUUCAAUGUUCGAAUAUCCAGAUUUUCAUCGAGAUAUCUGAUCCAUUAUGUAAGAUUUUUUUAUUUUAUUUUAAAACAUAUAAAAAAGUUACCUAAAAAUAGCUAUAUUACAUUAAAAAUCUAUAAAAAUUUUGUUUAGCUUUUAUUUUAAAAUUAAUUUGAUGAAUAGAAAUUAAUAAGAGUUAUAUAUGUAAUUAUAUAUAUAUAUAUAUGCCGGAGUUAAAUGGAUAUCCGUCUCUUAAAAUUUUAUUAUUUAUGAUUUUUUAUUUUUUAAAAGAUACUAAUUUUUACUAUUUGUUUUGUUUCGUAAAGUUAUUGAUAUUGGAAUAUUUCAAAUCAAAUUGAAAAUGAUAAACAAGUGAAUCUAACAUAUAGUUUUUCGAAGCAUAUGUGUGAAAAAUAUCUUGUAUCUUUUCUAAGUAUUUUUUUAUAAUAAGUAAUUUUAGUGUAAUUCUAAAAAAAUAUUAUUAGUUUGAAGAAGACAAAAAAGAUAUGGUUUCCUCAUUAUAGUACUUUUUAUCAGAAGAUUAUUUCUUUUUAAAAAGAUGUAUAUAUAGAUAUCUUGCUAAAAGAGGAGUUUUCUAGAAAUGCUCUAUUAGCAUGUAAAAACAAGAUUUCUAUUUUUCUUAUGUAUUGUGCUUGUCCUUCCUAUUAUAUAUACUAAUCUUUCCAUUUUCCAUUGAAAUUUUCUUAUUACAAACUUAAAAUAACAGCUGGGCAAAUUUAUGUAAGAGACGAGUGUGAUGAUAGGAACACGUCAGCUCCACAUCACUCCAGUCUGGCAAAUACACGAAUUAAAUAUAAAUAAGAAAAAGACACGAACAAAAAAAUUGUGGAAUCUAGUUUCGUCUCAUUUCUUCUUCGUUGACACAAUUAGGGUUCACUUCAAUUCUCUUCUCUGGAUCGUAUUACUUGGGGAAAUUUAAAGAUCUGGCUCUUUUGGGUUAGCUCGGAUCCAAAUUCUCAUGUGAAAGACCUGAACUUUUGCUCCAUCUUAAUCGUUUUUUUCUUCUUCUUGGGCUGGUCUGGUGGAUAUACAGAGAAUUGAUAGUGUUUGAAUUGUAAUUCUCGGAGUAUUUUGCUUUAGUGUUUGAUCGAGUUUCUGAGCUUAGUAUCGUGGGGUUUUGGGUUUAGGGGAGGAUAAAGUAGCUUAAGAGCUGAGGAUCUAGUUUCUUAGGCUUGGCACUUUCAGCUGAAUUUUGAUUCGUUUCUGGACUCAUUAGUUUGGUAAUGAUUAGUUUUGGAUAUUUGUUGGAUUAGGUAACUACUAGACAGAGGGAUUAGCUACCAGAGAUUUGGGUUUUGGCUGAUUUAGCGUUGGUUGGUUUUUGGAUUGGUAGUGAGGGUUUACCAAUAGCAUAGUAUUGGAUUUUAGUGUGGAUUUUUGUGGAGAUGGAUAGGCCUAGACAAAAUGAUCAUUUGGGUGUGAAUAAGAUUGGGAGAAAUAUCAGAAAGAGUCCUCUGCAUCAACCGACUUUCGCUGCCAAUGCUAGCAACGUUGCCGCGGCAAGGCCUCAAACACAGCCUCAGGUUUAUAACAUAAGCAAGAACGACUUUAGAAGUAUUGUUCAGCAGCUAACGGGUUCUCCAUCACGUGAAUGCCUUCCUCGGCCUCCUCAAAACAACCCGCCAAAGCCUCAGAAUACACGGUUGCAGCGGAUCAGACCAUCCCCCUUAACGCAGAUAAACCGGCCUGCGGUUCCUCUCCCUACCAUGGCUCCUCCACAAUCUCAUCCUCAGUUUGUUAGACAGCAUCCACCCCAGCCGCCUUUCCCACAAAGCACACAACAACCAAUGAUGGGUCACAGGGACCAGUUUUGGUCCAAUACAGCUGAGUCUCCCGUCUCAGAGUAUAUGCGUUAUCUUCAAAGUUCACUUGGAGAUUCAGGACCCAAUGGUAACCAAAUUCAGCCAGGUCAGGAGCAGCGGCCCUAUAUCCCAGGUCAUGAGCAGCGGCCAUAUAUCCCAGGUCAUGAACAGCAGCCAUAUAUCCCAGGUCUUGAGCAGCGGCCAUAUAUGCCAGGUCAUGAGCAGCGGCCAUAUAUGCCAGGUCAUGAGCAGCGGCCAUAUAUGCCAGGUCAUGAGCAGCGGCCAUAUAUGCCAGGUCAUGAGCAGCGGUCAUAUAUGCCAGCUCAGUCUCAGUCUCAGCCUCAACCUCAACCUCAGCAACAUAUGAUGCCUGGAUCGCAACCUCGAAUGAAUAUGCAAGGCCCUCUUCAACCUAACCAGUAUCUACCACCACCCGGGUUAGUUCCUAGCCCAGUGCCUCGUAAUCUUCCUUCCCCUCGGUUCAAUGCUCCUGUACCUGUCACGCCUACUCAGCCCUCUCCCAUGUUCAAUCAGAUGUAUGGUGGAUUUGCUUCUCCUCGAUAUAACGGUUUUGGACCACUGCAAUCACCUACAUCCCAAUUUCUUCUACCAUCUCCUACCGGUUACCCGAAUAUGUUCUCUCCGAGAUCACCUUACCCAUUGCUAUCACCAGGAGUUCAGUAUCCUCAACCACUUACCCCAAACUUCUCAUUCUCACAAAUUGCUCAACAAGGAAGUCUUGGACCCGGUGCAGGUGCAGGUGCAGGUCCAGGUCAAGGUCCUCCUCAGCCUCCUCCUUCGCCAGGGCUCAUGUUCCCUUUAUCUCCAUCUGGGUUCUUCCCCAUCCCAAGUCCAAGAUGGAGUGAUUUCUAGGUGCUCUCUUUUCUAUCUAUCCGAUUUAUUGAAUUGAGUAAAUCGCAGUAUGGUUAUUCAAGUCUCCUUAGGUUAGUCUGUUCUUUGAAAGAAGCUUAGAACUUCAGAGCCUACAGUGGAAUAGACGCAGCAGAAUAGAUGCGUAAAACACUAAAGGAGCUUUUAGAAGCAAGGAAGAUUUAUAGGUGUUUUUUUUUUCUCUGUGUGAUUUUUAUAGGGACGAUGAUGAUUACCUUUGUUUUUGUUUAUCACAAAAUUAGUUUUAUCUUUGCGUAAUUUGUACACAGACUACAGAUGAACUCUUCAAUUUAUAUGAUUUUUGGGUGUUUUCAAAGCAAGUGUCUCUCUACUUUUUUACUAAGAACAAAAAUCAAUAACAUAUUACUAAUUCGUUUCUUCGAUAGAAAAAUUGACAAGUGAAAUUUUUUUGGAUAAUAAUUAACAAUAGAUGCAGAAACAAUUGGUACAUUGAUAUAACCCAAAAAGAUCAACUCACUGAACUACAAAAGGUGGUACAAAAAACAGACCGAAAUUUUCUCGAAGGAUUAUGAGUAUGACACAUGGCAUCAAAGAAAUGAUCAAUGAAUACAUAAACUUAUGAAAAUGCAGAACCGUGUGUGUUGAUCCAAUUUACCUAGGAGAUUAGAGCUAGAAUUUUUGUAAAUAAUAUAUGGAUGUCAAGAUCAACAUACAAAUUGCCAAUAAAUUGUUCUAAGAAAUAAGUUAAAGAAAAGAAUGACAUCCAUAUAAAUUUUAUGGUGAAAAAAAACAAGGCGCAACUAAUUUUGGUCAAAUCUAACGGAAACACAACCGUGAACGAGAUUGGCAUUAGAUGACAGAAAAAUCUCCGGUUCCUUUCCGCAAAAAUUGUAUCCACGUCCAUGGCCGUGCAAGACUAUGUGCAUGUUGGUCAUUUAGUCACAAAGUAGGACUUUUCUUUUUCUCUUCAGUUUAUUUUUUUAAUUUUUUGGCAAAAUAGGAUCUUUCUUUAAUUGAAGAACAUAAUAAUUAUUGACAGGACCGGCCCAAUAGAUCAUGUUGUCUAAAACAAAAAUAAGUCCCCUUAACCCCAAUGUUUUUUUAAUCACAAAUUAUCAGUCUUGAGCUUUGAACCUGUUACAUAUACACGUUUUACAAAAUGAACCAUUGAUGUAAGCUCUGUUUACAAAAAUAGACCCUUUCACUACUGCAUACAAUAGAAACCAUCUUAUUAUAUAAAGUAUGGUUUUCAAAAUUAAUAACUCAUAUGAUCGUGACACAUGGCAAAUUUAUCGAUCUUAGAUUUUGACACGUGUAAAACAAAAAUUUCCUUUUUAAAAUAAAAAAGAAGAUAAUUGAAAAUAACUACAAAUUUAAAUAAUUUUAAAAAUGUAAAAGAUAAUUAUAAGAAAAAUUGUAAAUAAUUCAUAUUUCUAUAAAAAAAAUUUAAAAAAUGUCAAAAGAUAAUAAUAAGGAAAUUAUACGUUUUUUAUAUUUCAAUUAAACAAGAAAAAAAUCAGGCAAAUUUAUUAAAAAGGAAACAUAUUAAAAUUUUGAUAUUAUUUAUCUCAAUUUCUUCUCCAAUUAGAGAUAUGUGAUAAUUUAAUUAAAGUAAUCCUCAUAUUAUUUAUUUGAGUUUAUUUUUUCAAUUAGAAAUAUGUGAGAUCAAUUUUUUUUUCCUUUUUGUAAUAUUUUUUUACUUAACUGUUUUUGUUUGUCUUCAAUUAUGAUUGUAGUAUAGUUAGAUUGUUUUUUUUGUUUGUUUGUUCUCAAUUAUGAUUAUAGUAUAGUUAGAUUGUUUAUUUCAAUUUCUCUUUUCAUAUUUAAAUUAGAGAAAUUGUUAAAAAUGUCCCUUUUUCAAUACCCCUUUUCAAAAAUGUCCCAUUUGAGAGUCUAUUUUUAAGUUUGCCCUCUUUAAAUUUUUAAUGACCAUUUUACCCUUAUUUGAAAAAAAUCGUCUAUGUAAUAGACAAUAAAUAAAUCAUUAAAAACAAAUAUUAACAUUCUCAUUAAGUAAUCGAAAAUUCAAUCAUAUAAUCUAUUUUCCCAAAUAUUUUGUGUUUAUAAUGAUUCCGCAAUUUUUUGGCGGGAAAAAUUUUUACGGGAAAAUUUUACAAGGUAUUUUAAAGGUUUUACAAGUUUUUACAUGUGUUUUGGCGGGAAAAUUGCGGGAUCACUUUUCCCGCCAAAAAAUAUUUUGUAUUUUGUGGACCUAAUUUUGUUUCAGAUAAGGGUAAAAUGGUCAUUAAAAAUUAAAAGAGGGCAAACUUAAAAAUGGACUCUCAAAGGGGGCAUUUUUGAAAAAGGGUAUUGAAAAAGGGCAUUUUUAACAAUUUCUCAAAAAAAAUUGUAAUUAACUUAAGAUAUCCUAUAAUUGCCAUUAAUUAAUCUGUUGAGGAUAUUUUAUAUUAUUAUUGUUACUAUUUAUUUAUUUAUUUACUGUAUAUUAAACUACAGUAAAUAUACCAUCUUUCUGUUUUUUUCAUAUUUAAAUUAUCAAAGAUUCAUAUAUCAUCGUGUUUAUAAUUUUUUAUUUUUAGUUUAAUUGUUGUAUCUUUGAAUUAUUUAUUUUGGUUUUUACGUUCAGUUUAAAUUAUAUAAGAUUUAUAAUAUAUCAUAGUUCUAAUGAUUUUAGAUAGCGACAUGUGUCAUGAUUUAAAUUACAAAUUUAUAUUAUUUAUAUCAAUAUUAUUUUCUAAUUAGAAAUAUGUGAUGAUUUUAAGUAAAGUGUUAUAUUGUUUUAUUUGAAAUUCUUGAAUAUGUAAGAAAAAUAUAUGCUUCUUUUUUGUUUUUUGAUAUUUGGAAUUUAAUUAUACUAUUUCAAAAUAGUUUAUUUCAAUUUUAUGUUCAUAUUUGAAUUAUAUAAGAUUCAUAUAUCAUCGUUCUUAUAAAUUUUUGAAUUUAUUAAUUUUUAUUGAUUGAUCAUAAAGUUGUUGCAAUCGAGUAUAUAGGAAUCGAACCUGUAACGUUAGCUUGGAAGGCAAAAAAAAUUAGUCGAUUUAUCAUAUUUAUAUUUUUAACGUGUCUAAUUAAACACCACUGAACAGACAACAACUGAGGAUACACAUCCUAAGAUAUGAUGAAUAUUUUUAAUUUUUGUUCUUCAUAUAAGUAUAUCAUGAAUUAUUGUUAUGUGAAUAUGUGAUAUAUCUUUCAUUCGAAAUAAUUUUGAAUUCAUAAUUUUCGUGGUUAAAGAAACAAGGCAAUAGUGAAAAAGUAAAUAUUGUUUUUACUUUUGAAAGAAAAUUUCUACUUACAACGUUGUUAAUUAAUUUUUUGUUAGAUUUAAUUUUAAUUUUUUAAUAAACAUGGACGGGUCCUUAUCUAGUAACGUAUAUAUUAGACUUUAAUAGAGGAUAUGCAUUUAAAUGUGCUGAUAGUUAUACUAACAUAAGGCCCAAUGAUUUUUUAAACAAUGCCCGCUGAUCACGUCUUUCAAUUAGAUUGAGGUGGAGACUAAACCGGACCGACGGUAUAAUCCAUGGGGUAGGUAGGGAAACGAGUGAACCGAAUCAGGGGUAGGUGAAGAAGUGACCUAUCCGACAUGAACCAAACACGGUCGGGUCGGAUCCUUACACUAACCAUCUCUACUGACCCGACUGAAACAAUUCCGAAAGAACUGCGCCUUUUAAUAGUAAAAGAAAAAGGUUUCAAACCCUAGACCACGACUUCAAACCCUAGACAACGACUUCCACUAUCGGUGAUCCAACGGAAGAGAAUGAAGAGAAGAAGACGACCAGAGAAGGAGAUUCUUCCUGUGGAUGUGGUGACGGAGGAGAUCCUUACGAAACUGCCUGUUAAAUCCCUUAUGAGAUUCAAGUGCGUCUCAAAACUUUGGUCAUCGGUCAUCAGCUCACGAUACUUCAGCAACCGUUUACGCACGGUCCCAUCCCGACCGCGCCCUCGACUUUACAUGUGUUUGCGGGAUCUCACUGACUACCAAAACUCUGUAAUGCUAUCAUUGGCGCCAGACACUACGUCUUCUUGCUUUGUAGUUGACCACGAUCUGACCAUCCCACGGCUGGGAGGCUACUUCUUGCAAUAUCUUCCUGGCUUCAUAUGUUACAACUUUCUGGGAAAGCCACGGAUUUAUAACCCUACCACCAGACUACUUGUCACCUUACCAGCCGCCAUGAAAUCCAACAACAUGAUGCCGAUUCCCACUCCUCCUCCAGGAGAAAGUAUCAAAAUCGUAGCUUACUAUUUCGGACACGACCACGUUAUCGACCAGUACAAAGUGCUCUGCUCAACUGGUGUCAGAUUGAAAAAUUUUCAAGAGAUAAGGUCAGAGCAUCGGGUCUUUGUCCGAAAAGCUGGAGGAAGAGGUUCCUGGAAAAAGGCGGCUCCAACGUCUCCAGCGGACUUUCUUCCUCACAUUCCACUCAAAGGAGGAGUGUGUAUCGAUGGGGUUAUAUAUUACAUGGGUUGGACUGAUUCGUAUAAUUCUGUGCUUGUCAGUUUCCACAUUAGAUCCGGAGACUUCAAAAUGAUCCAAGUACCUCGCAGGGACGGAGAUGAGCUGCCUGGACGGGUCAAGAAUGUGAGUCUUAUAGAGUAUGGUGGCAAAGCAACUAUCAUUGACCAGACUAAUCUUAGAGAAAAGGGUAGGCUGGAUUUAUGGGCCGUGGAAGAUGCCGGGAACAAUAAAUGGUCGAGGAGGACUCUGGUUUUGCAGCCUUCUCAGCUGCAUUUAGUCAAUAACAACAUUAUAUUCAAUGUCAAAGGUACAACUCAAAAUGGAAAGGUUUUCUUGAUACCACAGGAUUUGCUUUCUCCCUUUCACAUUCUCUGGUAUGAUCUUCAAAGCAAUGACAUGAGAAAGAUCGAAAUCAAUGGUGUACCGGAUCACUGGUUUAGCAAGGACAAGUUGAAAGUUAAAAUGAUGUUGAUGGAUCAGAGUGAGAGUCUCAUGUACUUCUAGGCUUGAAUAAAUCAUUCCUUUUUACAUCUAAUGCAUGUUUUUUGAGUGUUUGGACUAAACAGCUUAAUGUUUUUCGGGUUUUUCUUGCAUCCUCAGAAUCUAUAUAUAGAUAUAGAUCGCAUAUUCAGUGUUUACCAAUCCCUAAUUAAUAAAUUAGUAAAGAAAAAUGUGGGGUGUCACAUUGUGUGUUGUUACAGCUUUAGUGGUCGUCAAGACCAGUCUCUGGCUCUAUACAUGGGAAAACCCUAACGGCAAGUUAUCUCCCGGUUCAAUGGGGUUUCCGGUGAUCCGUAGAAACCGUUAAGUUCUCCAAACCUUACAGAUUCGAUGACAUCCCUCCAUUUGUCAAGAAAAGAAUGUCAUUGUUGGUCGGUCGUCUCAUUUCUCUUAUUUCUUCUCUGAGCGCCUCGGGUUCUUUGUUCCGGACGAGUAUCCUCGGCUCUAAGACGAUUGUUUGGACAGACCCGGAAGUGAACUUUGAGAUUUUUAGACAAGAGAACAUGUGUUUCAUCAUGAGAUAUAUAUCCAGAAGCUGUUGUCAGAAACGUUGGGAAAGAUAACUUGUUCUUCAAGCAAGGCACAAGGACUUCCACAGGUACAUGCGACGGAUUGCUCUGCGACUGCUCGGUCACCAGUGUUUCAUAUAUAUACACAAAUUAAUUAAAACGACCUAGAAACACAGGAGCAUCUCACAUCUGACACCCGAUCCCAUGGCAUCUUUAGAUGUCAAAGAUACUAUUGGAAGGGUGUAUAUAUAUAUAAUAUAGGCCCUUAACGUACGUACGGUAUCCAUUUUAAGCAAUCAAUGUUUAUCUAUUCUGAUGGGGUUUAUUUUUAUUAUUAUUAUCAUGUGUUCUAUUGCAGCUAAUAUUGGAGUAAAUAAUCAAGAUGAUCAUAAGUGACAUCAAACCUAGCUAAUAGAACUUGUAGAAAACGUUUAAGAUAUCUCAGUUUUGAUUUUGUUCUUUUCGGAAGGCUCAUUACAUUUAGUCUAAUGGUAAGAUCUCUACCUAGUUAGCUUUUCACCCUAAGUACUUGGCUAGUUAUUAACACUUUGCAUGAAUCUAAUGUUAAGUUAACUGAUUACUUCUUAUAAAAGAACUACAUAUACUUCUACUACUACUACUAUGACGCCUAACCCUCUCAACCGCAUAUACUUAAAGAGCACAAUGUCAGUUUUAAUUAAGAUUGAUAUAUUUUCUAUACAUAUCAGUUUUUUGUUUCUUGUUAAGCAUGUAAAUAUCAUUAUUGAAUGUAGAGGUAAAUAUCUAGGUUUUGCUUUUGCACAAAUGUACAUAUAUCAGUUUUGAGCUCCUCUUCUCACUACACGCUAAUAUUAUACAAGUAAUUAAUGGUCCUAGUGGAUGAGAUAAAUCACCUAGGUAAUUCAAUCACCAAAAAGCAAGCAUUUAUAGAUCACAUAGUCCAGAAUAAUAAACAUUUGAACGAAACUUAAUUUCGUGAUUACUUAGAAAAUUAAAUGUGUGUGUAUGGUUCCAUAAGCAUUAAUUCUAGAAAAUAAAACAUUUGACACAUAUUGUUUCGAGUUUGAUUAAUUAACAUUAGAUUAAUUAAGAAGUUCAUUUUACAAGUAUCACACUAACUAUAACAACAAUACUAUAACCCUAAAUGAUUAGUGGAAAACAAAAUUUUAGGAAAUUAAAAAACCAAUGAAACAACUUAUUUUCUUUCAAAAAAAAGAACAAUCAACAUUAGAUUAAAAAAUUAUAGCCAAGGAGAAGAAAACAAAACACGUACCGGUAAAAGUCAACAAAAAUAGUUCUUUUUUUUUCUGUCAACUGCCUUUCUUUUUCAUUUAAUAAAUGUAUAAAUCAUUAUAGAAAAAAACGAGGCCGUUAUCUGGGAAAGAGGGAAGGCCCAAAUAUAGAGAACCCAAUAUACCAGCGCGUGCUUUUCACUCUCAAGGAACGCGUGAAGAGAGGAGAGAGACCAAAGGCCGUUAGAACACAAUCCUGCAAAGAAUAAAACCUCGAUCCGUUACAUCCUCUACUGCUGAUCGUCGAUAUGGAUGCAAGAAUUGAACGGCUACGAUUAAAUCUGAAGAUUGUAGAAAUUAAUUAAAAGUUCAAAAUCCUCUGGUUUUAUCAAAAGAAAUCGUACAAGAGGGUGGAGAAAGUUGAUGUGUGUGUGUGUGAUGCAAGAAACAAAAGUUACGUGUAAUAAAUAGAAUAAAUGUUGAAUGCUAGUGAAUCUGACAUCCAUUUGCUUAUCGUUGUUUAUAAAUCACGACUAACUAAUUAUAUUAUUUAAAAUUUACUCCAAUUGUGACAUUAUUUCAAUUAUAGUUUGGAUAGUUGUUUUUUCUUCUUCUUCUGUGAAUUCCAUCAGAGUUUUAAUUACUAUAUUUUAGAAAAGUAUUAUUAAUUUAUUUGAAAAAUAAAUAAUAUUUGAUCUACUGUAUAUUGCUUAUCAUUUUGUUGAGAUGAAAUGAAAAAAGUGAGAAGAAACCCAAAAGAUAAAAGAAUUAUCUUAAUAAAAGUAAAAUAAAAAUAAAAAUGGAACAAUGAUGAUUUCUAGAAUUACCAUUUAUGAAAAAAGUAAUAUAGGAUGGACAAAGUGAUCUAAUUUGUAAAUUAUUUUGUUAUAUACUGUAAUUAAGAGCUAGCUAAAUAAGUUUGUUUUCUCGAGAAAACAAAUAUGUUGAAUUUUGGAAUGUGCAUGUUUGAUGAACAGAGCCGGCUCUAAAGAAUAUUGGGCCACAAGCCGAAAAAAAAUUAUGGCCUAUAAACUACCUUAAAAACAAAAAUUAAAAUUAAUUGAAAUGAUUGGGACUUGGGAAAAUCGAAUCUCCCACCUCUAGUUACCAAACCUUUAUACUUAACCAACAUAGCUACAUAAGAUUUUAGUCAAAAAUGGGGCCGAAAAUUUAUAUAUUUAUGGAGGGCCGCAAGCAUGUGCCUCACAUGCUUCCCUCAAGCGCCGGCUCUGUUGAUGAAAUUAAAAGGAACGAAAUGCUAUCUUUAAUGAUUAUGUGUUUAUUAUAAAAUUUAGAAAUACUAUAAAAUAGUUCAUAUUAUCAUAGAAUGAAAAUACAUUUUACAUUUUUCCUCCCUCCACGUAUAUAUAAUAACAUAGAGAGUCAGAGAAUUUUAUUAUUCCACANNNNNNNNNNNNNNNNNNNNNNNNNNNNNNNNNNNNNNNNNNNNNNNNNNNNNNNNNNNNNNNNNNNNNNNNNNNNNNNNNNNNNNNNNNNNNNNNNNNNNNNNNNNNNNNNNNNNNNNNNNNNNNNNNNNNNNNNNNNNNNNNNNNNNNNNNNNNNNNNNNNNNNNNNNNNNNNNNNNNNNNNNNNNNNNNNNNNNNCGUGGAAAUGAAAAUUGCUGUUCGUGUGUUUUUCGGUGAUGAUGAUCCAAACAUUGGUGUGAUUUUGAGUCCCUUUUGUUGUGAUUUAGAGCCCCUUUGGUGAGAUUCGAGUGAUGUGAUUUAUGCUCUGUUUUAGUCUGUGAGUUGUACAUUAUUCGGUAAGAGUCUAGCACAGUAAAAAAAAACAAGCAUCGGAAUUCAAAGGGAAAGGACUGCUCUAGCGUAGAGUCUGAGAAUAAGAGUCAACGCAUGUUCUCUCUCCGUCGGACAUUUCUGGUUCGGUCAUGGUACUUCGGUUUAUCCGAUCCUCUUUGAGUCGUUAACUCCACCAUCCUCCUCUGUCUCUCCGGUGGCCGAGGAACUACUUCUCCGUUCUCAAACAGCUCAGCUGCAAUUGCAUAACAAACAUUCAGCAAAUAGUUUAUGAGCUAAACUGAUAGAAUCAACAAAAUUUACAUGUACAUAAACCAGAGAAGCACUUAGCAAGUUCAAUCUUUCAUACAUACGAACAAAUGCAUCAUCAAAGAAAAUGGUUUGCUUGAAAAUGCAGUUGAGUUUCAGUGUUUACUAAGAGUGAUGCUUCUCCUAGAGAUCAACUCAUUGAAUGCAAACAAGUUCUUGAUGAUUAUGACAAAGACCAUCAAAGAAAUGAUCAAUGAAUACAACUUACCUCCGUAAUCUUUGAACUCUGGAUCAACAUAAGAGUCCGGAAGCACGAAUAGAACACCAGGAAGUCCUGAAACUCACAAAAAGACCAAUUCCAUCAAUUAGAAUCACAUCAUCUGAUUCUAAAGUACCAUACACAUCCACUGACUGACAAUUGUGUUACAAAAAGAUACCUUCAAGUUUGUUUGAUGUCUCCUCAUCAAUCUCACAGCCAAACCCAAAAUACCUCUCGCAUGAAACAUUGUAGAUCUUCUUUUUAGCUUCUUCCUCACUAUUAAACCAAACAACAAUCAGAUUGUGUAAUGUUACAGUGAAGUAGCUGAGGAAUACUAACGAACAACGACAAGGACUCACCUGCCAACAAUUUUAGCUAGGGUUUGAACAUAGCAAUCAAUCAUUUGCUGUUUCUGCGCAUUUUCGCCGCCGGGCUUCUCCAUGACGAUAAGCCAAUGCUCGUAAUCGCAACCAGGAAAUAGCGGCGCCAUUUCAGUGGGUGGUCGAUCGCUGAAGUUCGAUCCAGAUUUAAGCGGCGAAUAUGAGCCACCGGACCUAUCCAUUCGGGUCCGGAUCGUCGUGAAACGGGUCAAAGCUGGGAUGUAUCCGACGGCGUGGAAGAUCGUCGGUGAGGAUCGACGAGAGAUGAGAUGAGAAGGAAGCGGAGAAGGAGAGGCGGCGGCUUUGGAGGUGGAGAAUAAACGAUUAGCGAUGCGUGAGGCGGUGGAUCGGGAUAGAGUUUUCGCCAUUGAGACUGGUGUGGUUCCCGGCGAUGUCGAGACUAGGGUUUAGGGAUACGAUUGAAGAAGACGAAAGAUGGUAAAACAAAUUGGGCUUGUAGUUUGUUAUUAAUGGGCCUUAUCAUCUCUAAAUAUGAGGCUCAUUUGAAUGAGAGAUAAACACAAUAUGUCUAGUAUCUGUAUCACUGAGACCAGAACGUUGAUGGUUGUAGUUAUAGGAUUUCUUUUGAGUUAUGAUGUUUCACUUCUCUUGUAAAAGUUUUGGUUUUGGUAAUGAUCAAUUUUUAAUAUUUACAGAAUUUUCAUUAAGAAAAUAUAAAUAGUUUAGAUGAUUUUAUUCUUAUUUGAAAUUUGUUACAAUUUGGUUGGUAUUACAUAACUCAUUAAAACAUCAAAUACCACAUUUUCCACCUGGUCCUCCAAACGAAAAAGCUUUUCCGGUGAAUUUGGUAUAACCCCAAUAUGACACCCUAAAGCAACUAUUGGAAUCCGCAUAAAGUCUUACUUUCCUAUCAUCAAUAUAAUCUGCUUUAUAGUCCGAGUUUAUAAUCCCUAUGUUUUUAAAAUGUGCCGUCUUUUUGAAGUCUGGAACGGGAAAAUGUCCAUUACCCAUUGGAGGACUAAAUCCGUCGGGAGAUAAAUAAGUGUUCCCUCCAUAUCUUAUUAGAGAAGCUCCAUUACUUAAGUGCUGAAAUAACUCUUUUGGCCAAUAACCAAUUAUUUCGUUAGACAUUUUCAGUCCCCAAUUUCCGCUGAAUCCAUCCUAAUACAUACAGAAAAAAUGAAAAUUAUAUAUUUUAACAAAUAUCCAAAAGGUCAAAACAAUUCUGUGAUAUGAUAAGUUCAUCUAAACAAUAUAUAUAUAUAUCUUUUUCAUAAAAAAAAACAGAGAACGAGAAAUUAACCUGGAAAAUUUGCAAUUUAAACGUAAGACUUGUUUGACCAUAGGCAGAUGAUCCCCCAAAUCCCUUUCCAAGUGUAGGAUUUCGACUUACAACCACAAAGCCAGGGCAUUGCAUAUUAUAGCACCCUGUUUUUUGGUAACCAUCUCCCUACAUAUAAUAAUAUAUUUACAUAAAUAAAAUAGUGAAAGAUCAUCCAAUUGUUUUGAUCUUUUAUUUCUUAAAACUAAGCUAAUAAAUGUUUUUAUGUGAAUAAGAGUAACUAAAAAUUACUCACAGUCCAAUAGAUUGUAAAUCUCGUGACACUAUCACCGUAUAAUCUUGGAUGUACCUAAAAUUAAAAAAUAUUAACAUAUAGUUAAGUAUUUGUGUAAAAACGUAUUUACAGAAUACAUAAUCUUUAACAAGUAAUUGAUAGUAUUGACUUACUGCCCAACCAGCUUGUAUACUAUUGAGUUGAGCUCGAGGUCCAUUCUCUAACCAUAUUUGACUUUUACUGUAUUGAUUAUUUUGCAAUUUAAGAUCAUGAACACUUAUUUCAGCUUCAGUUCCCCGAUAGAUACUUCCAUCUAACGUAGUCUCAAUUGUUGCAAACUGUAAAUUUCAUCAAUAUCGUUUAAUUUUCAUCGAUAAUAUAUAUAUAUAUAUAUAUAUACAUGGAUAACAAUCGGAAAUUUGGUUUUCUCUUUUAGUUUGCAUAUAUAAUGAAUAUAUUAUCAGAAUGUCUUAAUAAUCAAAUGAGAUUUUGUGACUCUUUGCAAAAAUAAAAAUUAGAGGAAGACAUACAUGUUGACCAGAAUACUCGGCUGUAUUCAGAUGAACGCUUUGAGAUUCAUUUCCUUGUCUUAAAAUUGGAACUGUUCCUUUUGGACAAUGCUCUUUGGUUUUAUAUUUGUUGCUUCUUUCAAUAUUUCCAUCUAGGCUGAAUGUUUCCUAUGUUAUAUCACAAGUAAUAAAGGAAAAAUAAGAUUCAUCAGUAUUGAUGUUUCUAGAAGUCCUAGUUUCAUAUUUGAUUGACCACAUAUAGUUUAUUCACGUUUUAUAAAUUUAUAAACUAAAACUGACUUAUUCAUCCAAAGUUUUCUUAGGAAAACUUAUCCUUAACUAUAAUGAAAUUAUUGUAUAAAUAGAAUAAAUUAAAUCCUUGUAAAAUUUAAAAAUACUUAUUAUAAUAAAAAAAUUUAAACUCUAUUUUUUAUAAAAUGAAUAGAAUAUCCGAGAUUUGAUUCGAUAUGAGAAAUUUAGAUAUUUUAUUAUGGACUGAAUCGAAUCAGAUCUUGAAUAUUUUGUCCAAUGAUCCUAUACUAUUAUUUGGGGAGUACACUUUAUAAGAUACCCUUAACUAACCUUCUCUUUUGUAAAAAAUUACUUAAGAAUGCCAUUACAAAAAUCUUAUUUUUGAACAAAUUUCAUUCAAUUUAUUAAGGAUAAACAAGUAAAAUACUAAUUUAAGUCAUUUAAUUAAUUUAAUUAAAUUAUAAAACGAAAAUCUGUUAUUUUUUAUUUUUUUAAAAUGACCAAUCAAAAUGAACAUAUAAGAUUUGAUAUCUAACUUACCAUAUUAAUUUGUUAUUAAUCAUUAGACUUCACUUCUCAUCUUUAUAUGAUUAUAUUUAUAUGAAAAAAAUAAAUCAUCAUAUCAUCUACAUAAUAAUAAAAAAAAGUAUUUUUUUUCUGCAAAUGCCAAGAUUUAAAUUUUUAAAAACGCAUAUAAAUUGUUCAAUCUAUAAAUGAAACAAUUAAACGGGUCAAAAAUUCAGACUUGAGUAAUAUAUUUCUUUUAGACAAAAAUAAAUUCAACAAAAAUUCCGACUGAACAACGGGUCAGAAUUUGAAUAUUUAUAUUCGAUUUCAUAAAUUUAUUUUUUUGAAAUGUAUUUUAUAUACUACAAUAAAAAAAUUAAAUAUUUUCAUUUGCAACAUUUAAAAUAAGUUUUACUUGAUAUUUUUAGAGAAUAUCAUCAAUACUUAAUAGCUCAAAAAGUUAAAAAUUAUAAAUACUCUAAUUUGAUUAUUUUAAAAAAUAUUUAUAAUAGGUAGCGGGUCAAAUAUAAUAUAUUAUAUGAUGAAAUGAGUUUUGAUCCUUAUAACUAUUUGAAUAGUUAUAUUUAAUUUCAUAUAAUUUGUUUUUUGAAUUUCAUAAUUUUAUAAACUACAAAAAAAAUUUAAAGAUUUUAAUUUGGAAUAUUUAAAAAUAGUGUAGAACAUUUAAAUAUGGUUUGACACCUCUAAAUAUUUGAAAAUUUGAUUCCGCAAGCAAUUUUAGAAUUAACGAAUAAUAGAUUGUGCACACAAUAUUUUAAAAUGAAAUAUUGAGAUUCUAAAAUAAAAAUAUAGACUCCACGCACAGGUUGAUUUUGGUAUUAUUAUAUACUAAAUAUAUGUUUAUAACAUAUUCGAUUAUGCGAAUAAUUGGUAAAUCCGUAGUUAUAAAUCUCAAACAAAUUCUGUAAUUAGAUUAGCUCAAACAAAUCUUAAUUUCAACAACCAAAAAAUUAUAAAUUGAAAAGGAAUUUUCUAAAUUAAUUCAAAAUAAUAGUUAAUUUUCUUAAUUAGUUCAAAAUAAUCUAUGUUUUAUAUGCGAUUCAUUUAUGAUAUUUUAAUUUUUAAUCUAACUGAAAUAUAUGCAAUCCUAUUUUGUGGUUGUUAACAUAAAUUAACUCAUUGUUCCAAAAAUAUUACUUUUUAAAAAAUAAAAUUAUUUUCCGUUUUCAUAUCUUAAAAAAAAAAUUAUCCACAAUUGAGUAUUAUAGAAAAAAAUCUAUAUUUAUUCUAAUUCUAAUAUUGUAUAUAGGGACUGACAAAAAAUUAAUAUUUUUUCACUUACUAUUAUAAUAUAUUAAAACUUAUUUCUAAUAUAUAUAUUAUAUAAAUUUUGUAAUAAAUAAAAUUCAACCCGUACUUUAGUACGGGUGAUGAUCUAGUAUAUGUUACAUUACCUGAAUCUUGUGAUUUUUUAACAAUGGAUGUUUGAAAGCCGGUUGUUUGUAUAUCUCAACACAAUCAAAAUCCUGUCAAAUUUGUUGAACACAAAAAUUAAAGAGUAAUUCUAUAAAUAAAAAUGAAAAAUCUUUAGAGGAUAGAACAAAUAAACAUAAGCUAGGGUCUCACAUCAAUGUUUCCCUGUGCACCUUGUGUAAACAGCAGAUAUACACAUAGACCUAACGCUAGAUGUAAUGCCAUUGAUAAGUUAUUUUUAGUUUCUCCAAUUAUAUCUCUCAUACUUCUCAGUAUAAAUAAACCAAUUCUAGUCAAAGACUAUUAUAUUUAAACUAUUUAUAUUCAUAUAUUAGCUGUAUUUUUAAUGUUUUACCAAAAAUAACAUGCAAAUAUUUUUUUGGUCAACGUUCAAGUGUAUAGAAAGGGAAACAUGGCUAAAUGGCUUUUAGUAUCCCUUAUAUAAAAAUAACAUACCGAACUUUUCAAAGAUUAUCAAUAUACAUCUUUACGUACCUUUGAACAAAGAGAUUGCUACCUAAAUAACUUAAAAAUAGCCAAAAUAGUCAAAAUAAUCCACCAAAAAUAACAUAUUUAAAUAUCUUUUGCCACAUUAUUUAUUUACUUCUUUUGCCACUAGUUAUUAAAGAUAAUGAUUUAGUUUAAAAAUAUUAAUAAAAGUGCUAAUUUUAUUGUAUUCGAUAUAUAUAUUCAAAAAGAAAAUCAAAGCGUUAAAAAGAAAUUGUCUUUCUUGUGAUUUAUUUUUUUUGGAUUUCAUCUUUAUAAUAAUGGAUUCUGUGAUCGAAUGCCACUAGACAGAAUCUCUCAAGCAAAGGACCGUAGGCGCGCAGCGCUGCCUUCUUAUUAAAAUUAUAGUUUAUGAGAUGGCGGUUACCCCCGUUGGGAACAGAUUCCGAUCCCGCCAAUGUUAUCUCCACGUGUCUGAUAAUGAUUGGUUGCAGAGAUAUGCUUCAUCUAAACCAGAUAUCCUCCUAACCAUACGAUAAAAUCGGCGUCGUCGUUAGACUUACUUACGGAAUCGGUAAGUAGAUUUUACAUUUUACGGUUACAGUUUACUCUUAAUUUCAAAAUCCAGGAGCUUAAUUUACCAAAUAAUUCUGUUUUUCACUCCUCUAAUAUGUGAAACUUGAAAUUUAACCUUUUUGUGUCAUUAGUAGUUUUUGUGUGGAUAAAAAGUUAAAAUAUAUGAUUGGAUCAUUAGGAAUAUAUGGAGCAAUGGUUGUAGCAGGAAGAUUCAUAUGUUGAAUUGAUUCAUCUGGUGGAUUUGAUCCUUCUCUUGAUGCACUACUUGCUGGACUUGGCUAUGCAACACCACCAAUCAUGGCUCUUCUCUCCGUUCUCGAUGUAACCAAAUAUAACCUCUUAAUCAUCUUUGGUUGAAAUAUUUGAGAUGAUUUUAUUCUUAUUUGAAAUUUGAUACAAUUUGGUUGGUAUAUAUAAUUCAUCAAAUCAUCAAACACCACAAUUUCCUCCUGGUCCUCCAAACGAAAAAGCUACUCCGGUGGAUUUGGUAUAACCCCAAUAUGUCACCCUAAAACAUCUAUAGGAAUCAGCAUAACGUCUUAUUUUCCUAUCUUCAACAUAAACUCUUUUGUAUUGUGAGUUUAUAAUCACGACAUUAUUAAAAUGUGCUGUCUUUUUGAAGUCUGCAACUGGAUAAUAUCCAUUACCCAUAGGGGGACUCAAUCCGUCGGGAGAUAAAUAAGUGUUUCCUCCAUAUCUCACUAGAGAAGCUCCAUUAUUUAAGUGUGGAAAUAACUCUUUGGGCCAAUAACCAAUGACUUCAUUAAACAUUUUAAGUCCCCAAUUUCCGCUGAAACCAUCCUAAUACAUAGAAAACAAAAAAAAUGUAUUAAAUACUUCGAUAAGUAUCCAAAAGAUCUAAACAGUUGUGUGAUCUGAUAAGUUAAUCUAAACUAACUAUAUAAUUUUUUUUCUUAAAAAUGAUAAAAAGAAAUUUACUUGAAAAACUUGUAAUUUAAACGUAAGGCUUAAUUGACCGUAGACAGAUGUUCCCCAAAAUUCCCUUCCAAGUCUUGGAUUUCGACUUACAACCACAAAGCCAGGGCAUUGCGUAUUGUAGCAACCAGUUUUCUGAUAACCAUCUCCCUACAUAUAAUAAUAUUUGUUACAUAAAUAAAAUAGUGAAAGCCAUCCGGUUAUUUUGACUUUUUUUUUUAACGCUAAGCUAAUUAAUUAUGAGAAUAAGAAUAACUAAAAAUUACUCACAGUCCAAUAUAUUGUAAAUCGUGUGACACUAUCACCGUACAAUCUUGGAUGGACCUAAAAUAGAAAAAUAUAAACAUAAUUAAGUAUGUAUGUAAAAAACAUAUGUAUGGAAUGGAGAAUCUUUAGCAAGUAAUUAAUAUUAUUGACUUACUGCCCAACCAGCUUGUAUACUAUUGAGUUGAUCUGGAGGUCCAUUCUCUAACCAUAUUUGACUUUUACUGUAUUGAUUAUUUUGCAAUUUUAAAUCAUGAAUACUUAUAUCAGCUUCUGCUCCCCAAUAUAUACUUCCAUCUAACAUGGUCUCAAUUGUUGCGAACUGUAAAUUUUAUCAAUAUGUUAGUAUAAUUUUCAUCUAUAAUAUAUAUUUUGCAUGGAUAACAAUCAUAUAUUUUUAUUUUCUCUAUUAGUUUACAUAUAACGAAUAUAUUAUUAGUCCCCUGUCUUAAUAGCUAAAUGAGAUUUUGUAACUCCUUUCAAAAACAAAAAUUAGAAGAAGACAUACAUGUUGACCAGAAUAUUCGGCUGUAUUCAAAUGAACGCUCUUGGAUUCAUUUCUUUGUCUUAAAAUUGCAACGGUUCCUUUUGGACAAUGCUCUUUUGUAUUAUAUUUGUUGCUUCUUUCAAUAAUUCCAUCCAGGCUGAAUGUUUCCUACAUUGUAUCACAAGUCACACAAGGGAAAAUAAGAUUCAUCAUUAUUGAUGUUUCCGGAUGUCCUAGUUUCAUAUUUGAUUGACCACAACUAUUUUAUUCACAUUUUAUAAAAUUUUAAACUAAAAUAAACUUAUUCAUCCAAAAGUUUAUUAGGAAUACUCAUCCUUGACUAAAAUAAAAUUAUUGUAAAAAUAGAACAAAUUGAAUCUUCAUAACAUUUAAUAUUUACUUAUUGUAAUAUAAAAUUCAAAAUCGUUUUAUAAAAUAAAUGGAAUAUGCGAGAUUUGAUUCGAUAUGAAAAAUCUAUAUAAUUCUAUUUUGGACUAGAUCAAAUUAAAUUUCAAAUCUCGAAUAGUUUACCCAAUGCUAUAUGCUACGUUACCUGUAUCUUGUGAUCUUUCAACAAUGGAUGUUGAAAAGCCGGUUGUUUGUAUAUUUCAACACAAUCAAAAUCCUGUAAAAUUGGUUCAACACACAAAUUAGAAAAAAUUCUUAAAAUAAAAUGAAAAUCUUUAGAGGAUAGAACAAACAAACAUAACCUACGGACUCACAUCAAUGUUUCCCAGUGAACCUUGUAUAAACAGCAGAUAAACACAUAGACCUAACGCUAGAUGUAAUGCCAUUGAUAAGUUAUUGUUCGUUUCUCCAAUUAUAUCAAUGAUUCUUUUCAGUAUAAAUAAACCAAUUCGAGUCAAUGCCCUAUUAAAACUAUUUCCAUUCAUAUACUCGUAAUUUUAUUGUUUUACCAAAAAUAACAUAUGCAUAUAUAGUUUGGUCAACGUUCAAGUGUAUAUAUAGGGAAAUAUGAAUAAAUUGGCUUUUAGUAUCCCUUAUAUAAAAAGAACAUACCAAAAUUUUCAAAAUACAUUUCUUACGUACCUUUAAAUAAAGAGAUUGCUAAAAUACUUAAAAAUAGUCAAAAUAAUCCACCAAAAUUUAUAAAAAUGAAGAAUUAUUUUUUUAUUUAAAUAUAUUUGUCACAUUAUUUAUUGAUUUCCUGUGCCACUUAUUAUUAAGAUAAUGAUUUAGAUUAAAAUAUGAAAAGUGUUAAUUUUAUUGUAUUCGAUAUAUAUUCAAAAAAGAAAAUCAAAGCGUUAAAAAGAGAUUCUGAGAUUGUUUAAAAAAAGGUAAUCUGUUCAAAAGAAAUUGAUAUUCAACAUAAAUGAAAUCAAUUGUCUUUAGGGAGAGUUACUCAAAAGGCCUAGUUAAGUUGAAAAAAAACUAAAAUGACAUGGUUUUGGAGCAAUAGUAUUAUCUUUUUUAAAAGGUAAUCUUGACCUCAAGUAUGUGUUAUGCGAAAAAAAAAAUAACAGAAAUGCCAUUAGAAUUAAUUACAGAUAUGCCAUGAAAAAAGAGGGAGUUGGGAAAAAGCAAGUGGCGGGAAAAAGGGUUGAUUUUUGGAUGUAGCGACAGAUUUUUGUAGGUGACAGAUUUUCAUGGUAGUUUUAAUAAACUAUGACAGAGUUGUCAGAUAUGUUAGAUAAAUCUAUGGUUCAGACACAGUAGAUUGAAGUAAGAUUGAUUGAUUUUUGUAUUUUUGGUUGAUUUAUUUGGUAGAGUUGUUUAUAGUGGUGACAGAGUAAUAUGUAAAAUAGAUAUGUUUGGCAAACUUACAUGCAGUUAUGACAGAGUAGUUUAGGAAAUAGAUUUAAUUGGUAGAGUUAACAAAGGUUAUGAUAGAGUUGUUAAGAAAAACAGAGUAAUGUGGUAGAGUUUGAAUUUAGGAACAAAGUCUGUGACUAGUAAAAGUAGAGUAAUUGAUUAUGGUAAAGUUAUUAUAUAAUCGGACAGACUUAUUCAACAAAUUAAUUACUAGCGUGUCACAGUGUGUCAGAAUAGUAGUGGAAGACUUUAUGUAUGUGACGAUAGAGUUGUGGGUUUACGACUGCUUGGUGACAGAGUUAGCGAGACAAUGUGGGGGUAGACUUAAAAUCGUUAAAACCGCAAUCCUGCAAAAAAGUUUUUUUAGAUAGUCAUGAUAGAUUUAUUUUGAUAGAGUUAUGUAUGAUGUUAAAUCUGUCACAGCGUAAAAAUUGGUAAUUCCACAAAUACCCUCCCACUUUAACCGUAAUUACAAUUUCAAUGUACACGCAUCUUCUUCGUUGUUUGUAGGUUAAACACUUUGUCGGUGAUUCGAAUCUGAGCACAUCAACGAAAUUUAAACCCACGUUUUCAUAUAAAUAUAAAUCAUCUAUUUACUAUACAGAACAUGAUAGUUGAUGUGGUCUGGUGUCAGCGUUUGGGUUUUGAAAACUUCAAGAGCCGGGUUCGACACUACACUCUGUAGUUUUUUUUUUUUAAUUUUUGUUUUUUGUGUUCUUCGUCUUCUUCACCGGUCGACUUCUUCCUCUCACAUCUCCGAUAACAUAAAGGAGAGAUAUUUGAACUCGGAUAUUCUUCAUCGGUGAAACUUAGAAUUUCAAUUUUUAAUACCAAAAAUCUCUCCUUUUUUUCCGAUUGAAGUUUGUUUACCAAUAUGACUAAAGAUGAUUUCUUUUUCAAGUUGCAGAGUGAUGAAUCGUAGGCGAUUCGAUUGUUAUCAGUAGCUUGUUUAUCAUUAGCUGCAAAAAUGAAGGAACGAAUUGUUUAUCAUUAGCUACGAGAACAUGAUUUCGUUUUCACAUCUGAUUGUGAUUGUUAAAAAUAAUUUGUUGAUUCUAUUAGAUCUGAGAGGAAGAAGUCGUCUUUACUUGUGGGAAUCAAGAUACGUUUCCAAAAUCUAGAGAAUCGUUAAUUCACACUACAGAUUCCGAUUGAUUUUGCGUUUUUGUGAAAACGAAGAACAAAAAAAAAAAAAAAAAAAAAAAAGCACAGUUUUGAGACUAGUCGAUAUAUUGAGAAACCCAUUUAAAUCCUUCGCCGUAACCCAUCUUUCUGACAAUGCUGCACAUUAACCCCUUAGGUUAAUUUCCUAAGUGUCUAUGAAAUAAAAAUUAGAAACUUCCUAAGAGCAUGCCUUGUCAUUGUGUGAGUGUACUCCAUGAUGUUGUCAUGUUUGAGCCAAAAUUUUGAUUUACAAAUCAGACAAUUUGAACACUAACUAAAGAAAGAAAGAAAUCAAUCUUUGAAAUAAUAGUUUUGGAUUCAUGUUACAUGUCAAAAGAAAAGCUAUGAACAGUUCCCUUGGAACUUGAUAUUAAACAUCGGACGUAAAGGUUCUACCAAAGACUCUUCUUCUUCAUCUCCACCGUCGUCAAAAGAUAUUUUUUCGCAUGUGUUGUCAAUUUGCUGACCCAAGCGUGUCUUCUGAUGAUGUAUUUCUCCAAUAUUCCUUAGAAGAGUUAAAAGGCCAAUGAUGAAACUUGAUCAUCCACUUUGCAAAGCAUCGUGGACCACAACACAAACUGAAAAACUAAUAGAUCGAUCUAGGCUUGAAUUAAAUUACCAAAUUCGAAUCGGUGUAAUUCUGAUUUUUUUUUUUCGAGUUCGGCUCGGUUCAGGUCAGAUAAUAUUCAAUCCGAAGUGAAACCAAACUUGUAAUUUGGUUCCGGUUUUGUGUAAAUAAAGUCAAAAUCGUAUUUUGGUUUUGCUCGGUUAUCAAUACAAAAUCAAAUUACUGUAGUCAGUAGUCACAAAGUACAAAUUACAAUCCCAUCACUAUGUUGGCACCUGCACCCUUGAAGAGUGACUUGGCCCCUUCGUUCUUGACGAUCUGAGAAUUGGGUAAGACACCAGUCCAGCUCCAAUGUAUAAUUACAAACCUUUGGUUAUAUGUCUCUUGACUUUUUUCUUCAGACUUUCUCGAGCAGCUUUUCAGAUUCCGAGCAUGUAUUUGGGCAUGUCACUUGACCAUCAUACUCAUGACUUCCAUCACAACAAUCUGCUCUCAUGGAAAAACAAACGAUUAUUGGAACCAUAAAUACUGAUAAGCUAAUCCUUCAACAAAAAUCUCCUAACAAACAAAAUUGUAGCAAUCAGCAGCCAUAAAUCACAGCUAAUAUUAACUACCAACAAAAAACACUGUCAAGAGCAAAAGUUGAACCGAUAGUUUCCAAGCUUCAACAAAGCCCUCAUUAGUUUUGUUUCAAAGAUCUCUCUUCCACUACGACGUUUACUACACCUCUAUGAUGAAAGUAAAAAAAUACUUCCAAUAGAAAUCAUCUUUGAAAACCAUUAUAAAUAUUUUAAAGUAAGAGACACUACAAUUUUUCUACACCUUCGAGCAAUACGUAGUGUUGUUAGUGAAUUAGUGGUGUGAGACUGUUUCUCAAUCAUAUUUUCCUCUAAAUCUGUAACAAAGAUACAGCCAAAGUAUUAGUCUGGUGAAUUUGUAACAAAGUAAUGAACCUCCAAAGUAUUAGUCUGGUGAAUUUGUGACUAUCUAUAAGCAUGAUAAUUUUAAUCCAAAACUAGGUUCAAGACGCAAAAUAAAAAUCAGAAAAUUUAUUUUACACCUCAAUUGUGUUAGCUACUUCGUUCCACAAAGAAGAUUUACAAAAUGCAAAAGCUAGUUACCACUUGCAAUAGGCUAAGAACAAACAAAAUUUGGAGACAAAGAUGAGUGAGAAAAAAAAUCAAGGCCCUGCAGUUUAGUUUGAAUAAUAUCUCCAAUCAACAGAAACAUGAGAGAUUAGAAAAAACUUACUACAAGCCAUAAUUGAGAAGCUCCAUUGGAAAACAUCAUUCUCAUCAACGAACCCAGCUAUCGGCUUCUUAGCCACAUCUGAAAAAAUUAUAUAAACCCAGAAAAGAAAUUCACCUCUAUACUCGAAGUCAAUCCAAUCGAAAGUAAAAGCAUAUUGAAACAAAAUGCCCUAGACGGAUUGAACAAGAAAAGAGAAAAGAGUUUUGCUUCUAUUUUCUUCCAAUCUCGAUUGUAUAUGUAAUGAAACAAAAUAAUUGAGAUAAUUUCUAAACGAUAACACAAUAAAUUGAGAAAUAAUCAAAGAUACGUACAUAUACGUACAAGUGAAGAGCUUCUAGAAAAUUGUCCAAGAACUCUAGUGAGAGUUGGGAUCUUCGGAGAAAAACCAGGACCCUCUUCCGAGUUUCUGGGUUCGAGAUCUUGAUAAGAAAAGAUUUAUCCGAGAGCUUAAAAACCGUAAUAUCACGUAAUCUGUUGCUCCAAAUGGCGUGAAGAGCACCUGGACUAGGAGCAUUCCCGUGAAACAGAUCUAUGAUGAAUUUCUCCCAUCGGUGCUUGUUCCGGAAUUUCAACACCCGAGGUUAAGGUAAAUUCCUUUCCUUUCUUCCUCAUCGUUUGAGAAGUGCUUUUUACUAUAUUUACCCAAGGCGGCUUAUCCAACGCUUCAACAUCAGAAUUAGCCCCGGAGAAGAGAUCGAGUUUCGGAUGGCAAAAGAGAAUUUUUGGAGGAAGCAACGGAAACUGAGCGGUGAGAGGAAGAGGAAGGGGGUUUAUUUUUCUUAGCCAUUGGGUUUGCCGGCGACGGUGAGAGAUCUAGGGUUUACGGGUGGCUCAAGGUUGAGAGAGUUUUCUUUUCAUUUGUUUGCUUUUGCUAUUUUGUUACACUUAUAUUUUAAUUUUGUACAACCGAUUUAAGUUUUCUAUAUGAGAAAGACAUGAAUUUUGAUGAAUACUAAAGAGCUAUUUUCCGCAAUUCUUUUGAUAAAUUUUGAUCAAUUUCUAAAGCCUUUUCAAAUCCAAGCAGAGAAAUAACAUUAAACUUUGAGUUUGUAAGUGCUUCGUUGUAAUGUUGCACAUAUCCUCGAAUAAAUGUGCACCGGUUCACGUCUUAACCAUCCUUUUUUGGGGGGCAUAAUUUUCUCUCUUUGAUUUCCAUUUCAUUACUUCUCAUUUUGGUACUAUUACAUCCUUCUCCAAAAAGUUUCCUAUUAUCACUGCCAUGAUCUCGUAUUAAUCUACAUGUAGAUUUUGUUCGUCCGACAAUUUGAAUCAAACCUACAAAUAAAACAGAAACUAAAGACAUAAGUUAUUAAAAAAAGAAAAAAAAAUAAAGACAUAAGUUGAAAUAAACAUAGUAGAUUUUAUCCUUGUUUGAAAAAUCGCUAGGCGCUAGUCGGGCGCUCGGCAUGGGCCUAGCGAUUAAUCGGAAAAUCGGAUUAAAAUCGGGGAUUAAUCGGGGAUUAGUUUUAGGGUUAUUUUAAUAUUUUUAAAAUAUAUUAAUCCAAUAUUGUAAAAAUUUAUGAUUUUUAUUACAAAUUUAUGAUUUUUAUUAAAAUUUGAACACAAGUUAUUGUAAAACAUCACAAACUCUCCAUUCAAAUGAUUGAAUAACAAAAAUAAAAAGUUUUUUUAUACUUGCAAUCUAAAAAAUAAUCGGGGUAUAUAAGAUUAGGCGGAAAAUAAUCGGAUUAGGCGGAGAAUAAUCGGGUUACUGAUUUUUUAGGGGAUUAGUCAUUAAUCGAGGCGGAUAGGGUGGGCCUAGCGAUUAAGCGGGGAGUAAUCGGGGCUAGGCGAGGAUUUUUAGAACAGGGGAUUUUAUCAAAGGCAAACGUAAAAGAAAUAGUAGGCACUCACCAUUGUUUCCAAGAACUUAUUAGGACUCAUGACACUUCCUAGACUAAAACUUAGAGAUAGAAAUAAUCAUUGGAGCUUGAAGUAGUAAUAUUGUAUCACAUUUAAAAAAAUUAACUUAUGACAUGUAUAAACCCUCAAAUUUGGGUCUUUGAGUUCAGUAGUUGAAUAGCAUACCCCAUAUGCGUGUAGCAAGGCUUCCUAGUAUAUAUAAAUAUGCUAACAUCCAACGAAAAAUUAUGCUAAAAGAAAAAGUGUAUAUCUAAAUGAUCAAGAAAGAGAAAAUUAAACUACUAUUAAAGAUCUGACGAAAAGAUAAUGAUAAAUUUGAUGUAGACGUUAACUAAGCAUCAGAUGAAGUCAAUUCUACUUUGAAGAUUCGAGAAUGAUAAUAGAUGGACAAUUUACCUCUCACAAUUGUAUUAAAAUAUGUGGGAAAUUGAUAUUCCUUGUACUCCUCUGUUUCCUACAGCUUCAUUGUUAAAACGGAGAACUGUUAGUUUAUAUGAUCAGCGAGAAGAACUCUAGAAAACAAAAGAUAGAAUAAAACUCCGGUCUUCCAUGGCAUCCAAACGAACAAAUGUUAUCUCUAAAAAUACAGAAAACCAUAAACUAUGUAGAUUAUAGUAAAGGUGUUCACGUUUAUACUAAUCUCAUAACAUGGGAUCUCUAUAGUUUACGUGAAGAAUAAAUAUUCGUCAACUAUAUAUCCAUGCGUUUCAGACCUUAUAUAUCAUCAUGUAACGGAUAACCAAAUUAAAUAUAGAAAAUAUUAUCUUGAGAACAUGUAAAACGAAAGAGACUGUGGUGAAACAGUUGAGAGAUCUUAGCAUUAAGUUUGAUUUACUACACAACGUUGAAUGUCUUAUGAACCUGAACUGAUAAUUUCUCACGUGACAAUGUGAGAAGGGUAGUGUAGCUGAAACGGGCGACCGGGUCGGUCAAAUGCCAACUCUCUCCAUAUGCUUCUGCAAAAGAUUCAACAAAAUGAUCACACUUACGUGACAAUGUGAGAAGGCUAGUGUAACUGAAACUUACCUGACAUUGAAACAAUCAUACUUAUCGGCAAAGAAGAUGAUCACAUCAACACCCUUUGAUUUUAGCUCAUCCACGUUCUCAAUAAAGCAUGCUAAUUUUGAGAAAGAAAACAGAGAUUAUGAAUCGAGUCUGAGAACCCAUUAACGUAGCAUUAAACCCACAUACCACCGGUACCAGCAUACAAAAUAAUUGAAAGAUUAGAGAGGAAACUUUUACAUUUGACCUUUUUGGUGAAUGCUUGUAUCAACUGUCAUCCCCUUUUCCCCGGUCAAACGUAUAUAUGGAUUGCAUAAUGUAGGGAAACGCUAACGUAUUAUUUAAACUAUUCUAAAGUCACAAUAGACUGUCCAUAAUAACAUUAAGAGUCCCAAGGCAGGGGGAAAGUAAAGAAUCCCUAUUACCUUUACAAUAAAAGACUGAAAAUAACGCUUUGUGUCAUGGGAAACAACCAAUGGUAGAUAAUAAAGUGUAAUACCUCAUGAUCAAUUGUUAAAGAAAUAGGCCUAAACUCUCUGCUCUAUUGGUCAAUAAGAUGCAGUCAAUGUAGCUUACCAACAACAACUUUUGUAAGCCUUGGAAGAUCAAUGUGUUAAGUUGACAACUGCACAUAUAGGAAAGUGGGUAAUAGAUUAGAGCAUGACACGCCAGAAAGCUAUUUUUAUUUAAUCUCUUUACUCGCUGAACCUUCUAUCUAGUAGUUACUAAGACAAAGCGAUUUGUUCAUGUUGUAAGAGUAAAGAAACGGGGAGAAAGCUUUCAUAGGUGAAGAACUUAUGGCAAUUGAUGUAAAAUGGGCUGUUAAAAAUCGUGAAAUGGCAUUAACCUACUUCCGAUUAUUUGUUCAUAUUGUAACGCAGCAUCAACGACUCUUUGUAUGGCCUCCUCUUCUACACAUGCAUGACCCUGCCACCGUCACACAUCUUCAAAGCUUCGGUGUGCUGAAACGAAAUAGAAGAAGCAAACCAAAUUAAGAAAACAAUCACUUUGUUCUUCACUGGAAUUAGCUUUGAUGAAAUUUUCAAUUCAAUAUGAUUUCUGGAGAAGAGAGAAGAAACCUUGUUUUUACAACAGAGAUGCGCGGAUAGUUCUACAUUAAACAUAUUUGUCUUUCUAACUCCAAGUUUUCAAUGCUCUUAUGCCUAGGGUUGAACUGAAGAACACUCUUGAUAUCCCCUGCUCAUACAGACGAUCGAAUCUAAAAACGUGAAACAAAUCUACUACUAAUAAUGAGGUCAUUGAAACCUCUCCAGUGGAUUGAUUCUCGAUUCAAUCGAGGGAUCCAAAGCAUAUACGUAGAUAAAGUAUUUGUAUAAUAAGAAGACAGGGAAGGGAGGUUACUUCGAAAAUUCCGGUCGAUGGGCUCGUUGCGGUGAUGAAUGAAACUCCAUUCGCAUCUUCAAUCCGAGCGAAAUUAUUUGAUGAGAGGAAGGUGAUGAGGGGUUUUGUUUACGAAGAAAAAGGGAGAUUAUGACUUUAUGAGGAAGCCGAGUCGUUCAAACUUAUCUAAUUGGCAAGUGAAUUUCAAAAGACAAAACAAAAGAAAGAACUCGUAAAGAGAGCUACGUGGCCACAGUUUUUUGGGUUGCUGAUGUGGCAUGAUUUUAGGAACUCUUUAGUUUGCUGAUGUGGAUGGCUUGAGAAGCCUCAAUGAGUUUCUUUUAUUAGUAAGAGAUUAUUAUAAUUCUUGUUAUAUAAUUUCUGCAUUUUUUUUUGGGAUUUUUAAUUGAAAAUGGCAUGAAUUGUAAAUAAGGAAAUUUUAUUGGUUUUAAAGUCUUUUUAAAACUUUUUUAAGCCUUUCUAGUAAAGAUUUUUUUCACUAAGCCUUUUGAAUAAGAUUUUUAUUGUGAUUUUUUUCCCUGGAUUCACUUUUUUUAUUUAUUAAGAUUAUAGUCAUUUUAUUAUCUGAAGGUAUUAAAAUAAUAAAAAGUUUAUGCGAUGGCAGUUACCCCCGUUGGGAACGGAUUCUUCUGAUCCCGCCAAUGUUAUCUCCACGUGUCAAAUAAUGAUUGGUUGCAGAGAUAUGCUUCAUCUAAACCAGAUAUCCUCUUAACCGUACGAUAAAAAUCCAACGGACCAGAAAAGACCUUAUCUCUCCAAUUUUAGAUUUUGUAUAAAUUCAAAGAACCCAAAAUUAACAAAGCACACGCACAUAGCAGAGCAAAUGAAGAAGACGAAGCACACUGAGAAUUCACCGGUCAGAGAUCACGACUAAGUACUUUAGUUUUCCGAUUACCUCGAGCAACCUUAAAUGGAGCUUCCGCUACUCUCGUAUGCUAGCUCCGCGUCGUUUUCGCGGACAGGCUUUUACUCUUCUUCUUCCUCAACUAGUAUCUGUGAGUUCCCGGAGAGAAGACGGAGCUUCAGAAUGAGAUUCAAUGGUGGAGAAAGGUCACGAAGCGUUAUAGCUUCCGCUGAACGGAGCAGCGAAGGGAUCGAGAAGACAGACGGCGGAGGAGGAUUUGCUGGUACUGCCAUGGAGGUGACAACACUUGAUCGUGGAUUCGCUAACUCCACCACCGUUGAUUUUCCGAUCUGGGACAAAAUUGGCGCCGUCGUUAGACUUACUUACGGAAUCGGUGAGUAGAUUUACAUUUUUCAGUUAGUGUUUACUCUUAAUAUCCAGCGGAGUCAUUAGUAAUCUUUGUGUUGGAUCAAAAUUUAAAAUGUGUGAUUGGAUCAUUAGGAAUAUAUGGAGCAAUGGCUGUAGCUGGAAGAUUCAUAUGUUCGGUGACUGGAAUUGAUUCAUCUGGUGGAUUUGAUCCUUCUCUUGACGCACUUCUCGCCGGACUUGGCUAUGCAACACCACCAAUCAUGGCUCUUCUCUUCAUACUCGAUGUAACCAAUAUAACCUCAUAAUCAUCUUUUGAUUCUUGUUAUGUUGUUGGACUUGGUUUUAAAUGAAUUCUCUUUGUCUGAUUUCAGGAUGAAGUUGUGAAGCUAUCACCGCACGCUCGGGCCAUUAGAGAUGUGGAAGAUGAGGAGCUCAGAAGCUUUUUCUUCGGAAUGUCCCCAUGGCAGGUGAUCAUCUUAGCUUUUUCUUUGUUUUUCAAACCUAUCACUAUUGAAUCUUGGUUUUGAGGUUUUAGUUACUUUCUCCAGUUUAUACUCAUUGUCGCGGCUAGUUCAAUAGGAGAAGAGCUCUUUUACCGUGUUGCUGUACAGGUUUGGUUUCAUUUAACUUGGCCAAGUAUAGAAUCAUUGACCACUUUGAUUGAGUUAUUACUUAUUGAACUCUGGUAAUUCUCAUAGGGUGCUCUGUCUGAUAUAUUCUUGAAAGGAACACAGUUGAUGACAGAUUCUAGAGGCAUGGCAUCUCUGGUAAGUUCACAGUUUUUUCUAUGUUUAGAUUCUCCUAUAUAUUCUCAUGGACUUCAUAUAUCGUAUGUUUGUUGUGUUACCUUUAGACCGGAGUGUUUCCUCCAUUUGUCCCAUUUGCUCAAGCCUUUGCAGCUGUAAUCACUGCCACUCUCACAGGCUCUCUCUACUUUCUUGCUGCUUCUCCAAAGGGUUAGGAUAUGAUCAUGUACUUGAUCUGUUAAUUGUCUAGUUUCUUAGUUCCAUUCUGAUUCUCAUUUUCGUUUCCAGACCCGACAUACAUUGUUGCCCCGGUUUUAAGGUCACGCAGAGAUGAUUUUAAGAAGCUUUUGUCAGGUACUCGUUGUCUUCUUGUUUUGACCAUAUUGUUUUGGGAAAGAAUGUGAAAGGUAAACUAUAGAAUAGCUUGGAGAACAGGGAAAUAUUAACCGGUUGGUACAAAAAAACCCCGGUUUGAUCAUCUGCUGCUUAUGAAAUCUUCUUUGUCAUUGCUUUGUGCAGCUUGGUACGAGAAGAGACAGAUGAAGAAGAUUUACUCUCCUCUACUCGAAGGACUCUUAGCCCUCUAUCUCGGUAUUGAAUGGGUUCAGGUAAAAUCUCGGUUUGGUUUUUGUUUUUGUUCGGUUUGGUAUGCAAUUAUUGGGAUUCCACUUGCUAGAUACAACAAAUCAACACUAACACUGUGAUAGAGAACUUUACUGUAUAUAUACCCCUAAAAUUUCUGGUUAAUCAUUUGUUGAAAAACUAAAGUUGGUAACUUAUAGGUUGAUUAUGUUUAAUUUCUCGUUAUCUUUUUCAAAUUUUCAGACCGAUAAUAUUUUAGCACCGAUGCUGACGCAUGGUAUAUACUCGGCAGUCAUAUUAGGACAUGGGCUGUGGAAAAUUCAUGAUCACCGGAGAAGAUUACGCCGGAGAAUCGAACGCAUUAGAUCGGAGGCUACCGAUAAGUUGAUUUAAAUCAACUCUAGAUGGUUAAUUGGUUGGGGGUGGAUUUGUGUGUAUUUUUUGGUAUGGGGUCGUAUAGUAAUUAGGGAAAUUAGCUAGGACCUCUUCCAAUUAAUUAGAGAGCUGUAUACAGUAGAAAAUUACAUAUAUACGUACAUAUAUAAUAUCCCUAGACGGCUAUACAGUAUAAUAAUUUAAGAAGUAACAUUUCUUUUUUUUUUUUUUUUUUGCAACCUUCUGUGAUUAUAUUGAUCCAAGUAUCCAACCAACAUAUACAAAAGUUUGAGCAUUAUUGGCGGGAGACGAGAUUACAUGAUUUUGUAGUUUAGUGACGAGAGAGAUACGUAACAAGAUCCAGUAGUGCAGUAGCAAUGCAUUUAGCCAUUUACAAUAGUUUUCAUUAGGCUUUCUGCUCAGCAUUUCCUUGUAUUGGGCCUUCAAUUUCAUUUGCUAGUAACCAAACUAAAUUUGAACUUAACGGUUGAUAAAAACAAAAAAAAACUUAAUUAAUAACACGAAAAUUUAUUUGAAACUUAAAAUAUAUAUUGAUUAAAAUUUGAAUACAAACAGAAGAAACCGAAAUUAUACCAAAUCAUCCAUGUUAAACCAUUUAUAUAAUGAAAAAUCUGAACUCACAUCUAAAUUGCACAUGAUGUACAAUCUACAAACAUAUUACAUGUGUAUCACUAUAUGGCGCGAAACAUCGUCCUCUUACAUGUAAUAUAAAAGUUUGUAACAUUGUUCUUCAAAACACUUGCAUUAGAUAUGAAAAUGGAUCGACAUUCAGAAUUCCGAUCGAUUACUAGUAUCUAAAAUGUUAUGGUGGUAUUCAAAAUAGAGUUUGGCGACCCAAAAAAAAAAAAAGAGUAGUUAGCAAGGGAAAUUAAAAUAAUAGUAAGGUGAUGAGUUCGGUUGCUCUUGCAAAAAAAAAACUUGUUGCUCUUGCAAAAAAAACAUUUUAUAAAAUACGCGAAUUUUAUUUUAUUAUUAUUUUAUUUUUUUUACAGCAUAAAAUACGCAAAUUAGUGAGUAUGAUUCGAAAUAUUACGAAUGGUGAAAUAUAUUAUCCGUUCGAGCAUAAAUAAGUUUUCGUAAAAUAUAUGAUACUGACGGAACUAAUCAAUAAUUUGGAAUCUGAAUUCCAAAGAUUGGUCGAAGACUCUAAUCAAGUUAUAAACCAAUAAUGAAAGGAAAAAGAAUAAAUUAUGUCUACUUUUUUUGGGUCAACUUAAUAUGUCUUCUUAAUAAUUCAAAACUAAUCUUAACAGAGAAUAUUUAAAAAAACAUAACCUAAGCAUUAUUAAUUUGCAGAAAACGACAAAUGAAGGCUAGUGCCUAGUAGUCGGUAGAAUCAUGUGGAGGAGCAAACCUUAUUGUAUUGGUCAUUUGGUCUAUUAAUUUAAUCUUUCACGUCCAGAUUAUAUUAUUCUAAACACCAACUUUGCACGUAACGAACAAAAACAAACAAAAGAUAUGUUUAUCUUUCGUUCUAAGUUUAUUAUAACUUUCUUGUAGAUUAUAGUACUUAUUUUCAAAUUAUUUGUUUUAUAAUAUCAUCAACUAAUUUUCUUAUAUUCAUUUGCUAUGGCCUAUGUGUAUUUUUACAUCCACAAGUUAUUGUCUUAGUGAAAAAAUAAUGAAAGUAAACUUUUAUAUAUACAUAUACUUUUCUCCAAAAUGUUCUCCCUAUUAAUUCUGUGUAUUCAAUGAACCACAAUUUCAUGGGUUUGUUUUUUCACAUGGGUUUGCUUUUAACCGUAAUCAUCAUUGUUUUCAGAACACAAAACGAAGUCUUCACUUUGUAACUCAAAAACAUCUAAUAAAGGAUAAACUAUUAGGGAUUUCUAAUACACAAAUAAAAAAUAAAGAAAAAAUUGUACAUACCUCUGAUUCUUAUGAAUCAAAAUAAUGAAGGGAACAAUAAUAGUCUUUAUAACGUACGGUUUAUAUAAAAAACGAUAAUAGUAUAUCUAGUUAUAUCAAAGACCAAAAUAACGAGAAUAUCUUGUUAUAUUGUCUGUUUGAUCUUUAAGAAACACAUCAGUUUUAGUAUAUAUAGUUAUAUAUUUACAAAAUCUUCAGCUUGGAGUUAUAUAUACAAAAUCUUCAUGCUUGGAGUUAUAUAUAUAUUUACAAAAUCUUCAGCUUGGAGUUAUAUAUAUAUAUAUAUAUAUAUAUUUUAACCCACGGUACACCGCGGGAUGAUUUAAUUUUAAAGUUAGUAUAAAAAUAUUUUGUAAAUUGUAUCUCCUUAUAACAUAUUUAUUUAUAUUAUAGUUUACAAUUGUUAUUAAGUAACGGUAUACCACAAGUCCACGAUACAAUUAUUAAUAAACUGAGGAUUUAACCCGUAUUAAAGCGGUAUAUAAAUAUUGAUUCAAAUUCGUUCGCCAUAUUAAUCCCUUCCGAAAUAUAACCCGUUCCAUAAUUUAUUAACCUGUCCCGUGAUUUUUUUUUUAUUUAAAAUUUAAUGAUUAUUUAUUAUAUAUAAAAGUUUACAAAUCAUAUCAUCCUCUAAGACCACGAGACAUUUUAUGGCGGGACAAUUUUUGGUUUUAUACAAUCUUUUCUAUGUCUAGUAUGUCUAGUAUUUGUGGUAUUAAAAAAAAUAAGGAUUUAAUCCAUAUUGAAGCGGCGGAUGAAUUAUAUUUUAAUCUUUUUAUUAUUGUUGAUUCAAAAACCCAUUCCGACAAACCCGUCCGGCCAAAAAACUCAUUAAUUUUAUUAAUGUUCUUAAUAUGAUAUGAUUCUGAAUUAUUGUCUAAAUAUUUUAAUCGAUGUCUAAAUAUGAUUCUGAAUUAUUGUCUAAAUAUUUUAAUCGAUGUAGAACGUUGAACACACAUUUUCGUCAAUUGGAUAAUAUAUGUCUAUUAAAAUUCCGAACCACAUUAUAUGCAGAAAAAAAUUGAUUUUUUUUUUAUAUUAUGUAUUAUAUGAUGAUUCAAACAAUUAAAAACAAAUUAAACAAAGAUGAUAGAAGAAUCAUAAUUAUAAAUCUUAAUCAAAUAUUCUAAAUAUCUAAAUUAUUAAAUAUGGAAUAUCCGAUGUAUGAGUUGGGUUAAAUAUAACCCGACCCAAUAAUUUUUUUGUGAAGGAAUUUUAAAAACGGAUCGGAUAUCCGAUAUAUCCGAAAGCAUUUUUACCCACCCGUCACCAAAGUGUUGCAAAAAUACUAGUAUAGGGAUAUAUAUAUACAUAAAAUGAGGAGAAGAUUCCAACAAUGUUGGUAUGAUAAGAUGCUAGCGUCUGUGGAGUUUAUUAAUCUAAUGACUAUUCACAUUUAUGGUCUUAUUCUAAUUUUUGUUUAAUAUCAUCAGAUUAAUCUAUAUAGAAAUAAACGUAGGGACGUAUUUUUAGUCAAGUGGUUAAGUUUAUUUGACUCCGCCUUCUCCACCGGAGUUCGACUUUACUAAGUCGCAUUACUCUGUGUAGUAGGGAUUGGUUAUGGAUCGGGUCUUAUCGAUCCAAAAUUGUCAAAAAAAAAAAAAAAAAUCUAUAUAGAAUAAACGCAUAUUUUGGUAAGAUAAAGUAUUUAAUGGUCUCAAACCUGCUGCAAACAUAUAUGUACAUAUAGUUACACGCCAAUAAUUAAUUAACGGAAACAGCAUGAAGGUAAUUAAGGAUAUAAUUACUUUACAUAUACUUUCGAUCGUGUCCAACUAAUUUAAAUGCAAUAGGUUUAUCAUAGAUUAAGAAAUUAUUUUAAUCUACCAAAUUUUGAGUUUGAGUCUUUGACUGUGAUGUUACUUUUAAAUAAUAAAAAUAGAUUUCUCCUUACAAUUAUUAUUAACAGGUAGUUUUUUAUAAAAAAAACUCUAUAUAUUUUUGUCGAAGUCAUUAAACUAUAUAUAAAAAAAAAGAGUAUAUAUAUUUCCUGACACACUUAAGUUACUACGUAGUGUGUUUAUCUCAAAAUUUAUCUUCAUUUCAAUCCAAAACAAUAACAAGAAGAAAAAAAGAAACAUUUGGUCAGAUGACACACUUGCACCUUUGCUUAAAGUUCGGGGCCAUCUCAUCUGUAUACAGACAAUAUUUUAAUAACACAGUAAUUAUUUAUUCUGAUCGGCAUGUAUACUAUAAUUAUACAGUCUGUCGAAAAACCAAAGCACUUACAGACUGUACAAUCAAUCAAAUAAAAAUACACUUUAAGAGUAGCGAUUGGUGGAUUUAUAUAUGAUUAUAUAACUAGUUGAUACAUUUUAAAUAUAAUUAAGAGUAUAAUUAAUAAUUACUGGACGGCUUCUUGAUUUAUUAUUAAAAUGGCUCCGCCGAUCAAUCGAUAACACAAGAAGCCGUCACAGGUUGUCCGCCGUUGUGAGUCUAUCCCUUUCCAUAUAAUUCAUUUUUCAUAAAUAAUCGUCUUAUUGCUUUGUGCCUUCAUCAUUUAUAUAAUCUAUUGCUAUUAUUUAGGAAGUUAUAUAGUUUAAAAUUUGAAACAAUAUUCUUUUAUCUCCUUUGUUAAAAUUAUAGUAUUUACACCUUUUGUUCAUUAUGAUAGUUGGUUGCAACUGGAACUCGAAGUCUUAGGUGUUCAUUAUGUGAUGGUGAACUACAAAUAAAUAAAUUUGCUAAAGAAGAAACGAAGCAAUUAGUUGUUAGUACUGUUAACAUUCUGACUGUUCUGUGGUCUUUACGUCUUUUAAUUUGGUCUUUAAGUAGGUUUUCCCUUUUCUUAUUUGGAGAAAUUUAGAGAUUUGUCAAUUGGUUUUAAAAUCAUCACGAGUUAUUUCUCAAUGCUUUAUUUUUAUUUGCACCGUUAUUUCCCAUUUCCACUCCCCAGUUAAUUAACUACUAUGAAAAUUAAUUAAACACACUUAACUAUAUAAUAUUAUACUCACACUGAAAGAAAAAAACUUCCAAAAAUUCAAAUAUAGUAGUCAACGUGACAUUAUAGAUGAACAGAACCAACUUAGUUUAUAUGGUUUUACGUUUUUAUUUGAACAUUCGAACAACUUAACCGAAUAAAUAACAGUUUGGUGACUUUGGUCUUUCAAUCAUGACGGUUUAGUCGGUUUUGACAAAUUGGGAGCUGAUGCGGAUUAAGUUGGUGUGAGUUGCAAAAGAUGUGCCCAAGUCAUCGUUUGAACUAUUAUAACCUAUGAACCAUAGUCGUUAUAGACUUGUUCUUGUUCGUGUGAGCUUCUUUUAUUUUUUUGAUAAAGGAUAUUAUCGUGUGAGCUUCUUAAUAGAGUUUCUUCGUUUUCCUUGAGUUUUCAUGUAAAUACAAUUUUGAGCGCUAUGUAACAAAAUUGAGUUCUUGGUAAAUCUUGCGGAUAAGAGUUCCGCCGAAAUUCAUUCCGUAAAAUAUUGGAAAACAUGUAAAAUUGUGUUUAAACGACAAAUUGUUCAAUUCAAUCUAGGAACAACUGGAUAAACCAAGUUUAAAACAAACAAAAAAAAAAACAACUGAAUAAACCAUACAAUAUGAUAUCAUAAUUAGUUCUGAAAAUUUAAGGGGCAUGUUUGUUGGAAAAAAAUAAAAGCUUAAGUUAAAUCGAAACAAACCAAACCUAUUUCUUUCAGUCUCUAUUUCAUUUCAUGUAUUUGUUUAGGUUUUAACAAAGAAGCCUGAAUAAAUAAACAUUGAUGAAGGAAAGCAAAGCCAUCAGAGUGUGGACCAACGCGCCACUGCGCAUCCGUCACUUGACCGCAUGGAUCUCCGUGUUUUCUUCUCGUUUGUUUAAUGUUUCUCCUCUUUGAUUAUUGUAAUUAAUUAGUGAAUAGAAUAGACAACAUCAAGUUGUUAACCACAGUUAAUCGUUGACAAAGAAAAAGAAAAACCAUAGUUAAUUGGUCAACUUGGUUAACCAACUAUAGUUUACGAUUUUGAGUUUUUAUUUUGUCUUCUAGUUUACAAUUAAGCCAACUUCAUCCACAUUGUAUUUGAUGCUGCAAAAUAAUAUAUUACCAAUUAGUAAAAUACUAAUAUUUCCUACGAGUUACAAUAAGGACAUAAAAUUUGAAUGAUAAAUGCCGCGCGCUAGCAAAAUACUACGCAUUCAUAAGCUAACGAGAACUAGAUUUUGUGUUUGCAAACAAAUUACAUAGACUUAGUUGAUUUGAAGAGUAGAAUGAUUACGGAUGCUAUAAUUUUUUUAAAAUAUUGACUAGGACAUAUAUAGAUGAUGGAUCCAAAUGACUCAAUGAAUAUAGACUAUGUUCAAAACCAUGUCUCAUGAAUGUUGGUAUAGAAGAUUUUUAGGAUCGAUCAAACGUCGUAGACUAAAUAUUUUGACACAAAAAAGUAUAGCGCAUUUGAUCUAAUGAUGUGUUACAACGUUAACAUCAUAUCUCAUCUACCAAGAACUGGGACUCCACCAACUAUCUGGUCGGGUAACCCAAUACUUAAAUCUUUCAAUACUCUCUUCGGUUUGUGGAAGUAGAUCUUGAAAAAGGUAAAAAGAAUCACCUGUUGCUUCAUAUCAAAAACGCUGCCUAUGGAUUAUUGAGUUUAAUAUUUGAAAUAGAAUCUUACACUCACCAGCCUUAUUACAUUUUUUCGGAAGAUUUAUUUAGGACUAUCUCAAGAUCUUUUCGAUGGAGUACUUUCGGCAAAUAUCUUUUUUUUUUUUUGUUUAUUGAAUGUAAAAUUUAUUCAAUAUCGAAAAACACGAUUUUUUACUUUCGGCAAAUACACCAUAGGUGUUCUAGGUAUUCUUAGUUAAUAUUUUCGUUGUCUAAAUCUUAGUUAUCUGCAUAUUUUUCCUAGUAGUUUUUGUACAAGCUAAAUAAAUAACCAUUUUAGUUUAACGGUAUUGGUUCUAUAGAAUGUCCUGAUUUUUACCAAGAAAUAUAUCCAAGUUAAAAUAUUUAAGACAUUGUACAAAAAAUAAGACUAUCCGUUUAUAAAAUCAAAUGGAAGAUAAAUAAAAACAGAUUAUUUCCACAAUCUUGGGAUCUCGAUAUUGUGUCCAUUGCUUUAUUCUGCGAGAAGACAUAAAACAAUGGUAGCUUCUUUGAUAAUAUAUACAUCCAACGAAAUCUAGAACCGCAAUAACGUCUUUAUACAUACUCGACAAUAUUAUAUAUAAAACUUAUGAGUAACUUCAUCUCGAAUUUGACAUUAAAUAAACACACAUAGAAUAAAACCUUACAAUAAUAAUUGUCUCUUGGGGCCAUUGGGUCUAGAGAGAAGACUUGGUCUUCUUCCUCCUCUUUCUCUACUUCAUACAUAUUUCAUUAUCUCAGGUUUCUAUAUAUUUUCUUCUCUACUUUUUAUAAUUUAUCCGCUUGUCUGCUAUCUCUUACAUUAAAUCUAAACCUAAAUCAGUAGAAUCUCUAAUCCCGUUUUUAAUAUACUUUUCUUUUUCAUCAAAUUUUUUUUUUCUUUUUGUGUUUGGUGUUGGCAUGGCUGGUCUUGAUCUAGGCACAACUUCUCGCUACGUCCACAACGUCGAUGGUGGCGGCGGCGGCCAGUUCACCACCGACAACCACCACGAGGAUGACGGUGGCGCUGGAGGAAACCAUCAUCACCAUCAUAAUAAUCACAAUCACCAUCAAGGUUUAGAUUUAAUAGCUUCUAAUGAUAACUCUGGACUAGGCGGCGGUGGAGGUGGGGGAAGCGGUGACCUCGUCAUGCGCCGGCCACGUGGCCGUCCAGCUGGAUCAAAGAACAAACCGAAGCCGCCGGUGAUCGUCACGCGCGAGAGCGCAAACACUCUUAGGGCUCACAUUCUUGAAGUCGGAAGUGGCUGCGACGUUUUCGAGUGUAUCUCCACUUACGCUCGCCGGAGACAGCGAGGAAUUUGCGUUUUGUCCGGAACGGGAACCGUCACUAACGUCAGCAUCCGUCAGCCUACGGCGGCCGGAGCUGUUGUGACUCUGCGCGGAACUUUUGAGAUUCUUUCCCUCUCCGGAUCUUUUCUCCCGCCGCCUGCUCCUCCAGGGGCGACCAGCUUGACGAUAUUUCUCGCCGGAGCUCAGGGACAGGUCGUCGGAGGCAACGUAGUUGGUGAGUUGAUGGCGGCGGGGCCGGUAAUGGUCAUGGCGGCGUCUUUUACAAACGUGGCUUACGAAAGGUUGCCUUUGGACGAGCAUGAGGAGCACUUGCAGGUUCAAAGUGGUGGCGGCGGAGGCGGGGGGAAUAUGUACUCGGAAGCAACUGGCGGUGGCGGAGGAUUGCCGUUCUUUAAUUUGCCGAUGAGUAUGCCCCAGAUGGGAGUCGAAAGUUGGCCGGGGAAUCACGCCGGCGCCGGUAGGGCUCCGUUUUAGCAAAUGUUUAAGAAACUUUAAUUGAUUAUUUUCCACUUAUUGUUUUCCUCGGAAUUUUAUGAAAUUAUGAUUUAAGAAAGAAAACAAUAUUGUUCAUGUAUUGACCCUCUUAGUGCAUGGUUUCUUCUAUUUGUUUAAUUAACUAGCUCAUAAGAAUUGUCUGGUUUAGGAAAAAAAAAAAUAAGAGAAUGGUUUGGUUAUUGUUAUCAAUUUAUCCACAUGUAAAGCUUCUAGUUCUCUUAAGCCUCUAGCAAAAAAAAAAACCAUAAUUUCUUCCGUAAUAGUGCUCGCUAGGGCAAAUUCACAUGGCGAAUAAAACUUCUCUUUUUCAAAUUUGAGGUCACCAUUCACUACCAUGUUAAAGAAAUCAAUAAAUGACGAGCGUAGUAAACGACAAAAAAAAAGAUUAAAAGUAAUAGCGGCAUAAAACAAAGGAAAGUGCAAGUGGAGUGCUAAUUAAGAAAUUAAAUUAGAUAAUUUGACCAAUUCAUUUCCAAUCAUGCCCUUAAUUGCACAACCCAUUUGAUGCUAAGCUGUCAUGCACACACGCAAUAAUCUAAAGUAAAGUAGCCGAAAUUAGUGUUCAUCACAAAACAAUUAGUAUUGAUUAACUAACAGUCAUUACUUUAUUUCUGUCGCAUAUUACUAUAAUAUUGCUUAUACCUUGGAGUAACUAAAUACUCCCUUUGUCCCAAUAUAUAAGAUGGUUUAGAGCUUUUCAUUUGUUCUAUUAUAUAAAAUUUUCUCUAAUUUCAAUGCAUGAUUUCUAUUAGUUUAAUAGUUUUUAAUUAUUUUAAUUAUGUAGUAUCUUCUUCUAUUGAUUGAAUUUUCAUAAAUGAGAAAACAUUUAUUAUUUUUUAAUCUAUGUGUUUUUAGUCCAAACAUCUAAUAAAAUGGGACAGAGAGAGUAUCAAUAUAGGACAAUUUUGGAUUGGUUCAUCAUUUAAAUCUUACCCGGUUGUGGAUUCUAAAUUUCAACUACGAGCUUGCCUAUCGUGGUAAAUAAUAAUGAUAAUGCAAUCCAAAAUGUUAUACAAAAAUAGUAAUCAAAAAGCACACAUAGACAACAUUAGAGAUGUAUACUACUGAUUUUGUAAAGGGUGACGUAGUAUACAAUUUAGUAAUAAUAUACUGUAGUUGUUUUAUUUUUUGUCAACAAUAUAUUUAAUUAUCCAAGUAUUAAAGUGUUGAUAAAAAAAGUAUUCUAACUGUGGGUAGUGAAGAGACAACCAUGAUUUCGACCAAGUACCACGGAUCAUUCUUCUAUCUUCAUUGGAUUUUGUAUCUAACUAACUUUUACAAAAAUAUUAAUAUUAUCAUGAACAUGAUCAUGUUCUAUAAGAAGCUAAUCUAAGUUUCUUUAUAUAAAGUCUGUAAAGGUGCAAAAGAUUACUUGCUAAUUAUAGUUUGAUAUACAUAAUGAUUAAUACUAAAAACAUUAAUCAAACUAUCACAUCCGAAUGUUUGACUGCCAAUUUUUGUUGGUUUACUUAAAUAUUGUAAUGCUUAUUGGUUAUAUCUUUUUAACUAGAAUAGCUAUAUUGCCAGAGUACCACUUACCAGUCCGGUAUUACCAAAGUGUCUUUUAAGUUUGUUUAAACUUCAUUACUUUGUAGUUUUGACCCUUUUUUUCCUCAGUAGUUGAAACAAAACAUUAGAAUUAUAAAGAGAAGAAUCUUUGUUGGUUUUAUUUAUUAAAUUUCAAAACAAAUUAAGGGCCAUACCCGAACCGAAAAACUCGAACAAUACCCGAACCGAACCCGAACCCGAUUUUUAAAAAUAUCCGAAUGGGUCCUAACCUCCUACCCGAAAAAAACCCGAACCGAACCCGAACCGAAUCCAAUACCCGAAUGUACCCGAAUACAAAUAUACACCUAUAAAUAUUAGUUAUAUUUAUAUUUAUAAUACCCGAAAUACCUAAAAUUACAAUCAUAAAUCCGAAUAUAUUAGGUAUUUUAGAUAUUUUUGGUUAUAUUUGGGUAAAGAGUAACCAUUGUAUUUUCGAUAAAUCGAAUAUUUCGGUUAGAUUUGGGUAUAUAUGAGUUAAAAACCCGAACCCGAAAAUAUUUCGGGUAUUUUUGGUUAUUUUCGGGUAUUUUGCUUUUUUAUUAAAAUACCCGAACCGACCCGAACCCGAACCGAACCCGAACCAAAUUUUUAGAAUACCCGAAUGGGUCUUGACCCCCUACCCAAAUAGACCCGAUACCCGAAAAAAAAGAACCGAACCCGAAUGGGUACCCGAAUGCCCAGGCCUAGUUUUAUUUAUUAAAUUUCAAAACAAAUUGAGGGCCAGAUCAAAGGCCCACGUAUGUAGCAUAUAUAAUACUUUAGAUAAAAACUAGUGCAGUAGUGCUCCUUCUCGUGAUCUAGCCCAAUUAAACCUAGCCGACAAUUACUCCCAAAAAAAAAAAGUUAUAUGAAUGGCUCAUAUCUUCUUCACUAAAAAAACACACUGUUAUUCCACGUUAAUCGCUUUUUCUCCCCUAACAAUCUUGAGCAUAGAAAUCAAUGAUCUCGACAACAUCCAAAUCCGAAAACGUAGAGGCAUCGUUCCGAAGAAGCCACAGCAAGUGCUCAAACAAGAUCGAGUCGACAUGAUCAAGCCACACCACUCUACCGGUCCGGUUUAACCGGUUCUUGGUACGAUCCUUAGCUGAGCCUAUCAAGACUCUAAAAGGGUACUCUUCGAGUACAUACGGUUCGACCAUGAACUCCUUCUUCUCCUUCCCUACCACCACCCUUAUGACUGGAUCUUCCAUAUUUUCGGUGAGAUUCCGGUAUGCAAACCGCCGUGAGUCGGCUGAGGAGAGACGACGGAGUUUCAUUACAGGCGAAAUCAAACAACCCAUUUGAGAGAAGAAGAAUCAGAGUUGUUAUAGGGAUAGAUAAUUCAAGAAAGAAAAAAACAGAGUUUAUAUAUAAACACCAAAGAAACGAAGAAUACGAACACAAAUUAAUGGUUUUAGAUUAAACGCGGUUUAUUUAUGUAAAAACCGUGUAAAAGCUUAAUGUAGAUUUGCUACGUGGCGAACUAUGGUUAGUUAAUGUAGUUGCGAUGUUAUAUGUCUAGAGUUCGAUGGCCGACCCACCGGCUAAACUGUAUUUCUCCGUCCACUUGUUUGUUUUUAAACAGAGAACGAUUUCACAUGAAAGUAUAUGAUAAGUUUCCAGCUAUAUACCAUUGUACCAAGAAAAAUAUAUUAGCUAUAUACCAUUGUACCAAGAAAAAUAUAUUUUCUAACAAACUUCUAGACAUCUACGCAAAAUUUGCAUUUUUAUCCAAACUAUGUAUGUUACCGAAAAUGAUAUAUCGUUAUAUAUAAGUUUGUUAUGGCAUAUGAAUAGUUUUUUUAAACAUAAAGUAUGGCUUACGAAUAUUGAUUUUAUGAAUUGAGAAACCGAUUUUCAUAUCUACAAAACCAUUGUAAAAAUCAAACAUAUAACUCAUAAUUAUAUUGUUAUAUAUAUAUAUAUAUGUUAUAUAUAUAUAUCAGCGAGAUAUUUGAAUAACUUUUAUAUGUUUCGUUUUGCAUAUAUGUUGUAUCUAUAAUGCAACCAAAUUUUGGAUAAAUUUUAAUAUAUUUUAUGUGUUAUAAGUGACUAAUAAAUUAAAACUAUUUGACUAUUUUUUUAUUUGUUUGGAUAUUAUCUUUUAUUUCCGAUCCUUCGCUUUCACUAAUUUCAAAAACUAGUAUUAUCGUUAUUCGACGUAUACUGUAUCAUUUAGUAUCACAACCAAGUUCUUCCGCCGUAUAAUGCUUCCGCCUUCACUAGCUUACAUGCACAAGUGAUUUAACUACGUUUAUUUCUGCAAGAUUACAUUAUUUUUUAUGCAUAAAAUAGCAAAAGAAACUAACCAAGAAAAUUUCAAGACUGCUAAUCUUAUAUUAGAAAAAAACGUACAUAUUAUAUUGGUAAACAAGACGGCUAAUCUUAAUAUAGCUAUAGAGCUAGUUUUAGAUUUGUCCCGGCGGGUAAUUAGCUCCGGUGGCUCGGGUAGGGUAGGUGGAGUGACCGGGAAGACGGUGGCCGUGAACCUGAGCGUCUGCAGCAUGCUCAGCCUUGGAUUGAUGGAGGUCAGCCUUGGCCUGCGCCUCCUUAGACUUCUCUCGCUCUUGGGCCAACUUCUUCUCUUUUUUGGUCCUCGCCAUCGUCUUCUCUGCAUGACCUUGAGCCUUUGCGCCGCCGAUGUGGAGCUUCUCCUUGGCCGUACUGGCCAUGUCACUGAUCUUUUCCUUCGCCGACUGCAUCUUCUUUCUUCUUCUUCUUCGAUCUUCUUGAUCUUAUCAAACUAUAAACUUAUUUUCCUUUCACUUUGCUUUAUGUCUUAAUUAUAUGCUUUCCGAUCUAAUUUAACGACUACUGGGUUAUCACCACGUGUAAUACGUAGAAACGUGUCACAAGCUACGAACAUGUACGUGGGUACAAAAGCAAUCUACACGAACACGACAAUAUAUAGUUUCUUGAUUUUGCAUUAUCUUUUCUUUCUUUAUCUUUUCAGAUUCAGAAAGUGUUAUAUAAUAUUUUUAAGUUAGCUGUUUCAACCAAAAAAAAGCUGAAAAAUUAUACGUUUGAUAAAAAUGUUGAUGUUAUUUGGAUAAAAACAUCUUUGGAUUUGCGAUGUAGUUCAAAAACUCGUUACAUUGCUUCCGUUUAACCAAUACAACUGGUCACAUUGCUAACAUGGAACGUGAGAGAUUCCUUCGACCCUCCUUCGCUAAUUGCCCAAAGAUCUACAAUUAGGGAUUGUUUCAUAGAUUGCCUAACUUGAUGUCAAUAAUUAGCUAGUAUAAGCAAAUCACUUGACGAGUUAUGAAUAUAGAUCAAUAUUAUUUGCAUGGGUAGCUCAUUAUAUUCUGCGUGAGGCUAUGUUUUAAUUAGUCCAGUCUUUAUCGAUGGAGCUAGUUUGGUGUGGCUCUUCUACACUUCUACACUUUUUUUUUUUCCUUUCAAAAAAUUGGAGUGAAUUACCCAAAUAAAAAUAUGUAUUAAUUUAAGGCACUACUACAUAUAUGAUGCAAAUGAUAAAACUUUAAACGAACAAAAUAUAUUCCAAAAUGAGAUUAUAUAUACAAAUAUCGAGAAAAUGAUUUAUACCAUUUUUUUUUUUGUCGUCCGUAAUUAAUUAUAAGCUCAAAAGAGCCAUUCCUGAGGAAUGUUGUUUACAUAAGUGAUGUAAGACGGCUCUGUACGAACUUUUCGUGCCAGAUUAUCCGCUUUAACAUUAGCACUACGAGAAAUUAAAGAUAAAGAGAAGCUUGAAAACUCUUCCUUGUCAUUGUGAAAUUCCUCUAAAUACACUGAAAAUGCCGGCCAUUCAGUUGGAGAAGACACCAUCUUCACCAGAUCAGAACAGUCUGUAUAAAACGCCACCUCUUGAUUAUCUGCACCAAUCAUACACUUCAUCGCCCAGAGAAGGACCUCGACUUCUGUAUGUAAGGAAGACAGACUUCUACGGAGGUUGGCAGCUCCCAUGGUUGGCGGCUCUCCAUUUGACGAUGUACAGAACCACUCUGUACCAGAGAACUUAUCACUUCCUUUCCACGAUCCAUCCACGAAGCAACGGUACCCUGAAUAAUUCGAAUCAAGAGAAACCUCCCGCACUCGGGACCGAGUUGUCGAAACAACAGAACCAUGAUUUUCUUCUUGGAGCUCUAAUUGAGCCGCUUGCCAUAAUUGUGCGUCUUUUUCUGCUAAUCGUAAUACCUCUAACGGAUCUUUAUCUAUAUUUUCAAAGAUUUUUUCAUUUCUUGCUUUCCAAAUAUACUAUAUAAUCCAUGGAAAAACUGAAGAAUCAUAGUCUGAAGGUAUUCUCCAAAAUAAGUGAUCCAAAUUUGCAAAAUGAUUUAUACCAUUUAUUAGAUACGAAAAAAGAAAAAAAAUGUGAAAGAAUUUAUUUGACAGAAAACAAAAGAGAGAUUAGUGUUAAGGAAAAUUAAUGUCCAAAUGUCCAAUUUUCAUUUUGUUAAUCAUACAUGAUUACACAUUUUUAUGUACAUACAUACAAACAUAUGAUUUAAUUAAACCUUUAUAGAAAAAAGAUUGAAUCGUUGGAGACGAAAACAAAACAAGGUUUAGUUCAAAUAGACAAAAAGAUUUGGUCUAAAAGAAAAUCGACAAAAAUCUAAAAAAAUAAAAAAAAAUCAAAACAAAGCGAGAAGAGCCAGAAACAAGAGUGUUUGACGGUCUACCUUUUUUGGUCAAAUAGAUGACGACUCUCUCUGCUUUUGCUGACACUAAACUUAAUUACUCUGUUUUUUUUUUUUUUUUUUUUUUUUGACAAAUUUAUAUUAUCAGGAAAACAAAAGAACAAAAAUUAGUACUUUCUUUUGCAAUUAAACCCCAAGUUUUGAAAUUUCAGUAUCUCUCAAACUCUCAUAACCAGCGAGAGAGUAGAGAGUGUGUGGAAAGAAACUAGGAAGUUGAAGGAAAAAAACUUGAAUCAGAAGAUUUCCAGCGAGAAAGAUGGCUAGAAACAGUGACUAUGAUAUGUGCAAAGAAGAGCGGAAGAGAGAGAGCUUCUUCAAGGUUCUACAAAGAGUUGAUUUUUCUUCCGAAAACUUGGUAAAAUAUCUUCUUUAACUCUUCAUGUUCUUAAAUUAUGUAAUUUCUUGUUACUUUUAGUUUUGAAAGGUUGAAACUUUGGUUCUCUGUAACAAUGGGUCUUGUCUUAAAGGUUGAAUCUUGUUAGUUAUCUUUGUAAGGUUUCCUUAACAGUCUUUAUAGGUUCCAGAACAUGGUUUUGUUUCUCUGUCUGAAUGUGAGGAUAUGUGCUUUAUUGUCAACUUUGUUUGUUUUGGAUGAGAUCUGGUUUCUGGCUUUUUUUCCAACGUCUUGGUGUGUUUGUCAUUUGUGUGUAAUGGGACUAGUUUCAUGGUGAGACUGAUACUUAGGACUCAAUUACUUGAUGGGAUGUAAAAAAGGUUCACUGUAACUGAAGAAACAUUCUUGUUGGGUAUGUUCUUCUUCUUCUUAUAUUUUCUCUUCCUCUUAUUUGCAUAACCAAAAAGAGAGCACUUCCUUACGACUUUGUGAGAAGCUUCUCCAACAAUGAGCUCUCCGGUAAGAUGAAGAUAAAAGCGCGAUGGGGAAGUUCUUGGGAAGUAGAAAUCUGCAAGAAUCCCAGAUUCUAUUUCAUGGAGAAAUCCGGAUGGGUGAAGUUUGUGAGGGACAAUGCCUUGGGAGACAAUGAGUUUCUUACCUUCACUCACAAAGGAAAAAUGCGUUUUACAGUGAACAUCUUCAAGCAAGAUGGCAAGGAGAUGCUUCAGCCUCCACAAUCCAUGGCCUCCAUGGCUUCUUCUAGUAAGAUUUGCUAUUCUGAUUAUGAAGUAGUGAACUCGAUAAAGACAUUAGUUGAGUCUUUACUUUUGAUGAUGAAACAGGGCGCCGGCGCACUAAAACAGAACAAGGAAUAUCUUAUCUUGCCACGACAAUAACAGCUGAAUCUAAUGGAGGAGAAAACUACACAAGGAAGCUCAACUUUGAGAAGAAGAAAGCUGCGGAAUCCCAAAAUUCCAAGAGGACCGAGAAAGUCUUUAGUGUCCGAAGGGAUUCUGCAGGUGCCUCUUCAUCUUCUGUUGCAGAAUUCACCACCUUCAUCAAGAAAUCAUACCUUAUCUUCAUGGUAAGAUAAGACAAACCAAGAAACACUUUAUUGUGCUUUGUUUUGUGAAUCAAAACAUUAUUCUGAUUUUUCAGAGGAUCCCCAAAUCUGUUCAAAGUAUUCAUAUGCCGAUGCAGAGAACGAUUUUCAAGAUACAUCUCCCAAAUAUGAAGAAGUCAUGGAAUGUGGUUUACUUGGUGGCAGAUAGGGGUGCAAGCUUCUCUGGUGGAUGGAAACGUUUGGCUCAAGAGUAUCCUGUAGCAGUUGGAGACACUUGCAAGUUUUCAUUCAUCAAACAACACGAGCUGAUUCUCUUUGUCUCAAAACCCUAAGAGGAGCUACUCACUAGUGAUGAUGGAUGUGAAGGUGUCUUGGAGAACAAGCAACUGAGAAAAAGACUGUUUAUCAGUGUUGUCUUAACUUUUAGUUUUAUGUUAUGACUUAGUUCGGUUUAAAUUCAGAAUGUCUAUGGGGCGGAUAUAUGUAGCUUGAUAUGUUUGGACCAAUUUUAAUAUGUUGUUUCAGUUUGGCUUUACUUUGCUCUCUAACUCUUAAUUAUAUUCAAGAACCACAAAUCUGUUGGAAUUCGAUUGUGGCAGAUGUAUAACUACUGUUCAUCAUCAGAGAAUUCAGAGCUAUAUUAUAAAUUAAGUUUCUGGAAAACAUGAACCGAUCGAGUUUCUCAGAAAAAUUUGCGUAUCAAACAACCAUGUUACUUUGGUCCAAAUUACCUGUUUUGGUCUCCUUCUAAAGCCAAAAACACCAACCAACAAACAACUAUAUAAGGUUUAAUUGUGAAGCACUAUUUGAAUAUUUUAACUCUUUCAGAGACCUAACAUCAAAAGUCUGAUAUUGAUGUUAUGUUCCAGGAAAGAGAUAAUUACACAUUUGAACAAGACAAGGGAACUGCUUGGUUAUAAAUACCAAUUACUGACUUAACUCGGCCUAAAUGUGGCUCUGAAUGUGCAACGCCAUGGCUUUUGUUGGGUUAUUUGCAUAUCUUACAAAGAAAAAAGCUUUUCAAGAGUUACUCUUUGCUGGAAUCAGCAUCAGAGUUCCCAUAUACAGCAGCAAAGUAGUAGCUCACAGUCUUAGGUGUUACGCCAGGGAAUCUGUGGGAGCUAUCCGGUUGCAAAUCGAUCUUAACGAAUGGCCAUUGCAUUGCCUGUGCGGCUGCACACUCUUCCCAUCCGUCCCCGAUCACACAGAAUCUGAAUUUUGGGUGGUUGAAACGCUCUUUGAUCCAUUUGAAACAUUGGAGCUUCCCCACAUCUAUUGAACUGUACACUGAAGAAAGGCAAAAAGAGUUAAAUGAUGUAGUUUGCUUUCACAUAGAAAUGCAAAUGCAUGAAGGAGCUUGCAGAGUAGCAAGAUAUCAGAAGCUAAGAUAUCCCAUCGAAGGAGAUGUCUCCGAGCUUACCAUUUUCAUGUCUUAGGAAUGUAUCUAGCCGGAAAAGCAGGCACUUCACGAGGCUCGGUAUGAGGGCCCCGGAAGUCACUAGAAUAUGUAUAUCCUGAGAGCUUUGAUCGAUUGCACUUGGUCCAUCACUGGACUCUUCUUUCACACAUGAACACUGCUCCAAGAAAGCCCUUGCUGCAAUUGAGACAAAACCAUACUGAGCAGUGGAUGCGAUAAAGAAAAUAACCACAAGAAGCAGACAGUUCGACAUUUACCCGAAGAAAGCCACCGUUCUGUGUAUUCAUCAGUCACAUUAUACAACUCAUCCAACACAUUCAUCGAUUCACUGUCAAGGAAUGGACACAAACCCUGCAAUUAUAAAGAGAUGAGAUAUGUACUUGAGGCAUAUAACAUCAGCAACAAAUAACAUAUAAAAUGUAUCAGUACCUUUUCGUAUUUGUGUGCAACAGCUCGAUGCCUGUACGCAAGUUUCCUCUUGUUCAAGUCAUCAGUAGGAGUACUAAAGUCGUCUUGUUUGAAGUCAUAGAGAGAAAGAUCCUUUCCGUCAUCGUACUGUCUCAAAGAAUCAAGAAAUGGCUCAUUGCAUUCCUCAAUCUGCAAAAACACAAGACUAAUGUUUUGUAGGUGACAGAGUUUACGAGGGCAUCUCAUCAUUCCCGUUCUGAACCUAUCGUUAAGAAAAGACUUACUUGCUCGUAGAAGAAAAAAUCGUCACAGAUCUUAAGUAUGUGUUUCUCCCACAUCCUCCCAAUCUCUACACCUCUUUUAACAUCUUUGGAGCCAUUAAAAGACUCAGCAUAAGUCCCAUUUAACAGAGAUCUAAGUAAGAUAAGAGUCUCGUCCAUGUCCCAUACAUAUACAUUCACUGGUCCACCAUCAGAAACCAAAGUUCCGAGCUUUUGUGAUGUAUUGUCAUUCAUAAUCUGUUGUAUUCCUUCAUCAAAUGACAAAAAGCAUUCAGAAGGAGCCACAAAAUUGCGAUCGAUGAGAAGUAACUAAUUCACGGCACCAACAUUGGCUACUAAUUCACUGAUGAAACAAUCAGGGACCAGUGGACUGGAAUAAGUUUCAUGGCGGAAACAAAACCAAUAAAAUUCCCAAAAGAGCAAACUUUACAACAAACCCAUGACUAAUUUCACUAAACAAAACCUAAGAAACUUCGAUUAACGAUUCUAGGUAAAUUAAUUAAACAAAAUUAGAACUUUCAGAUCAAACGAGGAUCGAUGACAGAUAACACAAAGUUCAAAUUUUUUUUAAAAAACCCAUACCUGCCGAUAAGAUGAGCAAAGAUAGAGCUCCGGAGCUAAGUGACGACGAUGCUUCAAAGAUCACAGACGAAGUAAACGGCGAGCGAAACGGCGUCGUUUGAUAUCAUUUAGCUUCUGGCCCAAUUAAAGGCCCAUUAUGUUCGACAGUCACAAACACACCAGAAACUGAAGGAAGCUUUUUUUUUUCUUCUUGCAUGACCCUUCGCUUCUCUUCUCUUCUCUACGGGAGUUUGAUUAUUCAAUCUCAGCUGAGAAAUACAGCAAUCGCCGAUCAGUAAGUUCUUCUAAACUCAUCUAUGUUGUUUGAAAUCUGUAAGAUUCAUCCAUCAUUUUGCCGUCUUCAUUAAAACCCAUUUCUCCUGAUCCUGCUUUGGUUUGUGUUUCAUUUGGGGGAUUCAAUGAUCUUCACUCUUUCAAUCUCUGUGGAAUUUUUCUUUUCCUUCAGAUUCUCGUAUAUACAUAGACGUGCCUUAAGUCUGAUGGGUUGUACUGUGAGGGAGAAGCAUGUUAGGCCUAACCGGAAGACCCGAUCCGUGAAACCCGAAUUCGACCCGUGUUGUUUGCUCGACAGGACCGCUCUAUCGAAAUCGAUUGUUGAAUCGAGUCUAAAGCAUCUUGUUUAUCAUCCGGGUCUUCUUGAUUUGUGUCCUGAGUCUAACCCUAGUGGCAAUUUUGAGGAUAAUGGUUGGGGUUACUGUACGGAGGAGCAAUUAGAGGAUAUUUUGUUGAAACAUUUGGAGUAUUUAUACAACGAAGCGAUUUCGAAGCUUGUGGCAUCGGGUUAUGAUGAGGAUGUGGCGUUGAGAGCUGUUCUUAGUAAUGGGUAUUGUUAUGGUGGGAUGGAUGUUAUGACGAAUAUUCUGCAUAAUUCUUUGGCUUAUCUUAAGAGUAGUACUGGUGAAGGUAGUAAUGUGAACAAUGAUGAUCAAUCAGAGACGGUUUUUACGGAUUUGAGACAGUUGGAGGAGUAUUCGCUUGCGGGUAUGGUUUACUUGCUGCAGCAAGUUAAACCUAAUUUGAGUAAAGGUGAUGCAAUGUGGUGUUUGCUAAUGAGUGAGCUUCAUGUUGGGAGGGCGAGUACUAUGGAUAUACCGAGUUCUGGAAAAGGGGAUAGUAGUAAUGUAGGGGUUGGUGGUGCUAUUUCACCAGCAUUGUGUAGAUUCCAUGGAGGUUGGGGUUUUGGUAAUGGGAAAGGACCCAAGUUUUCAGGGAAUGGGGUUUCUUUGUGCAGUGAAGAGUUAACAUUGCAGAGAGAGAUUGAUUGUCCGAGGAGAUUUAAUCUUUCACCGUCAAUGAAGUCUUUGUUGAGAGAGAAUGUUGCAGCUUUUGUUGCUGGGUAUCGUGCUAGUAUGGAGCAAAAGAAGCAGAUGCAAUUGCAGUCUGAAACUAGUAGUAAUAGCUUGUCUUGCGCAGCUGCUGCUACAUGUUCAGAGACGUGUGAGCAGCCACGUAACUUGGGGAAUGAAGAAAGUGUCAGUUCAGUGCUGGAGAAAUUCCGGGAUCUGAACCUUGAUGACAAUGUUGAUUCAGCACCUGAGGAGCUAAAAGAUGAUGCUUUAAUAGGACUACUUCAUCAGGUUCAGGAUCUUAAAAAGCAAUUGAAAGAGAGGAAAGACUGGGCUCAGAAGAAGGCAAUGCAAGCUGCCCAAAAGGUCAGCGAUGAACUGGCCGAGCUUAAAUCAUUGAGGAGUGAGAGAGAAGAAAUCCAACAGUUGAAAAAGGGGAAACAAACUCGUGAGGACUCAACCUUGAAAAAAUUAUCAGAGAUGGAAAAUGCUCUUAGAAAAGCUAGCGGUCAAGUUGACAAGGCAAAUGCGAUAGUAAGGGCACUUGAAAACGAAAGUGCAGAAAUCCGGGCCGAAAUGGAAGCUUCCAAAUUAAGUGCAUCAGAAUCUCUCACGGCAUGCAUGGAGGCAUCGAAGAAAGAGAAAAAAUGCUUGAAGAAACUUGUGGUGUGGGAGAAGCAGAAAAUGAAGUUGCAGGACGAGAUCACAGCUGAGAAAGAGAAGAUUAAGGCCCUCAAUAGGGCUUUAGCUCAGAUCACACAGGAAGAAAAAGAAUAUGAGGUACCAAGAAAUGCAUUAUCUUUGUUUACACACCGAGAAUCUUCGGGAUCUUCACAAUUUUUGAGACUAUAACCUGUGGAAGUCCAUUUAGUUAGGAUUUAAGAUAAAGUACCCUUCGUUUUUGAAUGCGCGGUCUAAUUACCCUGAAAAAGUCAGUGUUGAAAUCUGUUCCAAGGAAUUACUACACCUGUUAAUACUUUUCACGGGACAGGUCUUUCUCUCUAUGCUGCUAGAUGGAUCAUAUUUGCAUAGAGAGGUUGUCUAUUUUUGGGAACUUGUAAUGUUCUUUUCAUCUCGUUAAUAUGUAUUUGCAGGCGAAAUGGAGACAGGAACAGAAAGGUAAGGAGCAAGCUAUGGCUCAAGUGGAAGAAGAGCAGCGCUUGAAGGAAGUAACCGAGGCUAGCAACAAGAGAAAGGUGGAAAGCCUGCGGUUAAAGAUUGAAAUAGACUUUCAGAGACACAAAGAUGAUCUCCAAAGACUGGAACAAGAGCUGUCUCGGCUCAACAAAGCCUCUUCAACUGACUCAAGCCUCCAAUCCAAUAACACCUCUCACACAAAGGGGAAAUCAGACAAGUCGAAGGGAGAAGCAAUGUCUAAGCUGCUUGAAGAGCUGGAUAGGCUUGAUGGAUCAUAUGAGAAGGAAGCAAACUAUGACCGGGAAUGUCUGAUCUGCAUGAAAGAUGAGGUUUCGGUUGUGUUUCUUCCUUGUGCUCACCAAGUGGUCUGUGUGAGCUGCAGCGAUAGCUUCAUGGGCGGCAAAGCGACAUGUCCUUGUUGCAGAGCUUCGGUUCAGCAGAGAAUCCGUGUCUUUGGAGCGAGUUCUUAGUAAAAAAGAUAAUUAUCUGGGGUUCAAAGAUCAAUCACACACCACAACUUCUUUUGUCAGGUAUAAUACUUUUGUUUGUUUGUUUGUUUAUGUCUCCGUCUCUCUGCUUCAUAUUGUCUCUUAUCUUCAAUCUGAGGGUUUUGGACUAUUUGCAUCUUUACAUUGUUUUGAGUUGUUGAAAGAAGAUGUUGCCUGGUUUAUGUUCUUCCCAGGAUUCACAAUGUAAGUAAAUAAAAAUUCUACCUUCUCAACCCAAUCUUGAGACGUCGUCGUUUUUAACUCAACGAACCAUUUUGUCACAAUUUCUGACUUGAUACACAUGAAUACACUUGAUAUGUUUUCCUUACCAUGAACCUAUCACAAUAGCUUAUAAAAUGUUUCAUUAUUAGCCACUUCGCCUCUAACUUGUGUGUUGUGGCGAAAAUAAGUUACGCUUUACAAAUAUCAACAAGUGUCAUUUGUUAUCACAAUUGCUUUCAGCUAAAAUAUUAUGGGUGGCAAUUUGAAUUAUGGAAAGAAAUCUCUUAACAUUUCAAUAACCUUCGACCGAACCGGUUUAGACCGGUACAGACCAAUUAAAAUCACGGAAAUUCAAAUCUAUAUCAUAUUAAAAAUCGAAAACGCUUCAGAGUUACGUAUAAAUAGAGGUUGGUAUAUUAAACGGCGAUAAAAACAUUCGACGUAGAAUCCGGCUUGGGAGACUUGAGUCGCCGCCGGUGAAUACUCUUCCAUACAUUCCGCCGUCCGAUUCCUCUUACUUGGCGUCUUUUGGUAAGCUUCAUAACCUAUCAUCAUCUUCCUUCUCCAGCUCUUCGAGUUUCAGAAAACCUAGAUCUCAAAGUGUUUGUCCCUAAUCUUUUAGGGUUUCUACCUUGUUUGAUCAUUCUGAAAAUUGUUUGUCUUCUCUCGGAAUUCAAUUUAUGUACAUACACUCACUCUACUUAUGUAUCUCUGAAACAAGUGAUUUUGAAAUUUAUAGCUCUCCUGUGUUGAUUUCGUGGUGUUGGUUUAUGAUUGUAGUGCAGUGAGAAUGGGGAGCAAUGAUUUGAACACCUGGGUUUCGGACAAGUUGAUGGUUCUGCUAGGCUUUUCACAAACUGCUGUCGUGCAGUAUCUAAUUGCAAUGGGUAAUCUUGGUGUUUCGUUUUCGAUCAUCAAAGCAAAAUCAAGCAAUUUUUAGCUGACAAAGUGAGGUUUUCUUUUCUUGCAGCUAAAAAAUCAAAAUCACCAGAUGAACUCGUCCGUGAGUUGGUUGACUACGGUUUUUCUUUGUCUGGUGAUACCCGUGCUUUUGCGGAAGAAAUUUACGCCAGAGCUCCCCGGAAAACCGCUGGUGUGAAUGUGAGCUCCUCAAUGACUCUCCUACUCUUUUCUUUUUUUAGUAGAUAAAGAAUGUAUGACAUAAACAGAGUCAUAAUUUGGUUGGUUUUCUUGGUUUUUUCAGCUCUACCAGCAACAGGAAGCAGAGGCAGCGAUGCUGUUGAAGAAGCAGAAGACUUUUUCCCUUUUAGAGGCUGAUCGUGAUGAAGAUGAAGGCUAUGUGGAGAAACAAUCUGCUUUGGAAACCGGAAAGUCAGAUAAAAGCCGAAAGAGGUUCAGGAAGAAAAUUGAGCAACUGGAAGACGACGAUGAUGAUGAGGCAAAUUGUUUUCUAUUCCCAUGACAGACUUCCAUUUUUUUCUUUAUGGUAAGAUAUAGCUUCAUAGCUCUUCUAAUCAUGUGGUAUCCUUUCUGACUAAACAACAAUGCAGGUAGUGAUUGUUAAAGAGGACAAAAGGAAUGUUAGGAGUAAGGUUUCCGAAGGCGAGGAUGAUGGCACUGAGGUAUAUCUAGCUAGUGGUUACCCUUAGGGUGUUUGCAUUUCAGUUAUGUUUUGGAUCCUUAGGAAAAACAUAGUUAUGUGGAUAAUACCUGCUUUCAUAAUUGAUUUUCUGAAAAUCUGCUUCAAUCAUAAAUAAUUGGCACAGUCUGAAGAGGAAAGAUUACGUGACCAAAGGGAGAGAGAAGAACUAGAGCAGCAUCUAAGAGAACGAGAUACUGCACGGACACGAAAGGUAUGUCUUAUCUGUUAUGUGCACCGAAAAGAUCCUGUUUUUAGUAGUUCUUAUGUGUUUUAUUUGCAUACCUCACAAGGAACAAGCUAUCCGUUCUCUUCUUGACAUCUUGUUUUCGCCAACCAGCUGUUUUGUUUUGCGGAAACAAUAUAAAAGAUGAACUAGUUAUCUCAUUCAACUUGCUUUAAGUUAGAAAACAGAACUGCCAAAUCUCUGCACUUAUUAUGCCAUUCAAUCCUGUAUGCUUUAGAUGCUUUUGCUAGUUAAAGAAAAGUAUGUGAGGAUUCAUUAAUCCAUUUCAUUAUUUGCUAUCUCAUUUUUUUGUUACUGACCUGUCCCUUUCUUUUCUUUAAUGAACAGCUAACAGAGCCAAAAAUGUCAAAGAAAGAGCAAGGUACGGCCUAUUAUAGCUCACAUGAAAAUGUAUAAGCAUCUUUGUGUUAAAUUAUGGGUGAAACCAAAUUUUUGUUUCUUCUGCUGGACUCAUUUAGAAAUUCUUAUAUUGCAAAACAGAAGAAUUUGUUCGAAGAGACAGUGCUGUUGAGAAGGGUGAUAUUGUAUCCUUAAGGUACUUCAUUUCUCUAACUAAUCUUAACUUCCCGGCAUCUAUGGUCUGUGAUGGUUCCUCUUUGAGAUAGACAUAAAAAGUAUGCAUCCAUAUUGAUAUACAGUAACAGGGCAUGAUUGACACUAUAAGAUACCUAUUGAAAUACCAUGUAAAGUUGAUUUUCAGUUAAGAACUAUUGACGUUGUCAACUGUCUCCUCAUUAACAAUUCUUAACAGUCGUCCUAAUGUUUGACAAUUAUCUCUUUAAUGUCUUUUCACUCAUUCAUUGUUAUUGAUUAUGUUUUGCUGAUUCAGGAAAUUCUCACGGCAAGAAUAUGUGAAGAAAAGGGAACAGAAGAAACUGGAAGAGCUGAAGUACAUGACUUUUAAGAGUUAUUUGGAAUUUCUGUACCUAUUUUACUGUUGAUCCUAAAUUGACUUCUCCUUUCUCCUCUUUUCUUCACAGGGAUGAUCUAGAAGAUGAACAAUACCUUUUUGGAGAUGAAAAGCUCACUGAAACAGAAAUUCGUGAAUUUAGGUAAUUAAGACAUCUAUUGCACCAAGAUGGAGUUUGGUUGCUUUGGUGAUUAUAAAAAGUCACAGUAGUGGCUUACUUUUGGACUUUUUUGUUACAAUCUGAAGCUGUGGUAUUAUUCUGAUUUGCUAGGAUUUGUUAAUUUUUGGCUAAUAUAAUUGAGCAUUGGUCGAUCUGAUAUCUUGACAGAUACAAGAAAAAAAUCUAUGAGGUCAUAAAGAGAAGUACACAAGAAGAAGAUAAUGUAGGAGAGGUUAUUGCAUCUUACUGAACCCUUCUUAAGUUUUUGGCUAUUUUUUAAAAUGCUUCAAAUGUUCUUAAUGAUUUUGGUUUUCCUUCUUCUGAAUUAUAUGUACUUAUCUCUUUCAUUCCAACCUCGUUGGAGUACAGUAUAGAAUGCCGGAUGCAUAUGAUCAACGGGGAAGUGUUGAUCAGGAGAAGAGAUUUGCUGUUUCUGUACAAAGGUACAGGUGAGAUGAGAAAGAAUGCAUGACUUGGAAUCCAUAACAUUCUACUUUGCUUACACUUUAAAGAUCGCUCUUCUUCGUGUUGUAAAAGUCUUACGGAUGUUCUAAAUUAUCUUAUUUGAUUAGGGACAUGGGUUCCGCGGAGAAAAUGAACCCCUUUGCAGAGCAAGAAGCUUGGGAGGACCAUCAGAUUGGUAGUUUACUGUUUCGCGCUUUUACCAUUGACCAAUCUUGUUUUGAAUGCAUGCUUUUUUUAAAAUGACAUCAUGUGUGAUAUUUACUAAAUGACAUUUUCAUGCAGAAAACGCAACAUUAAAAUUUGGUGCAAAGAAUAAGGAGGUCUCAGACAAUUACGAGUAAGAUUUGUUACUUUUUUGUCCUAGUCGUGUUAUAUUUUAAUUUCAAAUUUUACGUUUGACUGAUUAUCCUUGCUAUCUUUUUGACCAUGAAUAUAUAAUUACUUUUGCAGGUUUGUAUUUGAAGACCAAAUAGACUUCAUAAAGGCAUCUGUGUUGGCUGGUGAAAAUGUAUUGACUAUGAUACCUAUUAGGUCUGUAAUAUUUCUUUUUAUGCACUGAGUUUUAGCUGACUACGUGUUUUUUUUCAUUACAGUAUGAAGAUGAAAUGCAUGCUAAACCAUCUCAAGAUUCUGCUGGGAAAUCGGCUUUUCAUAUGCUUCAGGUUUUCCUCUUUCUCAACGACUGGAGCCCUAUUAAGAUGUUUCCUUGCCAUAUAAAUAUCUGAAUAAUUGUAUGUUUCCAUGUUUGAAGUUUUUCCUGGCAAAAGUUGAAAAAUUUUCUGACAUGUUUUUAUGUUAUUCGUUAAUUAAUCAGGAGGAUAGAAAAGCUCUGCCAAUUUAUUCAUAUCGUGAUCGACUUCUUAAUGCUGUGAAAGACCAUCAGGUGAUUAUUCCUUUCAUGUCACUUGUUUUUUGUUUAAAUUAUUGAUUCUUACUCUCAAAUUUCUAAGGAAAGUUGUACAUUUACAAAAUUAUUUUGUCACAUACGAGAGAAGCUUUCUCUAGCAGUCCGUACAGACCAAAUUUCAUCCUGACAUAGCAUUUGAGUGUAUGACAUAGAAUUAAAUAAGAAAAAGUACUUUGACAAGAGAACAUGUAUGAGAAAAGCUAGCAUAUCUUCUUGAUGUGGAUUAAAAAAAUUUCAUUAUGAAAUGUGCAUAUAUUUUUUCUUUUAUUUGAAUAACGAUUUCUUCUGUUACAUGUAUGAUUCAAACCCUUUUCCCUCAUUUUUAACUGACCAGGUUCUUAUCAUUGUGGGGGAAACGGGUUCUGGUAAGACUACACAGAUACCCCAAUAUCUUCACGAAGCUGGUUACACAAAGCAUGGAAAGGUACAUUUGACCUUAAUUGAAGCACAUAAUCAAAUGAAUGAUUUGCCUUUAAAGCAUAAAAGAGGAAUUUAAAUGUCAUCAAUAAAUUUUUGUGUUAUUUAUUCUGUAGUUGAGAGCUUUAGCAUGUCAAAGUUGCCACAAGCAAUUAUAGCACAUUUAUUGAAGUUUUCUGCUUUUCAGAAGCUAGCUUAUUAGAGGUUCACCAGGACUGCCUUUGUGCAUAAUCUUUGUGGCCAGAUGGUUUGGAAAGUAUAAAAACAAAAAAGGCAGACGUUAGGUAAAGCAUAAACAGUUACAUAGAACCCUAAUUAUUUUUUGUCAUACGGCAGGUUGGUUGUACGCAGCCUCGAAGAGUUGCGGCUAUGAGUGUGGCUGCUCGUGUUGCUCAAGAGAUGGGUGGUAAACUUGGGCAUGAGGUAUGUUUUUUGUUUGUUUAUAUAAGGUUUUUCCUUGUGGCAAUUGUUUGUUACACAAUUUCUGCGUAUACACUGCAAGAAACUUAAGCUUCGAUGGUGCUUGUCACAGGUCGGCUAUUCAAUUCGAUUUGAGGAUUGUACGUCUGAGAAAACAAUUUUGAAGUAUAUGACUGAUGGAAUGCUUUUGCGUGAGUUGCUUGGUGAGCCAAAUCUGGGCAGUUACAGGUAAUCAACAUACCUAGCCAUUUGUGUUAGCAUGGGGCAUGUGAAAUAUUAUUUGCCUACUAAUAGCUGAACCUUUCAGUGUUAUCAUCGUGGAUGAGGCGCAUGAAAGAACUUUGCACACUGACAUACUAUUUGGAUUAGUUAAGGCAAGUAGAUACCUAGCUAUCUUUUUACUUUAUUCAAUUAGAGUUAGAUCUUUGGAUAUGUUCUGAUUCUCUCUUCUUAUGGCAGGAUAUAGCCCGGGCUCGGCCUGAUCUGAAGUUAUUGAUAUCCAGUGCAACCAUGGAUGCAGAGAAGUUUUCUGAUUUUUUUGACCAAGCCCCUAUCUUCAGUUUCCCAGGAAGAAGGUAUCCUGUUGACAUUUGCUUUACUACUGCACCUGAAGCUGAUUACAUGGACGCAGCAAUAGCUACUGUGCUUACGAUACAUGUGAAGGAGCCACUUGGGGAUGUUUUGGUCUUCCUCCCAGGUCAAGAGGAAAUUGAGGCCGUAGAAGAGAACUUGAAGCACAAAAUUAGAGGUUUGGGUACAAAGAUCCGCGAACUCAUUAUAUGCCCAAUUUACGCUAACCUUCCAAGUGAGCUCCAAGCAAAAAUAUUUGAACCAACUCCUGAAGGGGCACGAAAAGUGGUGCUAGCUACAAAUAUUGCUGAAACAUCAUUGACCAUCGAUGGUAUAAAGUAUGUCGUUGAUCCAGGCUUUAGCAAGAUGAAAUCCUAUAACCCUAGAACAGGGAUGGAGUCUUUGCUUGUAACGCCUAUCUCUAAGGCUUCAGCGACUCAACGAGCUGGUCGAGCUGGAAGAACCAGUCCAGGGAAGUGUUACCGCUUGUACACGGCGUAUAAUUACUACAAUGACUUGGAGGACAAUACCGUACCAGAAAUACAAAGGACUAAUCUUGCUAGUGUGGUGCUUUCUUUGAAGAGUCUUGGUAUUCAUAAUCUGCUGAACUUUGACUUUAUGGACCCUCCGCCUUCUGAAGCUCUUAUAAAGUCCUUAGAGCUGCUCUUUGCUCUGGGUGCUCUCAAUCAGCUCGGCGAAUUGACUAAAGCUGGUAGACGGAUGGCAGAGUUUCCCCUUGAUCCAAUGUUGUCGAAGAUGAUUGUUGUUUCUGACAAAUACAAAUGCUCCGAUGAGAUCAUAUCAAUUGCUGGUAUGUUGUCCAUCGGGCCUUCUAUCUUUUACCGUCCCAAGGACAAGCAGGUUCAUGCUGACAAUGCAAUGAUGAAUUUUAACGUUGGAAAUGUCGGUGAUCACAUUGCUUUGCUCAAGGUCUGUAAAUUUCUCCCCUACUCGUUUUUUCUAUUGCAAUCUUACUGUUUAUUGAUAUGUCUUCUUUGUUUUCUGCAAGAUUUACAAUUCCUGGAAGGAAACGAACUACUCAACACAAUGGUGCUACGAGAACUAUAUUCAGGUAUAUAUGUAUAUAUAUCAUCAUCCUCUGUUGUUAUUAUCUGGUUUUAGUUGUAACACUGGUUUUGAAUCCUUUGCGUAUAGGUUCGGAGUAUGAAAAGAGCCAGAGAUAUCCGUGAUCAGUUGGAGGGUCUUCUCGAGAGAGUUGAAAUAGAAGUUAGCUCAAACGCGAACGAGUUGGAUUCAAUAAGAAAAUCCAUAGUAGCUGGUAAAUUUCUUAGUCUUCAGUUCAUAAAAAGCUAUAUUUGUUGUUGCUAAAGAAGUUGUAUACUUAUGCUCAGGUUUCUUUCCACACACUGCCAAGCUACAGAAGAAUGGAUCAUAUCGAACAGUGAAGCAUCCCCAAACCGUUCACAUACAUCCAGCCUCUGGCUUAUCUCAGGUUUAGUUUAAUUCUCACUCAUUGAAAACAUAUAACUAAAAAUCGAGAAAUCUUCUGAUGAAUCCUUCUCCGAUAAUAUUGUUAGGUACUGCCGAGAUGGGUUGUAUAUCAUCAACUAGUCCUUACCUCUAAGGAAUACAUGCGACAGGUAAAAUUCUGUAUUUUAACUUUGUAAACCACAUUUCGAUCUUCUGAACCAAAGCCUUCUUUGGGUUGAUUCAUUCAUCGGGUUUUGUUCCUUUACCUUGGAAAAUGCAGGUAACAGAGUUAAAACCCGAGUGGUUGAUUGAGAUAGCUCCACACUUUUAUCAGCUCAAGGACGUUGAAGAUGGUAAUACUGUGCUUUCUAUUCAUCUAAUCAUUUCUUGGUUCUUUAAAUCAUCUAAUCGAUCUUUAAUCUCUAAGACUAAUCAUCUCACUGCCUAUGUUUCUUGUAGCUACAUCCAAGAAAAUGCCCAAAACCAGUGGCCGAGCUGUGGUGUAGCAACUUUGAUCAAAGGAUGAUGUGAGAAUGAUGAUUUUUUUUGCUAAAUUGUUGAUUUGCAUAUAACCCUCUCUAAUUAACUUAGAUAUUUGAAUUAACAGUUGGAUCCUGGUGUGAGUUAAAACAGCAUGCCGUUUUCAGUUGGUUAGAAAACAACAUGCUGUCCGGCUCUAGAUAAGUUAAACAACAUGCUUCCUGCAAACGGUAUACAAAAUUACAAACACACAAGUAAACAAAACUAGAUGAUGAUUUUGAGAUUUUUCUACAAAACUCAACUGAGAUUUAUGUGACUUAGAACAAUAUUAGAAUUGCAUAUUCAAGAACUCCUAGCAAUAUGUGCUUAUCUAGUUUUCUAAAAGCAAAUAGUCUUAUUUUCACUUAAGAUAUUUAUUUUCCUGUAUGAAUAAAAAAUAUCAGUUCACAAACCAGUAACUGAAGUUUUUCCUCUUAAUAAGUUACAUAUUACAUAAUUACUAUUUGUUGCUUAUUUUACGUUUAGUCUAAUUCUCAGUCACUGAAAACAUAAAACCUAAACAAACUCGAGGAAUCAGCUUAAACUAAUCUGGAACUUGUUCACAAAUGCGGGUACCUUAUGGGUUGCUUGGAUAAAUGGGAACAUUUUCUUGAGGAAAAGUUACUGGACUCUCGAGGAUUCCCAAAGGCUCUGCAGGACCUUACAAACUAUGAAUCGUUUGAAGCCUGUUGUUAUUAACUUUUUGCGUUGUCAGGUGCGAAAUGGUCUACACGCUUCUUUCUGGUUUGACCAUUGGAAUGUGCAUGGUCCCUUAAUAAGCUACAUUGGUGUGAAUGGGCCGAGGGAUUUACGAGUAAGGAGAGAAGCUCUUGUUGUUGAGGCAGCAAGGAAUGGAGGUUGGUGGUUACCGGGUGCUCGGUCAGAGGCGCAACAACAGCUAAUGAUCACACUCACAAGUCACAACCAUCAACCCUUCGACUAUCUCAAAUGGGUAUGAUAUUUAUCUAUGGCGUCGUUUGUCAGGAACUUUUGCUGAAUUCUUCUCUUCCAAAGAAACUUGGGAGCAGCUACGAACUCACUCUCCUUUGGUACCAUGGAACAAGGUUAUAUGGUGAAAAAUCAGAAAAUGGUAUAAGAUUUAACCUUGUACCAAAAAAAAAAAAAAAAUCGAGGAAUCUUUAAAUGGUUGAUACUGAUGAAAUGAUAUAUAUAUAUAUAUAUAGAGCCGGCACAGAGAUUAUGAGGGCCACAAGCCCAAAAGGACUUUAGGGCUGUUUUUUUUUUUUGAGUAAAAGAAAAAUAUAAAUGAUAAUGAAAAGAAUCGAACUCAUUACCUUGAGUAUACUUUCGGAAGGCUUUACCGCUAGACUAAUGAGAUAUUUUGAUAAUUUGAGGCCGAUAAAAUAUAUAUAGACUAGCGGGCCGCAAGCACAUGGCCGAAUAUAGACUAGCGGGCCGCAAGCACAUGCUUCAAUAGCCUGUGCUUAGAGCCGGCUAUAUAUAUAUAUAUAUAAAACAAACAAAAAUACUUUGACCUUCUAAAUUUCACAUAAUAACACCUAAUUGAUCAAAUUCCAAAUAAAAACAAGUAAACAACCAAUUUGUAUAUACAUCAAACCAUAAACAAAACACGAUCCGAACGGAAUCAGACCGGGUCAUCCCAUGAUCCGCAUGUUUUUACACCAGCAAAUUACCAACAUACCCUCUCUUUUCAUUUUAAGUAACUGAUGUAAGUGGGCAUUUCAUGUAAUAAUGUCCAACUAAAAUAUUUUUUUACUCCAAAAUAUUUCCCAUUCAAUAGUAUAGAUACGAGACUUACUGUAUAGUAUAUUUAUUUUUAGAGAAUUUAUAGAAACUAACCUUCAAUUCAAAAAGAAUUCACAAAUUAACUAUGAGUUACAGUUACAGAGUCCGAGUCACCUAUGCCACUAUGUGGGAAAAAUCAAUCUGGCGUGCCACCUUAUAAUCUGAGUGCCACCAUAAAUGUGAUAUCCCCAAAUUACCCUUAAUGAAAUUAGGGCGAAUUGGUACGGAAUAGUACAACUUGGUACAACUUGGUACAACUAAGAAAUAAUAAUACAACUGGUACAAAUGAGAGAUUGUAUGAUAACUGGUGCAAAUGGUACAACUGAAAUAUAAUAGUACAACUGGUACAUCUAUAUAUAAAUAUGAACAAUUGGUACAAAUGGUACAACUGAAAUAUAAUAGUACAAUUGAAACAACUAGUACAACUAACAUAUGAAUAGGGACAACUAGACAACUGGUACAACUGAUACAUAAAUAGGGACAACUAGACACUGAUACAUAAAUAGGGACAACUAGACAACUGGUACAACUGAUACAUAAUUAUAAACCCUAGCGCCAUCAUCGUCUCUUCUUGCUUUGUUCAUUGUCCACCGCCGCCGAUUCUCUUCCGCCACCAAUUCUCCUCCACCACCGAUUCUCCUCCACCACCGAUUCUAAGCCGAUUUGGAGAAAUCUAGAUCGGGAUUAUUGUUAAUCUCAGAUCUGUGAGAAAAACGAAGAUCUAUGGAUCUAGAAUGAGAAGAUCGAAGAGAGGAAAGAAAGAUCCAUGGAGAAAAAGAGAUUUAGAGUUUUGUUGAUGGUUAGAAGAGGAAGAAGAGAUAGAUUUCGAAAAAUCUAGAAGAAGAAGAAGAAGAAGAAGAAGAAAGAGAUGAAGGAGGAGAAAAGUGAAAGAUUUCGAAAAAUCUAGAAGAAGAAGAAGAAGAAAAAGAAGGAGAUGAAGGAGAAAGAGAUGAAGGAGAAGGAGGAGAGAAGCGUGAAAGUGGAAGAGAAGAAGAAGAGAAAAUAAUUAUGUUGUUAGGUUGGCAAUGGCAGGGUACGUAAAUACUGAAUUAGGGUAAGGGUUUUUUGACAUUUACUACAGAUUUUAUAUUAAAAGAAAAAUAAAAAAUAUAAUAAAAAAUAGGAGUGGCAUAAACGAUUAAAAUUCUUGAGAAAGUGGCAUUAGUGACAAAAAUUCUGAGUUACAGUACCCUGUCUGUAACAUGUCAGAAUGGCUGUGUAAUUACGUAUAUGUCCUUUGUAACACGCUUUUUUUUCGAAUUACAUGUGAUAACAUAAUAUAUCUCUUUUUAUCAUGUAUUUUUCUCGUACUACAUGUUAUUUAUAAAGAACACAUAGUAUUUUUCGAAAAAAACAUUAUAUUCAGUGUAAUAUCUGUCUUUAUCAUGUUAUUUUGUAAUAAUACACGUGUUUUAUUAAGAUCACAUGUGAAUAUCUGUCUUUAUCAUGUUAUUUUGUAAUAAAACACAUGUUUUAUUAAGAUCACAUGUGAUUUCUUUUUUAAAAAGAUGAUUAUUUUUUAGUAUUACACGAUUUUUUUUAAGAUUACAUGUGAUUUCUUUUAAAAAGUUACUAUUCAGAUUAAAUUUUCCAUGUCAAUGUUUUUUCUUAAAAUAACACUACGUAACAAUGUUUUUUUCUUAAAAAUUCACUAUGUUUUUUAAAAUAUCAUGUCUUUUAGUUAAAUAUAACAUGCGAAAUUUAAAUGUUACAUGCUAUUUUGAAAAAUUUCACGAAACUGUCUUAUUUUUUUAUAUCCAUCGACAAAGUUCUUGUAAUUACUAUAACUUACAAGGAUAAAUUCGUAUUUAUCAUACCUCUAUCCCACAAGAAAAAGAGUUAGUAUCUAAAUAAAACUGACACAUCGUUAGUUUCUUAAUUUUUGUGUAGAAUUUGGCUAUUUGCUAAUAUUUCUUUUAUUUUUAUUUCCCUUAAAUAUAAAUAAAUUUAAAAAGUAAUUCAAAAGUUUAAAAUUAAAAGAAGACGUUGUGAUUUGUAAUAACCGCACUUUUUUUUCUUUUCUUUCUUCUCUUGCUCUUAAAGAAAAUUUUCUCUUGCUCGUCGCAAUCGCCGUCUCUCUCAGCCUUUUCUUCCACAAGAUGAAACCGGUUUUGUUAAAGAAGAAGGUGAAGGGGAGUCGAAGCGAUCGGACGAAGAAGGUGGGAGUGGUGCUCUGCGAUUUCUGCGGCAGCAAGAGGUAGAUCUCACAAUCUAGGGUUCCUCUGUUUUCUAGGGUUAGCUAUUUACAGGGCAGUUAGAUCUCAGAAUCUGACUAAAUAGAUUAUCCUCUAGGUUCUAAGCAUGAUUCUCCUCCAGUCCUCUGCUUGUAAAGAUCAAACCAACAGUUUAACCUAAAACCUGACUUGUUCGAUCUAUUUCCAGACACGAACACAAACAAGGACAUGAUGAUGAUGAUGAUUCACUGGUUUGUAUAUAUCCUCUACUCUUUUUAAGUCGGGAACCUUUUUAUAUUUAUCUCACAUAAUUGUUCUUACCCUACCUAGUCUAUGGAGAGCGAGCUCAAGAUGUUACGGCUCAUUCAUUCACUUGUUGUUGUUUCUUUCCACUGCUUCUCAUCAUGUUAGCUCUGAUCCCCUCCCAGGAGAAUGAGUGGUAAGGAUUUAGAAGGUCUGAGUUUCGCUGAGUUUAAAAAACUGAAAACCCAUCUGGAGGAAUCCACGCUCGUUGUGGAAGAGGAGAUGUCAAAGCGGCAAGUCAUUGUGGAAGAGGAUAUGUCAAAGCGGCCUCACCUGCUCAAAAACAAGAGGGAGGGAGGGGAUGUUGAAGCUAUGAUGACAAGCUCUAGAGAGAAACAGGAUGAUGCACAGUCGCGACUGCAGGUAGCAUACGAGAGGCAACGAGCUGAAUCCCCGCAGAGCGAGUUGGAGAGAUUAUGGCUGUGGAAGGAGUAAUAAAACUUUUCACUUUGGUUGCUCGCUCACAGGAGAAUGAGUUGUAGAGGGCUGGGCGAUAUGACUUUCUCCGAGCUGUGUCUACUGCAAACUCAAAUGUGGCAGGGAUUGAUUCGAAUGAUGUCUUUUUCUCCCCUCUGAUUAAUCCAUUUUUAGUUUGACUUCAUUUUUUUGUUAUUUUCGUCUCCCUUGUCUAGUUUCGGACUCAAGUCUGUCUCUUUAGUUUGAUUAUGUCGGAUUUUGUUAUAAUCUUUUCAUCUAUGGAUAGUUUAACUCUGAACCGUAUAAUGUCAAUUACACACAAGUAAAAAUUAAUCUGGCUCAUCACAAAGUCAAUGCUCCGUUGACUUAUCUACUUCCUUCUUCUCUUCUUGCUUUCCAUGUCUUAUCAAAUUAUUAAGUCCGGCAUGAAAUGGAAAAAUCUGACAAAUGGUUUCUGUUAAAAUACAAUCAUAAUGGACAUAGCCUAACCGUAGAAAGUUCGAAAAUCCGCAUUGGGAUUUGGCUUCUUGAAUACAAAGUGAAGUGAACAAUAGCACCACAAGUCAACGUUUUUACCUGGAGGCAAAACUAGUAAAACAUUCUUGCAGAACAAUGAGCAGGACGCCGAGAACCCCUUGUGCAAAGAGAUGUAGUACUAUUCAGAACGAAUCAUUGCCACUGACUAGUAGUAUCACUCGUGGAGAAUGUGGUGAGGAAGAGUGCAGCAUAGGCCUGGGCAAAAUAACCGGAACCGAAAAUCCCGAAAAAUAUCCGAACCGAAUCCGAACCGAUUUUUAAAAAUACCCGAAUGGAUCCUAGACCUCCUACCUGAACCGAACCCGAACCGAAUCCAAUACCCGUAGGUACCCGAAUACAAAUAUACACCUAAAUAUAUUAGUUAUAUUUAUACUUAUAAUAUCCGAAAUACCUAAAAUUACAAUCAUAAAUCCGAAUAUACUAGGUAUUUUUGAGUAAUUCGGAUACAUUUGAAUAUAUUUGGUUAAAAAGUAACUAAUAAUUUAGUUUUCUUUUGGGUAAUUUUAGUAUUUUUAGACAUUUCUGGUUAUAUUUGGGCAAAGAGUAACCAAUGUAUUUUUGAGAAAUCGGGUAUUUCGGUUAGAUUUGGGUAUAUACGAGUAAAAAAUCCGAACCCGACCCGAACCCAAAAAUUUUUUGGGUAUUUUUGGUUAUUUUCGGGUAUUUUGCUUUUUUAUUAAAACACCCGAACCGACCCGAACCCGAACCAAACCAGAACCGAAUUUUUAGAAUACCCGAAUGGGUCUCGACCCCCUAUCCGAAUAGAUCCGAUACCCAAAAAAAAGAACCGAACCCGAACGGAUACCCAAAUGCCCAGGUCCAGCACAUGCUCAGAGAAGGUAUUAAAUCUGCAAGGAAAACAGUAUUGCAGAGAUAUUUUAUCCGUUAAAGUGUACAUGGUGAUUUUCCUGAUUUGUAGCAGCAACAUGUGUCAUCCUUGAAAGAGAACAACGUCUACGUAAACCAUGUGACAAAGAAAACGGAGAGAGAAAUCACAGAACCUAAGCAAGCACAACCAGCAGCUGAAGAUGCAGUAUGGAAGUUGUUAUGAGAAGCAAUAUGUAGAUGCAGUUUCUCCCAAUCUUUCCUCGCCAUCUUGACACCCUUUACUUUGUCGAAUUUCCCUCAAGCAGCUCUGGUACCUACUUCCAGAAAGCGAGAUAUCAUAUACUAGCAUGAAACCAAAAAUACCAUCAACAAGUAAAUAAGGCCAUUAUAAUGAGACCAAACACCCAUUUGUGUUUGGCCCACUGUUUGCCUACAACAAAAUUAGAUUGAGAGCCAUAUAACAUUAGUGAUCAAAGUCAUGAGUAAUACAAAAUUUACCUCAUGAAUAAAGAAAAAAACAAUGGGAACUGUUUCAAUAUAUCCACUGCACUGAAAGAAGUUAAACAAAUUUAUAACUCAGAUUCAUAAAGCCAAUUCCAUACCGUGGAGAGCAAUCCUGGCCCAGUAUGUUUGGCAGUAAAAUUUUCAUCCUCAAACUUGUCCACUACCAUCAUUCUGCAGAGAAUAUUUAACAUAUUAGGUAUCCAGUAAGAAGAGAAGAAAAGAAGAGAUACAGAAAGAACACAAACAAGAGAAAAAAAGCCCAGAGCCAGUUGAGAACCAACAGAACUAAUUACUUGUGAGGAUUAUUUUAGAUGUAAAGGGUACCGACCUUUAGAAAAUCACCACUAUGAAUCAUAAAAUCCUUGAUGAAACUGACAACAAAAGGCUUUGCUACAGGAAAGUGAACCACUGAUUUGCUAUUGUAGCUUUAACACCAAACAAAAUUUGGUUUCUUUCAGGAAAGGUUUUUUACUUAAACACCAAAUAGAAAGAAAAUCUAACAAAUUGUUUUUGCUAAAAUACAAAUCAUAGCUUCUAUCAUAGUUUUUUUAGUUCGGCACUAAUAUGCUUUCACUACAUUCCCCCUUAAGCAGAAAAGUUCUUUAAGGAGUGUUUUGGCCUUUUGGGUGAGGGUUAAAACAUUUCACACCGCCCUGCACUCCGUAAGCUUAGGCCGGUUAUUGGGUUUGGUAGCCACAUUCUCAAUCUUUUGCAUCACCAAUAAAUCUUCCCCAAGCACUCUCUGUAUAUCAAAAGAAGAAUUUGCAAUGAGUCAAACAACACUAUUACAGAUUAUGCGCACAAGGGUUCAUGACUUGAUGGCUCUUCCUCAACUCUAUAUGGCUUUUAAGUUUUUUCAUGUUAGACGAUCCCAGUUAUAACUUAUAACCACAAAGGGAGAACUAAGAAUGGAAGAAAAUUUAAAAGCUUAAUGUGUAUGUGAAGAGAGGACAUACCCCAAAGACAAACUUGUUGUGCAUUUUGCACAUGUGAUAACUGCAAUGCAUAAAGCAAAGGUAAUUAGCUUAAAUUAUAAGAUUUUAUGCCCAACCAGCAACUAAAUUAUCUUACGUUUUCUAAACUCUUUAAAGAUUUAUAUAAUAGUUUAGCAUUAUGGUCAAAACACAAGGCAUCCAACGCUCAAUGUUUGCAUUAUCUACAUAUUUGUUUCAAUUUAAUCUGUCUCAUUUCACAAACAAAUAAGGCUAUUAUGAUGAAACUGAAAUUACCUGGCACCCAUUUGUGUUUUGCCUACCACAAAAGAAUGAGAGCAAUAAUAUUAGUGAUCAAAGUCGUGAGUAGUGCAUCAAAUAUAAAGUUUGGCUCAUGAACAACAAAAAGCUCGAGGGGAACUGAUUCAAUAAAAUUUUCAUGGAGAGCAAUCCUGGCUCAGUAAAAUUUUCAUCCUCCAUAAACUGACACGCAUCCACUACCAUCAUUCUACAGAGAUCUAACAUAAUAGGUAUCCAGUGAGAAGACAAGAAAAGAAGAAAUACAUUAAAGAACCAAGAACACACAGAAGAUAUAUAAAAGCCAGUGCCAGUUAAGAACCAACAAAACUAAUCACUUGUUCAAAACAACAAGUAAAGGGUACUGACCGACCUUUACCACUUUGAAUCAUAAAAUCCUUGAUGACCCUGUGAAACUGACAUUCUUUGUAACCAAGAGGCGUUCCAACCAAACAAACAAAGAAGAUUAGAUUAAAUACCAUUUAAAUGGUACUUAAUCUAAAUUUAUAUAUUUAAAUAUAAAUUACAACAAAAACAUUGCAUUUAGAUAAAACUAAAAUUUUAAUGGUACCAUUUAAGUUUUCUUUACUAAAAUGUUAAAUACAAUAUCACAUCAAUUGUUUUGUAUAUAUACAGUAUACUAAAGAAACUAAACAAAAACAAAAUCUAAAACUCAAUUAACUAUUUCAAAAAUAUCAAUUGCCCAAAUUCGUUAUGUGAUUGCUUUCCAAGUUUUUUUUAUUUCAAAACAAUGCAGAAAAAUGCAAGGAAAUUCAUUUGUUCAGCGCAUGAAACAAAUUAUAGAAAAGAGACACAAACAUCCAAAGCUAAUAAUUAUUAAAUUUUACAAACUAAAAAGGCGGUGGGAAUAAUUCGCCAAAAGGUGCUCUCAGACAACGAAUCGAUGAUCUAGAUUCUACACACAUCCAUGACAUUUAUUUAAAGAGGCGAGAAAUGAGAGAUUUGAUAUUAAUGUCAUAAAGAUACUCAAACCUAAAGUUGGUCUAAUGUUAACAUAAAAACGACAUCAACUCCAUAAUAAGCAAAUAGAAGACUCUAUGUCAAGAUAGAAGCUCCCAAGCCACUUAGUGAGAGACUUUCUCCUCAUUCCUUUUUCUUGGCCAAACGAACAGAUCUCCUCAGUUCCUUGUUCUCAUCAGUAAUAGGCUUACCAUAAAUCUUCACUACAUGCUUGCCCUGCUCUGCCUUGCAAAGUUGUUCCUCUAGUGGUCUUCUCAUUUGCUCCGAUAAACUCAUCAAAGCGUAAGUUAUCUGAGAAUCAAGCUGGACCACGUCAUGGUAGCAGCUCAUACUCUCAAUACCUCUACCGUUCAUUCUCCUGUGAUGGUGACAAAAAAAAAUUAACCCAAAUGAAAAAGCAUAGACUGUUAGAAGGAAUAAGAACAAGAAUUAUGCUUAUUACUCGUUGUAAAUCCUUAAUCUCUCGAACUCCUCUGCAAGGAUUCAGAUUUUCGUCUCUCGAAUUCCCUCUCCAUUUUCAGCUGCAAGAAUUAAUAACAGAAUCUGAGGCAAGAAGAAGGAGAGGAGCAGAAGAGAGUAUAAAUUCACGCACCAGUGUUUCUCCCGUCUUUGUUCAGGGUUAUAUACACAAGAGAAAGUUCAAAUUGGUAUAGUGAUACAAAAAAAAAAAAAGCAACUGCAGCAAGACAGGUAGAGCAAAAAAGUGAUCUCUCAUAAAACCUGAUUUUGGUUUACAAGUCGAAGUUUCAUAUCUGAUUUACACAAGCACUAAUUCAACAAAAGAAAACCCUCUAUUUUUUCGUUUUACCUGCUAGUAGAGGGAACCGGAAUACUCGUAGCAACAUCCUCAGCUUUAUUCUUCUUCUGCAAAAUCAUGGUAGGUAGACUGGAAAGGGUAAACCUAACUGAACUAGCUAAUUUUAUGAGUUAAAAAACUUUACCUGUUUGCUUUCAACUUGGUCUGGUGGCAUUAUCUUAUUCUGGAAUAAUAGUCAAACAAAAUUUUUUCAAUAAUAGGAGAAGGAAGUCCCUGAAUGAAGAAGUUUCCUCACUAUUUGGUCCAUGACAAUGCGUUUGACAUUCCCGAGAUGACUUGUAAGUGCUUGCAGCUCAGUGAAGCUCGCAUCGUCGUCUCUACCAGUCAUCCUCCUGAUCAGGGAUCGUAAUCUCAUGACUUCUUUCCGCAGCUGCAAGCAAGAACAUAGAGGCAAGCAUAUACAUAGAAAUUCAUAUGAUGAUGAGAAAAAUUGUUGCCAAGGAAGUGAGAUAUACAUACAUACCACUGUUUCUUCAUUGUCUUGAUCCUGUAGACUUUGUUCAAAUCCGUAUCUGGAAAAAGGUUAAAGACGGUCUUAAGAUUAAAGUGGAUGAUACUAUUGGCUCAAAUUUACAUGAUCUCUGUUUCAAGCAAGCCCCGCAAUAACUAAUCCCAAUUAGGAGAGUUUACUCUAAAAUCAUCCGUGAUCAUGUUCUCGGAUUCCGAUUCCAGGAACAUGAGAUCUACCUGCUGCUGGAGAAUUCGCAGGAAUUGCAUGGCACUCUCGUCGUCUUCUUCAUGAUAUCUUUUCCCUUCAUCUUCAAUCUUAACCCUAUCUCUACCCCCAAUGUGGGCUUUUUAGCAAAGUACACACUUUUAUAAAAAUAAUUUGAAAAAUAGGUAGUUUUUUUAGAAAUUUGUGAAAUAGAUACUUUUUAUUUCUUUUGUGAAAUAGAAGUGGUGUGUAAUAGACUAAAAGACAAGAAAGAAGUCAAAUACCAUUUUACCCCUUGUCUUUUGUGAGUUAGCUUUUUGUGUGGGUUCAAAUCUUUUAUAUUAUUGGAUCAAAUUAUAUUAUAUCAUUACUUUUUUUUUUCUUAAUCUUUUUGGUUUUCUUUUUUUAAAAAGAAUCUUAAAAAAAAAAGAUGACUUGUAUAUAUUCUGCUAUCAAUUUCGUACACCAGCAUUUUAAACAUAGUUUUGUACACUAACUUGUACACCAAGUCAUUAAGUACAUCGAUUUGUCUUAUAUUUGUAAAUUGAAGUAAUUAUUGUUUAUAAUAUUAAUACAAACACGAUUGUAAUAUAAACCAAAGGUUAUACUAAAUAUAAUAGUGUACACCAUCAUGUACACCAAUGAAUAUGAUGGUGUAUACCAUUAAAUUGAAAUAAUGUUUGUACAUUUCUACGUAGUGUACACUAACAUUUGUACACUCCUCUGUACACCAAUCUCGUAAACUAUUGUGUAAAUAUUGUUUUAUACAUUAUCAUUUGACAAAAAUAGUUCUUUCUUUGUAUGUGGUGUACAAGUACAAAAUAGGUGGGUGUACGAUAUUGUAGACUACACACGAGAUGGUAUAUGGUGCGACAUACUAUCUCAUCAUUUUAUGUACACCAUAUUUUAUAUCAUCUCCGUACACCAUCGUAUUAUGUACGUGUACACCUCUAUCAAUUGUCGUUUGUAUAUCACCUUGUAUACUGUUUACAUAUUGUAUACCACUUUUACAUUACUAAUAUACAUUAGUUUUUAUAUUAUCACCGUACACUACAAUUUGUACACCAUUUUUUACUAUUGUGUACACCGACGGAUUGAGAUUAAAUUAAAAAAAUGUAAAAUAUAGCAAAAUUGAAAUUUUUAGAUUCACUUAAAAAUUUUAAAGAUUAAUAUGUUUAUGUAAUAAUUUUUUAUGAAGAAUUUUUAACAAAACAAAACAAAAUAAAAGUAUUUAAGUUUAAGUUAAAAGAAGAAAGAGAAAAAAUAAUAGUUUUGUCUUUAUCUUGCUACAUAACAAAACAACAAAAGAUAUAUAAGUCAUUUACUAAAAUCUCUAUUAGAGAGAAAGUUGUAUUAGAGAGGAAAGAGAAAAAUGUAUAUUCUUCUAAUUUCUAAAAAAAACUACCUACUUUGCAAAUUAUUUGUUAAAAAAGUGUCUACUUUACAUAAUUUCUCACUAUGUAGCACGUUAUGUAAAUGUCACUUCCUUUUUGCCUUUUAUUUUCUUUUAAAUUUGGCCCAAAUCCAAUUUUUUAACUCUUUGAGGCCCAAACACCUUUGCUGAAACCCUUCAGUUCGGUUCAAGAUAUUUGGGUUUCAGAAAUCUCUAUACUUCCUUUUUCAACCAACAAUCAGGCUUCUUAUGUAGUUUUCUCCACAGAAUAUGAGAUGAAGGAUAUAACAAUCUACGCUAAUGAUAUUAUUAUCAUUACAUUGAAUGUUUUGUGGAUUUUUGUGGGCUUAGAACCUAUAGAUUUUAGCGUAGAACCUCCUAGUAUUCAAAAAAAAAAAAAAAAAAAAUUUAACCAUCUAGAUAUUAGCUAUAAUAAUCAAACUACACUAAACCAAAUAGGUACGCUCUCUAAUAAAAACACUUCUUUAGUUCCGUUCAAGAGAGAUCUAAAAAAAUUUCAAAGUAAAAGAAUACAGUACUCGAAGCUGGAAAAGAACUUUGAAAACUGAAGAGUAGAGGAGAAGAACAAGACUGACGCUUGGAGGUGAAAAUGGAUCUGUGUUUUUGGACUAAAGAUGAGUAUAUUUUUUAGUUUGUCGGGUUCAUUUAGUUUUAAAAUCCGAAUGACGUAAGACGCCGUGUAAUAUAAUGUGCGUUUCAAGUCUACAACGAUGACAACAUCAUUUGCUAUCUCGGAUAACGGUAAAAUUGUGAUUCCUUUUUAGUGACUCAUUUUGACAUGGAUUAACUUCAAUAUGACUAAAAGAAUAAAAAUGUGGGCUUUCAAGGGAGACUCAUUAGCGAAGAGACCCAUGGAUGUAUUCAAAGAGUUUGUUAUCCCAUCCACAAACUGUGACGCAAGAGCAAUUUGAGCCAUAUCAUCAAUAGUUGCUACCUUGUUGUCUUUGAUAUACCUUCUCACGACACGACCAGUCUUGAAAAAAAAAAAAACGCAUAAGUUCAAAACUCAAUUAAAAACCAUUACAAAAAAGAAAAAGAAGAAAAAUUAAUUUCAUACCGUUGAGGCAAACCACUGGCAUUUGUGUACCCAUGGCGGUCAUCACUAAAAAAAUGAAUCGCAUUGAUUGAGUUAGUGGUAUGAGUAAAAUGGAAAGCCUUUGUUGUCCUCGUUCGGAAAGAUCUUUCCCGAGCAUUCUCAUUUAUUUGAAGAAUGAAGAAACACAAAGUAAAAGUUUCAGGAAAAUCAAAAGUAUGUCACAAGAAAACCAAAUGAAAAUCACAUGUAUGUAAAAGUUUCAGGAAAAUCACAAGUAUAUCGCAGGAAAAUCACACUAGAAAUCACAAAGUGUGUCAUAAUAAUUGAACAGAACCUGUUGCCCAUAAACCAAUCUUAACUUACAUGCUAGAUUCACAAAACUGGAUCUUAUUACUAAAUGAAUAAAAUAAAAUUUAUCAGGCAUGUGUUUCCAAUCCAUAGAUUUAUUCAUCAUACAUGUAAACAAAUUCAUAACAUGAAAUAUGUUCUCUCAAAAUUUUUAAAAAAACACCUUACGUUUGUCUAUACUCUAUAAAAAUCUGAGCUUUAAAAAACAAAAAUCUGAACUUUAGAAAACUAUAACAAACUAGAGCGGCGAGGAAUCUUUGCAAUCAACACCAUCAAAGCUAAAAUCAAGUAAAUCUAAACGAGAUUGAAUGUCAGAGAAGAUGGAAUCAAAGCAAAAUCAAGAGAAAUCGAGCUUUGAUGGCUCUGAUACCAUAUUACAGACUAAAGAGAUUAAGAUCAAUCGAGAAAAAUUUGUUGAAGAUAUUUUCUCAUUAUUCACAAGUAAACUUAACCAUCUAGCUAUUAGCUAUAAUAAUCAAACUACACUAAACCAAACAUGUACACUCUCUAAUUAAAACACUUCUUUAGUUCCGCUUAAGAGAGAAUCUAAAACAAUUUCAGAGUAAAAGAAAACAGUACUCGAAGCUGGAAAAGAUCCUUAAUAACUGAAGAUUAGAGGAGAAGAACAAGACUGACGCUUGGAGGUGAAAAUGGAUCUGUGUUUUUGGACCAAGGAUGAGUACAUUUUUUUGAACAUUAGAAUUGCCUUCAAGUACUCCUAGCUAUAUAUGCUUAUCGAAAGGUACGCAGAUAAAUGGAAGAAUGAAAGUAAGAAAAAAAAGAAAAAAAUGAAUAUUAAUAAUAUAUUAUUCCAAUUUGGAAAGUGUAGUCUUAUUUUCCCUUAAUAUAUUUAUUUUCCUGUAUGAAUAAAUAUAUCAAUUCACAAACCAGUAACUGAAGUUUUUCCCCUGAUUAUGAAUUAAGAAACUUUUGGAACCAAGUUCAACUUGAUAUAAAAGAAGAACAGUCGGUGAAAAAGAAAGCCACAAAAGAAAAGAAUAUUUAUAAGAUUUUUUUUUUCCCCAGGAGGAAAAUGUUCUAUGUAUUACCCUUUUGUCCCCACCCCCAAAUUACAUAUCCUUCUUUUUUUUUUUUUUUUUUUUUUGGUUUCACCUCUAUUCCAAUCCCUGCCCUAUUCAACAAAGAAACAAAAUAUAAAACCCCCCACCUAAUCUGACCCAAAAUUCCUACAGAAACAUGAGAAAAGGAAAAUUAAAAGCAAGAAAACUUGGCACCCUCUUGAUUUGCUGCAUUAAGUCAAAAGAGGCUAAUCUAUAAGGAGAGUUUUUAUCUGUUGUCUUCAAAUUGUGCUUUUUGGCCUCAAAGGUACUUUCCUGAUGACUUCCAGAUCCUGCUUCCUCCAAGUGCUAUCACUAAUACAGUGCAAUCGUCGUGAUACUUUCUUCUAUCUCCUUGCGGGAUAUCGAGAAGUUCAUGAAAAUCCAUUCCUGUUUUUAAAACAAUCAAUCUCCAAACCAUAUCGCACAGAUAUUCAGUUGUGUAUUAAAAAAACGAAGUUUUAUCUACCAGCUUUCUUGGCUGCACGGACUAAAAGUUCCUGUAUAACAUGUUGAGCAGGAUCUCCAUCUGGAAACUUCUCCAUGGCAAGAGCAACAACUUCCCCAUUGCUCAAGUAUUGGUACAAUCCAUCAGAUGAGAGAACCAUAAACUGAUCAUUCUCUGUUAGCCGGUAGUGACGAAGGGAAGGUGUGCAUGAUAUGUAUGGAUCCGUACCAAUGUAUUCGUUUCUAAACAUUUCCAGCAAAGCAUCGUUCAAUUUUGGCUGCAAAUUCACUUUCUUUAUGAGAAUUACGGAAUAAUGGAUAUUUCGAUUAUCAGGUGAAGAUAUUAUUAUUGCCUAACCUGCUUUAAGAAUCCCGCUCCAAACGCUCUGGUCACCUUAAGCCGUCCUUUCACCCUGUCAUUCACUAUGCAAUGGUUGUCAUCUGGGUGCUCGUUUUUUAUUCUUGUUACUUCCUGAGUUCAUCAAUGGAAAUUAUCAUCUAACAAGAACAUUGCGAGAAGCAAAUAUGAUCUAACCAAACAUUAGCAAAAGGAGCCUGAACUGAUCCUAAGUAUCUUACAAAUGCGGAUAAGAUGGGGUCAUGCAGAAGCAAUAAUCUCGUCAAGAGCACUCCAAAACUACUUAACAGAUUACACUGUAUAUUCCUAGAUAACCAGAGAUCAAGCAACUGCAAAAAAGAUAAAGGAGAGAGUUUCGCAAGGUCAAACUUACAUCCUCGAUGCUCGUGCUGUGAUCUGUUGUUAGCUGCAGAGCAACCAGUUUCGUUUGCGGCAGAGGAGUUUCGUUGUUCACUGUACUAUCGCUACCAUCCACAACCAAAGGCUCUUUGUUUUCAACGUCUCUGUCUACAUCAUUGCGUCUUUCUUCUACUUUUUCUGAUGUCUCCACACUCGCACCCGUUUCUUCAACCUGAUAUUGUGCAACAAGAGCCCUACUAUCCCCUAUGUUCAUUAUAUACACAUCAUCAUCUCUCAUCAGUGCAACCAGUAAGCACGAACCCAUCAAUGCAAGCUCGGGAUUGGUGUCAAGAACCUUAUCAGUCAUUUCUAGGAAUGCUUGCUCUGUGGCUUCAAGACCAUUUGACAUUGCCUUUAGAACCAACUCAUGAUCAACCGUACCCGCCUUUCGUCUCUUCCUCCUCUUAUCAACCCGUUCUUCUACUCCAACAUUAUCUACCUCCUCAUUUUCAUUCUCCUCCACACCAGACUUCCAUGGGAACAACUUCCUCCCAGAAAUUCCUUGUUUAGAUAAACCCUGCUUCAAUUUUGACAAGAGCAACCAUCUUUUACUUCCCACAGACGCGGCAUUGCCUGCACUGAUAGCAUCAUCCACUGAGAAUGCAAACCUAUCAGAACCUGAUAGAUCUAACGCAUCCUCUGCUUGAGCCUCUGCAAGAAGCUCCCAUAGCCGUUUCCUCUCCUUGACUUCCACCACCUCUAAUGAAGAAGAGGUCAAUCUCUUUCCCAUCUCGUCUUCUUCCUUGUCUGUUGCUGGACAGCUCGAACUUGCCAUUUCGUCGACUUGAGCCUCAACUUUACCUCGUUGCUCUAACUCAUUAGGAACUGUUGAAUUAUCAUCUUCUUCAUCCAAUUCCCAGAACAAACCUUGUAACUCACUGUGAACAGCACGGUAGAGAUUAGCCAUCAAAAACUCCGGCGCGUCGGGUCCGUUGAAACCGUCGUAGAUUCCAGCGAAAAGCCAUCCUUGCUUCUCAAAAACAGCUAAUUGCACUCUGUCCUCUCCUGCCUUCCCCAAUGCCCACUGUAAAUCGUUCUCUCCGGAAGAUGCUGCCAUGGCUUCGACGUCGGGUCUCACAAUGUUCUCCUUCUUAGCACCGACGACGAAAUUCGACACCGGAAGAACCCAUGGCCGUUGCUUCUUUUCCCCACCGAAAAUCGGGUGCCAUGAAAGGCUCUUCUUCUUCUUUUUCCGUCUCUUCUUCGAGUAUACACCACCGAGCGGCGCCGAGAAAUGCACGCCGGCGGAAUUAGAUCUCGAAAUCGCUCCGGCCGACGGGUCUAAGGGACCUGAAGUGGCUCCUCUUUCGAUUGGACCCGACAUGAAGAGACCCGACCGAUCCGGACCAGGCUGAAGCGGGAGAGCACUAAACGACGAGGUUCCUUCAAAGCCAUUGGCAUUGACAACACUGCUCCGAACGCCGCCGCCGAAGCUGCUCUCAGUGGCAUCGUCGUAAAUAUCUUCUAGCUGGAGGACAGUUUUGGAAUUCGAAGUGUUGGCGCUAACAGAAGCACCAGAAAUCGCUCUAAACCCGGUGUGAAGCUGCUCGGAUGAUCCGGAACCUCGGAUCCGACCCGGUUCAUGCGGAGGAGAUAACCGGAAAGAACCAGAAGGAGAAACGAAUCGAUCGGAAGGAAACGGAGAAAUGAAGCGAUUAGAAGAAGGAACGUAACAGUAAGAAUGGCCUAAAGUCUCAUCCAACGGCUCACAGAGAGACUCAAUCGGAUCGGAAUGAGUCGGAUUCGCCGCCGAUGAGUGACGACGGCGGUUACGGUGACCUUGAUUGAAGCAAGGUAAGACGGAGGAGAAUCCACUUCCCAUCACAUUUGAUUUUCUAACACUCCUUUUUUUUUUUGCAGAUUGCCGGAGAAAAUCUUUCUAAGAAAAAACAAAAAAUUUCUCGGCGAUUUUGAAUUUGGGAGGUGAAAAGAAAAAAAAAAUUGAAAGAGAGAAAAAGAGAGAGAGCGAGAGAGACUUUUGUCGUCUUUCUUUGGGAUUUAAAUAUGUUUUCUUUUUAAGCUGAGACGACUUUAGUGGUUUUGAAUUAGCAGAAACAUUGACUCUUUUUUUAAACCUUUUUUUUUUCCUUGGCUUUUUCUUUGCUCGAUUACGUAAAUACCAUCAACAUUCUCUCUUAAUUACAAAUUACCCUUGUAAUAUGCUUAACCCCUUUUUAAACUAAGCCAAUUAUUAUUAUAUGAAGUAUGUGACAAAAUAAAAAGUAAUAUUUCCUUCCGUUAUAUUUUAUAAAAAUUCUUAGAGGUUUCUUGUGUUUCAAUUUUUCAAAAGAAUUUUAUAUCAAAUUUAGUUUCAGUUUAAUGUUUUGUAAAAUUAUAUUGUGUUUUCAAUAUUCAUUGAAUAUAAUUUUUUAUAUUUUCAUUAAAUAAUUAAUCUUUGUGAUCUAAUCUGAAAUAUAUAUAUAUAUAUAUAUAUAUAUUUUAAACGAGAGAAAAAGAGGGAGAUUUUAAAAAAAUCAACUUGUUCGCAUAUAAUCAGUGAUAUUACAGUAAACUAUACAAAUAUACAAUAGUGCUCGUUUUCUGUCGAUCACAGUUACUUCUAGACUCUUUAUUGUAUAAAAUCAUAAAGUCGAGCUUAGGAAUUAUUUUUGACUUUAGUAAUCAACUUGCUAUAAUUAGAAAUUUAUAAUAAACUCGAUGUGUUCACAUUAUUAACUUUUUUACACCACGAGACAUCGCGUUAAUAAAGUUUUGAACUAAUAAUUACUUGGAUCAAUAGAAUACAGAUUUUAUUUUAUUUUAUUAUAGAACUAAAAAUUAAUCUGAAGAAAAGAAUCUCUUUUCGAAAAAUUAUUCAUCACUUUUUUUUUUGGUCAUAGAGAAAAAAAAAGGAAAAGCAAAGGGGAGGGUCAAAAUGGAGAAAUCGAGGCUCGGGUUUAAAGGAUUCUUGUAUUAACGAAGCUUUUUGUCAUUUGCUUUGUUCGCGCUCAUCGGGCUCUGGGACAUGAGAAAUGGACAUUUAUAUCCUUCGUGUUUAUUUUUCAUCUUGCAUAAAAUUACAAGAUAAAUAGCCAAAAUAAUAAAAAGUUAUGAAACAAAAUAACCACUAACAAACUAAUUAAAUACAAUAGAAUUAUUUAAAAUAAUUAUCAUAUUAACAAUAUGAAAAUUUGAACAUUAUAAUUUUAUAUACAGCAAUCUUCAAUACACGAAUGUUUUACGUUUUUGAUCAUGUAAUUUACCCAUACGCUAAGUAUUUUGGUAAAUCCCUCACGUUACAAUAUAUUCCAUCAACUUUUGUCAUAUUUAUGAAAAUAUUAUUUUCAAUACACGAAAUUAUUUCCACUAUAAUGAUGUGUUCUAAAAAAACUAAGCCAAUUUCAAUGAGGGCAAUUCUCACAAAUAAAUUCACCAAAAUUAAUGCUAUUAUUUACAAUCGUUAUUUUAAGGUAUAACACAUAUGAGUACACAUACUUUUAUGGCAAUUUUCAAACGCAGUUCUUUUUUUAUGUCAGUUAGCAUACGUUACAUUCAUUGUUUUUGCAUCGAUGUUUUGGUUGUACAUCGUUGAAUUUAUCAUUGUAUAUUUGUCAUUUGAUAAACAAAUCACGUUGAAGACAUGAAUAUAUGUUGUUAAUAAAAGUUACGUUACUUAGAAAAGAAAAAAAAAAUGAAAAAAAAGACUGAUCCAUAUCACAGACCAAAUACUUUUACAACUAAUAAAAUUGUAAAUAUUGUACUUAUAACCGUUACUUUAAGAUACAACACAUACUUUUACGACAAUUAUCAAACGAAAUUCAUUUUUUUUGUCAGUCCGUAUAUGUUACAUUGUUUUUAGCAUCCAAAUUUUGGUUUUAUGUCGUUAAAUAUACCAUUGUAUAUCUCGUCACUUUUAUUAACAAAUCAUGUUUAAGACAUGACAUGUUGUUGAUAAAAAUUACGUUUCUUAGAAGAAAAAGAAAAAGAAAAAAGAAGAGAUCGAUAAUAUCACAGUCCAAAUACAUUUACAACUAAUAAAAUUGUAAAUAUUGUAUUUACAACCGUUACUUUAAGAUAUCACAUACUUUUAUGGUAAUUGUCAAAUGUAAUUCACUUUUUUGUGUCAGUCCGCAUACGUUACAUUUUGUUGUUUAGCAUCCAAAUUUCGGUUUUACGUCGUUGAUAUAUCAUUGUAUAUCUCCUCACUUUUAUUAAUGAACAAAUCACGUUAAGACAUGACAUGUUGUUAAUAAAAAAUUAUGUUUCUUCAGAAAAAAAGAGAGAAGAGAUCGAUAAUAUCAUAGUCCAAAUACGUUUACAACUAAUAAAAUUGUAAAUAUUGUAUUUACAACCGUUACUUUAAGAUAUAGCACAUACUUUUUAUGGCAAUUGUCAAACGUAAUUCACAUUUUUGUGUCAGUCCGCAUACGUUACAUAUUGUUGUUUAGCAUCCAAAUUUUGGUUUUAUAUCGUUAAAUAUAUCAUUGUAUAUCUCAUCACUUUUAUUAACAAACCACGUUUAAGACAUGACAUGUUAUUAAUAAAAAUUAUGUUUCUUAGAGAAAAAGAAAAAGAACAAAAAAAGAGACCAAUAAUAUCAUAGUCCAAAUACAUUUACACCUAAUAAAAUUAUAAAUAUUAUAUUUACAACCGUUACUUUAAGAUAUACUGUAACACAUAUAAGUACACAUACUUUAUGGCAAUUUUCAAACACAAUUCAUUUUUUUUGUGUCAACCGACAUACGUUACAUAUUGUUGUUUUGCAUCCAAAUUUGGUUUUAUGUCGCUAAAUAUAUUGUUUUAUAUCUCAUCAUUUUUAUUUAAAAUUUGAUAAAUCGAUGAGAGGGAGAGUAAGAACACAAAUGUGUUAUGAAUAAUUAUAGUUGAUUCUUUCUCAUAAAAAUAAUUGUGAAAGUUACAUUCGUUUAUAUAGAUAGAAAAAACUAAACCUAAUUUACUAAUUAAGAUAAACAAAAGUAUAAAUAAUAUUUUUAGAGAUAAACUGAAAUUUCUUAAACUUAGAUAUUGAUAUAUUUUAUGAUAUUUUUAUAGCUAAAUCUAGAUCGUAGGUCAUAAUCUCGGUUGAUUUUUAUAAAAUCACAUUUAAGACAUGACAUGUUGUUAAUUUAAAUUACGUUAAAAAGAAAAAAAAAAAAAAAGCUAUUCCAUAUCACAAUCCAAAUUCAUUUAUUCAUUUGGCAAAUCUUUAAGAAAAAAAUAACUCUUUCACAAUUUUCUUUUCUAAUACCAAUUGUAUUUUUGGCAUUUAGGAUAUACUAAUCUGGUUUGUAAAAUCUUGGUAUUUGGAAUUGGACAUAAUAGAAUCCUAAGCCUUGUCAUUUAUUUAAUAGUAGCACGCAUAAUUAUACAACUGGAAGUCAUUAUAUAUUCAUUUCACUUUGUCUUUCUCUGAAUAUAAUAUUCAAAAACGUAUUAGUUUUUACCGUUGUUUCUCGUUUGCUAAAUAUAAUGCAAAUUUUUUACAAAUUCACUUCAAACUACAAUAAUUUAUAUUUUCUAUUUAUUUAUUUAUUUUUUUUUUGUAAUUUGAGAGAUUUUAUUACAUCGUCAUGCCAACCAAUACCACAUAUUGUAAUCAUUCCACAAUAUUAGAGAGUCAAUAACACAGUAAAAAGGAAAAAAAUUAUAAAAAUUUUUUUUUACUAAAAUAUCUGCACAACUGUUGUUUUAUCAUCUAUAAAAUCAGAAGCGUUCCAAUGUUUCCAAAUUUCCUUGGAUGCUCCAUGCAUAACUAAAAAAGGUAAUACACUAAACGGUAGAUUUAUUUGCUUAUGCUCUGAACCUCGUAUAUGAAACACGAAUAAACUAACUAGAAAGCGUAUUACUAGAAUAUCCUGCAAGAUACCAAUAAUUAAGUCACUCUAAAAGAUUUACUACUGCUCACUUGGAAGUUACACACUCGUCUCAAAACUUUUGCUUUGGUUUUUAAAGUUGAAACCUUUGGACUCAAACUAUGUUGCUUCUCUUAUAGUUGAAACCUUUGGACUCAAACUAUGUUGCUUCUCUUAUAUGAUGACAAAGAGUUCAACCAGUUUCACAAUCGUUCAAAUUGGGAACUGUCAAAAAAAAAAAAAAAAUUUGGGAACUGUCUAGGUGUUGUUUUUGGUGAGAGUUAAUUACAACAAAAUGUAAAAGGAUCGGAACCUCUCACGCGGUCUCACCACUAUAUUUGGAAUUGGAAAUUAACCGUGAUUUGGAUGACUUGAUUUUAAAACAAAUUAUUUUAAAUUAUUUGGAUGACCUAGUUCAGAUGAUCCAAAUAGUGACGUAAUAACCUGUUUUCUCUAUUUUAUUAAAAGAAUUUUAGUUUAAACCAUCAUAGAUUUAGAAUUUGUUUGGCUAAGAUUAACUUUGUAACUAUUUCCAUUCUGACUGGAACAAUCAAUUAAUAUGCUUUCAAAAUAGAUUGACAAAGAAAAAACCAAAUAAGUUUUAUAUAAUCGUUUACGGCCGCGACGACUUAACAAUGUUAUAAAAUCGCAAAAUAGAUGUUUGCUCACGAAUAAAAGAGUUCCGUGUAAUCAUGCCAGUUUAUGAUUAUGGAAAGGUCACGGUCUCUGAUUUCUCUAAAUGAUAACUGUUUUUUAAUUAGAUGAAAAUUAGUCGUAACAAUAGUGACUUAACUAAGAUUAGGCAACGUAGGGUCCACGAGAGGGGAAGAUCAAAUAAAAAAUAGUCAACGAGGUUUUGACAACAUAUGGAUUUUGAAAUAACAUGUGUUUACCUAUGGAUUUGAAUCCUUCUAUUUUUCUCUUUCAAUUCCAUUCAAUUCCAUUUAAAACAUAAUUUGGAUUCUCAAAUCCAAAAACAAAUGACUAAACGAAUAACAUAUGAUUUUAACUAGUAUUUAUAAAUCAUAGAACUAAUAACACAUGAAUUUAAUUAGGAUUUUAAAAUCAAUAAUUUUUGUUUGGAUUUCUAAUUCCAUAUAAAUCCAUCAACCAAUAACCCUCCUAAGAUUAAGCAACGUAGGGUCCACGAGAGGGGAAGAUCAAAUAAAAAAUAGUCAACGAGGUUUUGACAACUGGGACCUACCUCGUAGACUCCUUCGCUGAAACGACGUCAUACUUGUCGGAUUCCCUAUCCCGCUAAGACUUCUUGUCUUGUCCCCCUUUGCCUUAAAUUAUUAUUUUAUGUCUCUUAUCACUUUUAUACUUCUUCUUUUUUGUUCAUCAAGUAAGAUUUCAGGCUUUUGUUUUCGAUUUAGGUUACACAUAUUCAAACUUAUCUAUAUAUACAUCAGAAUCUAAAUUAAAGUAAUUUGAUCAUGUUUUUGCUAAUGUUGUCCUAUAUCUUUGGACAUGUACAUAUUUCAUUGGAAAAUUACUGAAUUAUUGUUUUGUCUCUCAUGCGAUAGGAAAACAUUUUAUCACACUUACCUUUCAAAUUAUACCCAAAAAUAUGACAAUUUUAUUAUAUACAUUAUCUUGUAGAUAACCGAGAAGUUUGACAUUUCCUUAAAACGUUACGUGCCGUCAAGAAUUGGCAAAGCCACUCCCAACUACUCACAAAUUACAAUCCAUAAGUCAUAGCCAAGAUAACCCUUUAUGAAAUACAAAUGUUUAAAAAAAAAAAAAAAAAAAUACAAAUGUUUAUUAUUCAGGAAAAUACAAUUUUAAAUACUAUAAUCUGUACCACGAAAAUAGCUUACUUUCUAGGUACUAUUUUUUCUUUACCAAAUCUGUAAAAAGCAAAAGUGAUUUGAAUUUAAUCAGAAACGCGUAUUAUAGAUUGUGUAUAUUUGUAAGUUAAAGGGCAUACAUACCUUUUUAAUGCUAUUUUAAUAUUAAUCUUAAUUUCAUACUUCAUAGACUUUGGAAAUAAUUUCAUUUUUCUUGAAUUUAUAUUUUUGAAGGCAGGGAAUUGUCAAACGUAAAAAGCGUAAGCCACCCACUUAACCACUAGGAAAGCAGAUUUGGUUACUGAAUUUUAUUCACACCUAAUAAGGCUCAAUCAAGUUUUGAUGGGACCUAAGUUGACCCAGAACGCAUUUUCACACCCAUAAUAAUAAUACUAUGACAAAACUUAUAAUAUCAUACAUUUUAUUUAUUUUAUAUAUAAGGGAAUCUCAAUAUUCGAGUACAACACGGACCAUUGAUCAUGGAAUCUAAAAGACUAGAUCAUGUACAUCAAUAGGAAUUUUGGUUUCAAGUACUGUCAUGCUUUGUGUUGUGUCGUCUAAAUCAGACAGGACAAAAAACUGAUCCUUUGGUUGCUCAUUGGGUAUAACCGAUGAGUAUUUUUUCUUCUGUUGUGUGAAUUCUACCAAGCAAUGGUUUUGAUGAUGAAAUUCUGCAUUAUAUCUGGCCUGCUCGUAUGUCCCGGUCUAUACGUUCUGCAUUAUAUGUACCCGGGAGUUCUCUAAAAUCCUCGUUGAAUAUGGAAUAUGCGCUGCCAAAGAAAGCAUGAAAAACGACCGUACUUAUUUCAUGGCUUAAAACUCAAUAAUACUCAUGAGGAUACCACUUUACAGCUAAUAAGAAUACUAGCAGAAUCUUAUGCUUCCAGAAUCCUAAGACCUUUUUGUCCACAUUUUUCAAAUUACCAAGGAUGUUAACGUUUUAGAUGAGUGUAUUUAUUUCUCCCAAUAACCAAGACUUUCCUCUUCUUUAUUUUUUGAAUAUGGUAUCAGGAUUGCAGCAAACAUCAACCAGAGUCGUGUACAAUCACAAUCCUAAUCCAGUGAGUUGCUAAUGUCAGUCUGAUAAACGGAGGCUAAAGUAUUUUUUAGAAAUGUAUAUACCUGACAUCACCAGGCUGACGUUUACCAAGAUUGAGCAAGAUGAUUGAAAAGCCAGUCCCUAGUAUCUGAAACUCGUAAUAACGAAGAACCCCAUCAAAGGAAGUAAACAAGAUAUCUAUGUACACAAGAUGUCUCAUGAAAGCAUAUCCAAUGGCAUUGCGAAAACAUGAGACAUUUUCAGGAAUCCAGACAUUGAAGAUGAAGAUGACUUACAAAUAUAGGGCCCAGGUCCCACCGAUGUGCAAUAGGCGCCAAGAUAAACCACAGGAUGAUAAUAACCCACAUCUUUAGACUUAAAGAGAAAAGUCCCAUAAGAAUGAUAUCUAGAAGAUAUAUAUCACACAACACAAAUCAAUAAACUAUUGUUUCAUAAGUUCUUGGAAAUUGCAGAGGAUGCGUGCUAAAGAUUAAAGAGUUCUCACCUGGAAGCUUCAACUUGUUACGCAGAAAGUAGUAGAACUUCCUCUUCCACCGGCUUGCUGACGGUGGGAGCUUAAACUUCUGCAAUGCCAAAAUAACCAAAAGAGAUUUUAGAAGGACAGAAACUAAAAACCAAUCUUUACGAGUUAAAAACAUCAUCAGAUCAAACAUCGAUAAUAUUACCAAAUCAUCAUCAUCAUCAUCAUCAUCAAAGGUCUCAGCUCCAGCUGGUGGAUUUGGUAUUACAGCAACGAUCAAGGAAUCUAAACAAUAAAACCAAGACUAGUCCAUAAUAUAAGACACAUUCAAGAAACACAGAUAAGCAGAGCAGUGAUGCUUAUAACAUUUUCAGCAGAAUCUGUUACCUUGGUCCUUGAGCGUAACGUAUAAAUCAUCUCCGUCUUCUUCGUCUUGCAAUGCCUUUCCACGAAGAAUCAUCCUCAAAUUUGAGACAGGAAAUUUACCCUUUUCCGCAAUUGCAUUUCUCAGAUCACGAACCUAAAAUCAGCCAAGGAUCAAUCAUUCUCUUCGUACACAGAAUUCACUUGAAAGAGAUAAAGAAGAAGAAAAGUCUUUACUUUGACAUGAGACGCCACUCGAAUUUGAGACGGUCGAGCUGGGCCGAUGGUUUUGUACGUGAUCUCGACGGUGCCAUUGUUGGUCGAAUCAGACCUCACCUUUUCGAUUGAAUUCACCAUCCCACCACAAAUCCGGUGCAAUUAAGGAGAAAUUGUGGAUUAGGGUUUCGAAUUUGGGGAUUUGAAAUACAGAGUUUGUUUGCUCACUCGCUCCUUCUCCGAUGACGGAGAGUCGACUUGAGUUUUCAAUAUUUCAUAUUUGUCCCUACAUAUAUUUUAAAUUCUACUUUAACCCCAAAAGCUUCAGAGAGGAUAAAAGCUCCAAAACUUUGAUGACAUUGCCCAUUAGAGAGAUUAUGGUCCAGCGCUCCAUCAUGUGCACAAUCUGCUGUUCUAUUUUGGGUGAAAGGACAAACAAAUGACAGUAAAUUCGAUUUCCAAAAGCCACAUUCAACACCCUAAAUCACAUUUCAGAGUCCAUCUCCAAUACAUGAAAAGAUAUAUAGGAAUUAGGAAUUAAUCAAAUAUAUGUUACUAAGAGCCAUUACUUUGUCCCUUGGAAAAGCAAUAAAAGGAACCCAAAAAAAAAGUAAUUGCAAGAGCUUCUCUGUCAAAAAGAAGGUUUGGGUUACACUUUUCAUACAGACCAUAGGCAUAGGAUGAGGUCUUCAAUUUCUGCCUUACAUAUCAAAAGAUAGAACACACACACAAAUAAAGCAAACAAAGAGAAUAUCUUUGAGAUCUCCUCUUUAUUUGGAGAAGACAAAACACAGAACAACAAGGAAGAGAAAGCAAAAAUGGCACUAAGAAUGUGGGCUUCUUCUACAGCAAACGCUCUCAAGCUUUCUUCUUCUGUUUCCAAGUCUCAUCUCUCUCCUUUCUCCAUCUCUAGAUGCUUCUCCACAGGUGUUUGUAAUUGUGGUUGUUGUGUGUUACAUCACUUUUUUCUGAAACUGUUGAUGAGUGUCUCUCUUGUUUCUUUUUUUUAGUGUUGGAGGGAUUGAAGUAUGCAAAUUCACACGAGUGGGUUAAACAUGAAGGCUCUGUUGCCACCAUUGGCAUCACUGCCCAUGCUCAGGUAACAAAUGCUCUCUCAGGUUCUUAUUUUUGUAAUCUAAGUGUGGAAAUAGCUCAGAAACUAAAUAGAUGUCUCUUCGGAGAAUGGUUAUAAAGAUGAUGAUAGAUUUGUAAGAUUAUUGGCUGAAAGGGGAGGAGACAUGACAUUGAUGUUGCAGGACCAUUUAGGUGAAGUGGUGUUUGUGGAACUGCCAGAGGAAAAUACUUCAGCGACCAAAGAGAAAAGCUUUGGAGCAGUGGAGAGUGUGAAGGCCACAAGUGAGAUCUUAUCACCGAUCUCAGGUGAAAUCAUUGAGGUUAACAAGAAGCUCACAGAAUCACCUGGCUUGGUACGGUUUUAAAGUCUUAAGGAAAUUAAGUAAGUUACCUCUCAUGUGACAACAUAUAAGCAAUGAUAUUUGGCAAUUGUGUGUUGUGUAGAUUAACUCAAGCCCCUAUGAAGAUGGCUGGAUGAUCAAAGUGAAACCGAGUAGCCCCGCGGAGUUGGAAUCUUUGAUGGGUCCAAAGGAGUACACCAAGUUCUGCGAGGAGGAAGACGCCGCUCACUAAGAGGGUUUCUCUCUGUCCUUUAUGUUCCAAAAUCUAUCAAUUCUCAUGCUUAUUUCCUAAAUUUGCAUACACUCUGUGACCAACAUCACAAAAUAAGAGUUCAAGAAGAUGAAACAGAGAUCUAACAAACAAAUUGAGAUUUUUUCCAUCAUAUAACUUCUUGUUAUCCUCAAAAUGCAUCUAACAUCUCCGCAAAGCCAGUCCAAUAAAAGAUGGCGAUCCGGAAAAGAAAAAGUAUUAAUAAAAAUUUGGUAACCUUAAAGAUAUAAGUAUAAGUUAUACUUUACUUUAAAAUAAAUGACUAGUCAUAAGAAAAGAAAUUGGCCAUCCAAAUAUAACAAUCUGCUCCAUUAUAUCACGUACUCAAGCUCGUAAGGCAAGUAAGUUAUGUCCCUAUUUGUCAAUUUGGUUGUAUCUACCGUUGACAAAACUGUAACAUCCAUUGUAGUAAAAAUUGGGCAUGAAAACAUACAUAACGACAUAUGAUAACAUACAAGGAACAUUGAAUCACGAAGCACACACACACAUAUAUAUAUAUAUAUAUAUAUAUAUAUAUUCAUAUGCACACAAACACAGAUAGAGAUGAACAGAAACACAUGACAUAACUGUCCAAUGGAGAUCAACCAGAAGAAGCUUUGGCUUUCUUUAAUUGUGCUUUAUGCAAUCACGACAUCGGUUUUGGGGGACUUUGGAGGUCCAUUACUGAAGGAUUUCUACAAAGAGAGUUGCCCAUUGGCAGGGGAAAUCGUGAGGCAUAACGUUGAGGUUGCUGUUCUCAAAGAUCCUCGUAUGGCUGCUUCUCUUCUCCGUCUUCAGUUCCACGAUUGCUUCGUCUUGGUUAGCAAAUCAUCCCUCUCUACUCUUUUUAUUUCCUCAUUUGCGAGUUUUUGCUUCUGUUCUCUCCGAGAUCAUAAAUUUUUCAAGUAGUUUUGAGGCUCUAAAUCUAGCAUACUUCUUGAAUAGUAUUUGAAUUUUGGUGUAUGAGAGUGGGAUUGUCUUAGUGCGUCGAUUUGAUGUUCAAAUGCGGGAUUAAUUGUGGGUUUAGGGUUGUGAUGCGUCUGUGCUCUUGGACACACAUGAAGAUAUGUUGAGUGAGAAACAAGCAACUCCUAAUGUGAACUCUUUGCGUGGAUUUGAAGUAAUCGAUUACAUUAAGUACCUCCUCGAAGAUGCUUGUCCUCUAACCGUCUCCUGUUCUGAUAUUCUCGCCAUGGCCGCUCGUGACUCUGUCUUCCUGGUAAAUUCCCCUUUUCUCCUUAAAUCGAAACCUAUGGGGUCAAUUUCCUUAAAACACAAAUAUUGUUUGGUAUUAUCAUCAGAGAGGUGGACCAUGGUGGGAAGUAUUGCUUGGGAGAAGAGACUCAUUAAAGGCAAGCUUCGCAGGCGCAAACCAAUUCAUUCCAGCACCAAACUCCUCCCUCGACAGCCUCAUCAUCAAUUUCAAGCAACAAGGCCUCGACAUUCAAGAUCUCAUCGCUCUUUCAGGCGCUCAUACAAUAGGUAAAGCGAGAUGCUUGAGCUUCAAGCAACGCAUUGUCCAGCCAAACAUUGAACAAACGUUCUACGUAGAUGAGUUCAAGAGACACAGCACAUUCCGCCGAGUGCUACGGUCACAAUGCAAAGAUUCAAGCCGCGACAAUGAACUGUCUCCACUGGAUUUAAAGACACCAGCUUACUUUGAUAACCAUUACUACAUCAACCUGUUAGAGGGGAAAGGGUUGUUGAUUUCGGAUAACGUUCUGGUCUCGGAAGAUCAUGAAGGAGAGAUCUUUCGGAAAGUUUGGGAAUAUGCAGUUGAUCAAAAUCUCUUCUUUGCAGAUUUUGUAGAGUCUAUGUUGAAAAUGGGGAAUAUUAAUGUUCUUACAGGCAUUGAAGGUGAAAUUAGGGAAAAUUGUAGAUUUGUCAAUGUCUAAAUACAAUAACAUCAAUCAUUACAAAUCAUUAAACAUCCACCAAGAAUAAUUACUGGGAUUCCAUUAUUUUUCUCCACGUAAAUUCUGAAAUUAAUUAUGAAAUUGGUCUGUAUGUUGGAAAUGCUUUCUGUUUCAAGCAAGUGCAAUGUCAAAUUAAUCUUAUCUUUGAAGUGAGGGUCUAAAGACUUGCGAAAUAACAAUUUCAAAGGGUCUGGGCAUCAGAUAAUCAUUGAAGUUAGCAUCACAUAGAAUCAGACGCAAAUUACCCAUGAAAUAUAAUUUCAUCAUCUGCCCAGUAAAACAAUAAGAGAAUCAAAAACCAAAUUCUUAAAAUCAACAAGAAAUUCGAAUUGUUCAUAAAUCUGAGUAUCAGUUCUCCAAGGUGAAUAAAACAUCAAUGUAAUUUCAGUCACAAAUAACAUCAAUAUAUGAGAUUCAUCCUAUACUCAGAUCCAAAAGGAACGAAUUAUUAAAGAUAAAAACGAAACAAUCAAAAUUGAAAACAAGCUUUAAGGAUUUAAUUUCAGAGUCGAUCAGAACCUGUCGAGAACACAAUUACAUCACAUAUAUCAGUGGAUUGACAGACCUGUGAAUUUCUAUCGUCACCUCGACUCUAAAUCCUUCAAUAAUCUAAAAAACAGAUUUUUUUCUCAAAAUCCGAAAACAAAUUGAGCAAGAAUAAAAAGAUAUAGAAAAGCUCAGAACUUCUUAGAGGGUUGUGUUAUACCGUCAACGAUGAAUUAACCAUCUCUGGCACACGAUUUUUUCCUCACAGCUCUUCUAUUAAAUCAAAUUUCAAUGAACAAAGAAGAAAAAAAACCUAACAGAAUAAUUGAGGCGGAACACGAAACUAUAGAGGCUUGUCUUAUAAUUUCGAUGUGAGUCUUGUAUAUAUACUAGUUGACACUAGACAAAUAGAAGAAGCCCUAAUUUGACUCAACUUAAUUCUUUUGGGCCUUUUUUUUUUUUUUGGGUUGGCCUUGGACUGUACAAUAUAAUGCGUAGAUUUGUCUGAUUACGAAACCCAUUAUCAAUUUGCACCUUGUUAAAAUACAAGAUAUAUUGAACUUUUAGAAACUUGUGUAUACUAUAAUCAAAAAUCGGUUCAAGACCAUUAGUGGAUCCAUAUAACUGAAAUGUGGAACAAAUAAGAAAAACCUAAGCUAUCAAAAGACAAAGCAAAAGCAAAUUUGGUGAAGCUUGCCGGUUAGAACAUAAACCGGGGUAGAUAAACUUUCUAAACCGACCCUUCACCCGUCUAACAAAACCAAGAAUCGUUCAAAUGGUUGGUUGCAAUGAGAGAUGUCAAAGGAAAAUGCUACUGACGGAACUAUCAUCAUGGACACGCCAAAUGGUCUCACCCAGAAGAUUAGCCACCGAUAAUAUUGUUAACUGCGGGAAGUAAUUCUUUUCUGCUACUGGUAAUGUGUUUGUCACUAUCACUUCUUGAAGCAAACCCCCUGAUAAUCGCUCUAUCGCUGGCGGGCUUCCAUUGAUUUAUUCGAAACCAAACCAAAACAAAAAUAAAAUGCUUUAGAAAGUAGUGAUUUUGAGACAGUUUAAGAACAAGAUGUAGGUUAAUGGUUUACCUGAAAACAGCAUGUGUGCAGCACGCAUAGACCUCCCUAGCACCUUCCUGGUGUAACAAAGCUGCUCCUUUUACAAUGGUUCCUGAAGAAAAUAAAAACAGAAAAAGAAUAGUUCAUAGAGGACUCAGCCCGAAAAAGGAGAACAGGUUUUCAGUAAUCUUGACUGGGAAUAGAGAGACUGAAAGAUUGGUUUGUCAGUAACAUGUUCAAGAGUAAGAUUUAGCCAACUCCAUGCUGAUUUACUAACCAGCGGUAUCAAUCAUAUCAUCCACCAUUACUGCCACCUUCCCUUUUACAUCACCAAUUAGGUUCAUGACCUGAAAGGAAAGUAUAACAGUGUGAAAUUGAGGGGAAGCAAGAGGUGUUGGUGAGAAAACUCUGACUUUGAAAGAAAGAAUAAACUACCUCAGCAACAUUGUGUCCUGAACGCCUUUUAUCGACAAUGGCAAGUGGCGCAUCUGAUAAUUUCUUUGCAAAAGCACGUGCCCUGGCUACUCCACCAACAUCAGGAGAAACCACUACCAAAUCCUCUGAGGAAAUUGACUUGCUAGCAAGAUAAUCAAGUAUCACCGGCUGAAACAAUUAAGCGCAUAACGGGUUAAAAGGUAUUAUAUACUCACAUACAUAAAGAGGGUAUCUAUCAAGAACGUGGCUUUAGAGGUGUACCUGGCAGUACACAUGGUCGACUGGAAUGUCAAAAUAACCCAUGGACUGUCCAGAAUGAAGAUCACAUGCAAGAACUCGAUCUGCACCGGCUUCAGUGAUCAAAUUAGCAACCAAUUUGGCAGCAAUGGAUUCACGCCCUUGUGUCUGCAAGCAGCAAAAGAAAACAUAAGAUGAAUUUAGUUAAGCAGAGAUUAACCAAAUAGCUUCAAGUUAUCGAAAACCCUCCAUAUCAAGUCAAAUUAGCUAAUCUAGAUAAGGCUAAAAAACACAAUUACCUUCCUAUCAGCUCUUGCAUAUCCAAAAUACGGAAUAACAGCUGUUACUUUCUUAGCUGAAGCUCUUCGGCAAGCAUCUACCAUAAUCAAAAGCUCCAUGAGAUUCUCAUUAGUGGGAGUGCAAGUAGGCUGCACCAAAUAGACGUCGCAUCCCCUAACGCUCUCUUGUAGCUGAACAUAGAUCUCUCCAUCAGCAAACCUCUUAAUAUUAACCUUCCCAAGCUCCAAACCCAUAUACCAAGCAAUUUCCUGAGCAAGUGCUGGAUUUGCAGUACCAGAGAACAACUUCAACCUGGUACUGGUUCUACAGACUGAUUUCUCCAUUCGAGCAGAUUCCAAGAACUUUGGAAGUGUCCUCUCAUUAAUAAUUGGGAUACUUGGAUUCCCGUUUCCCACAUUCAAUGACUCCGGCAUGUCACAUUUCUAGCAACAACAAGAAGAAGACUUAGUCAGAGAUUCAUCAUAUAGGUGUCAAUUUCAUCAAACGUAUGUAUUCUGACGAAAGGGACAACCUUUUUAUAGCUAUAUUCGCAUAAACAAACAAACAAACAAGAUUCUAACGAAAGAGACAACCUUUGUAGCUCAUGCACCAAUUAAAAUCUCAGAAAUUCAAAAUAGACAAGAUGGGUAAUCAGCAAUUCUAUGAAUAGAGAGUGACAUAAGGAAUUGGUCAUAGAUUCAUGAAAACUGCUUACAAAAGAAGCGAAGACAGAGUUUCGGGAGCGAUACUGAGAGGUUGUGACGGAUAGAGAAGAGUUAGAGAAGAAAGUUGAAGACGAAGAGGCUAGAUACGUCGGCGUUUUGGCGGCGGGAGGAAAAGACAGACCCAGAGACGCCAUUGUCAGCAAUACUUCACAUAAACCACCUCUGACUCACUGAAGCAGUCUCUUCCACAACGAAUACGGAAAAAUUAAGGUUUAGGGUUUUGAGGAUUGACGGUGUCAGAGUGAGAAGGAAGAAGGAAUGGCUUAAUGGUUCUCUUCUCUUCUUCUUCUUCUUUCUCGAAUUUGGAUUUUUUUCAGUUUUUAUUUUUGGUUUUGUAAGAAAUAAAUAGGAAAUGGUUUGGUUGGUGUGUAAACGACGUCGUUUAAUAUCGCAUCGUAUUUUGGAUUAAUGGAUUGGAGACGACUGGCUGGACUUUUCUUGGGAUAACUUUUGGUUUAAUUUGCAAUCAAUUCGAAACUCACUAGUCACUACAUUUUGUAAUUGUAAGAAUUCGAGUUUUGACUUCAAAGAGAAAAAUCAUGAAGAUUCAUCAUUUUUGUUUUUACAUUUGACUGCAAAUGUGGGAUUGGAAUUUGUUGGUAUACCAAAAAUAAUUAAUAUACGGUUUAUUCCUCGUGCCAUUUACCCUUCGGAACCGAAGUUGGUAGCUCCGGUUCACAAUUGAUUUAUCCCAAGAACCAAAACCGGUCCAGGAAAAAAUUAUCCUUUUGUUUUCGGUCUAAUCCAUUUCUCUUCGUGCCAAAGCUAACAAUGGCUGUUUUGGAAGCUGCUCUCUGCAUUUUCUCCUUCUCUUCUUCUUCUUCUUCCUCAAAUCCUUAUCUCUUUUGUAAACGGUCUUCUUCCUUAAAACCUACUGCUCUGAGUCUUCGACUUCCCAGUAAUCUCUCUCCCGUCUUCUCUCUUAAUUUCCCUCUACGUUCCGGCGGCGAUAACUCGCGGCGGCUCGUCUCCGUACUAUGUUCCGUCGCGGAGAAAGAAACAUCAGCAGAGGAAGAAACGUCGCAGGAGGAGAAGACUGAAGAAACCCAGAAAUCAAACCUGAAAAGGAAGCUUUUUGUAUUCAAUCUUCCUUGGUCUAUGAGUGUGAAUGACAUCUCCGAGCUCUUUGGACAAUGCGGGACUGUGAACAAUGUCGAGGUCUUUCUUCUUUCUCAAUUUCAUUUUAAUCUUUUUGUUGGUUAUUACUACGAAUUGGUUUACCUAAGUUUUAAAGAUUUCCCCAGAUUAUAAGGCAAAAAGAUGGGAAGAACCGAGGAUUUGCUUUUGUAACUAUGGCUUCUGGAGAAGAAGCUCAAGCUGCUAUUGAUAAGUUCGAUACUUCUGUAAGCUCAAAUCUUAUUCUUCUCUUAUGAACUGUGUUCUUAAUCCAAAAUCCCUUAGAUUCUUCUCUGAUUGAGUUUUGUUUGUUCAAUUUCAAAGCGUGGAUAGUUCUAACUAGUAAAGCAGACAUUGUGUUGAGUUGUUAGCUGAGCAUUGAUGUUCUUCUAUGUUGUUUGUUUUCAGCAAGUGUCUGGGAGGAUCAUAAGCGUAAACUUUGCAAGAAGGUUCAAGAAGCCUACUCCGAAACCACCCAACGAUCUUCCUUCUCCUCCCCCUGGAGACACUCGUCACAAACUCUACGUAUCUAAUCUCGCUUGGAAAGCAAGGUCAACACAUCUACGAGAGCUUUUCACUGCUUCUGAUUUCAACCCAGUCUCGGCUCGGGUUGUUUUCGCUGACCCUGAAGGAAGAUCUUCCGGCUAUGGCUUUGUCUCAUUUGCUACUAGAGAAGAAGCUGAGGAUGCAAUCGCCAAACUCGAUGGGAAGGUAUAAAGUUCUCGUUUUUCAUUAUUAAUUUCCAAGCUACUAUUAGAAAGUUUGCUUCUUUAGCUCUUGAGCAUGUAAAGUGUUUCAUUACAAUUUGGUUUUUCUAUAGGAGAUAAUGGGCAGACCUAUCAUUCUCAAGUUUAGCUUGAGAAGCGCCAGUGAAUCUGAAGAUGGUGACACUGUAGGAGACAACAACACUUCUGAAGAUGGUGACACUGUAGAAGACAACACUUUUGAAGAUGGAGACACUGUAGAAGACAAAAACACUUCUGAAGAAAAAGGUGUGGAGUGACUCUUAUUAUUUUCUCUGUUAUCCGAUAGAGAGCAUGAGAAUCUGACUACAGAUCUUAUUACAGUUUUGAAAUAGCUACUGCUACAAAGAACACAAAAAUGAAGAUGUAACAGAAUUUCACUAAACUAGACUUCAAUCCUGCUAAUGUGUGAUGAAUCACCAAACCAUCCAGCUCCAUCAUACCGAGUAAGUUCGUCAAACGAGUCACAGCUUCCUGUUUGGUAAUGCCUUCUUUUGGACUUCACAUUGACAUCCGUAGUCUUAACCAUGAAAUGUCCAGUAGAAUGUGACCUCGAGAAUCGCCAAGCCGAGGCUUCCAUUAGCCUUUUACUUGAACCUGUGGUAGGAGGGUUUUCCUCAUCAUGGUUUAUGUCCGGAAUAGUGAUUGUGACUGCGUUGUGCAAAGAUUCAUGGCUUCCAGAUCCGAUCAUGCCAGGAUCAAGCUCACACCGGCAAACAGGACAAGUCUUGUGUAACUCAAACCAAAGAUCAAUGCAAUUUGAAUGAAAGGGAUGACGACAAACCGUUAUGAGCCUAACUGUGUCUUCAUCUGAAAACUCUGACAAGCAAAUAGCGCAUUCCGUCCCGUGAUUUUUCAUUGUUGCAGAUGAAUAAGGGAACACGGGAAAGGACCGGAUGAUAAAUGGAUCAAGGCCGGGUUUUUCAGGCGGAGUGGCCACAUGGAUUAGGUCACUGUAAGGUGUUUGCUGAAGAUUCCAAGCUGAAAACAAGCGAUUCAGAAGAAAUCGCCAGAAGAAAAGAGAGAAGAAUCCAGCGAAAAUUACAAAGAGAAGAACGCCGAUCAAAACUAUGGUGAUGGGCAUGGAAACGGUAGGAAAAACAUCAGUAGUUGGUAUUGAUGUUGUUGACGACAUUUGAAGAUUGAUAACUCCAGAUCAGAGAAACCCCAAAUUCUACCAGUUUAGUAGAUUGUUUGGAAAAUAAGAAAAGUUUGUUCUAAGAAUUUCUUGCGAGAGAAGGAAUAUUGUUCAAGUUAAUAGAGAGAAAUGAGGAGAAGGACGUGGCUCUGUCCGAGUCACAGAGACAGAAGUGGCUUUGCUUAGCAUUUUGAGCGAGUCUUCUGUGACCAACGAAAAAACAAAUUUAAUUGUCUUAAUGUUAAAAAUAACUCGAAACAAGUCAAAACAGAAAAAAAAAAAAAAAAAGAGUGUAAAAUGAUAGAUAAUAUUGACCGAUGGAAACAAAGAAAAAGGUACCGAUGAUGAUCCGGUUUAUAAGUACGAAACAUAAUUUAGUUCGGUUUGAUCAGCUACAAGAUUAGAUAUAGGAUUAUUGGUGAAGAAGAUUAUACAACAACAAAAAGAUGAGUGAGUUUUUGUCUUUGUUGAGUCACAAUCUACAAGAACAAAAGAGAGGUAAAGCCAAAUCUGUCACAUAGUUACAACUCUAAAAAGCUAUACCUUGGUCAACAAUUCUGUGAAAAUGCAGUGGCGUUAUUCAAUAUCGUCGAUCCAAUCACCAUAAACCCGACUGAUUUUAUCCGGUCCUUUCCAUUUCCGUUGAGUUCUGACACCGUUGGGUUUCUGAGUAACGGCACUAGAUAUCCGUUGGGACGGGACUCCAGGAGAAACAAGGCUAGUCACUGUAUCUCCUUGUCCUGUCUGCAUUGUGUCCGGAGUGGUGGAUGUUCCGAUCUUACCUUCUUCUUCAACGAGGCCUCCACCAAAUCUAUGCAACUCUGCACAAUUUACCAUAAAGACUCAAACUUUUAGCCAGCGAUAAUUGAAACUUUCAGCAUUUCCAUGGCCAUUAAGAUAACAAGCAGAUCAAGAAUUUGUUCCAAUCGGAAACCGAUUGACAUCACGCUAACCAACCUGCAAUGGCAAUGAACCACAAGGAAACAUUUCAACCAUGUCCCGCAUGGAAACAUUUCAACCAUGUCACUCGAUCCACUCUUAAGUCCAUUUAUAGACAUUUUCACCAAUCCAUUCACCAAGCACCAUUGAUCAGAAUUUCCUAAGGAGGUUUUUAGCUAAGGAAAAGGCAGAUAACUGACGAAAAGGCACCCACAGUCCAUUGAAAGAAUCCUCAAGGAAACCAGUGCCACUACAUGUACAACAAAACAGACUCAAGCUACUAAAGAGUAGUUCUUGUGAUCAAACAGUUUCUUCUCUCAGUCCAAAGAUUCAGCAUUCACUAACCUCUAGUGACAUUCUAAUCUCACAAUCUAUCAAGCAACACAGCUUAAAAGCCACAUUUUUAAGCGCAUUGCAGUUACUAAUAGACGAAAAAAGGUCUAAGCUUUACCUGAAGCUCCAUGAGCAAAAUGGCAGUUAGUACCAAAAGGACAAUACCCAGUAGUCUCCCACUUAUUGCAAAUCCUUGUCUUCCAAUUUGGAGGUUUCAAAGUCUGAGCAACAUUGCUAGCAUCACCAUAACCACGAGGACCUAAACUAAUCGCAAAGCUUUCUCUGUUUCUUGAAGCCUCGUCGUGUAGAAACGUACAGCUUUCUCCGUAAGGACAUCCUUCUCCACUCAUAAACUUCUUGCAAUGUCUUUCCUUGUACAAUCUUCCACUCUCCGCCGUCUCCUGCCGAUUGGGCGGCGGCGGUGGACGCCGGAGCUCUUCGGAGCUGUGAGCAAAGUGGCAAGAGUUCGCGGCGUACGGACAAGUUCCGGAGCGGAAUUUGAAGCAGAGCUUCGUCUUGAAGAACGAUUUCCCGAUCUCGGAGGAGGACGAUCGUGUCUUCUUGCUCGGAGACUCCGUAUCAUCGGGGUUCACUGAACAGACGCGGUUGUAAUCAUCCUCAGUGGCCCAGACGGGAUUGUUGCCGGAAUUGGGAAACCAAUUAUCCGGCGGAGGGUCGUUGGCAAUUCUCACGUGAACUGCAUCGCUGCCGGAAUCUCGCCGGUGACUCAUCACGUCGACCAAGAAACCCUAAAACCCAAAUUUAGUAACCCUUGAGCACAAAUCUUCGAUUCUAGUAAGAGGAAAAGCUGAGAAAUUUCGUGAACCCCAGAGAUGGAUGAUCUAGAAACGCAUUAAAUGUAUCGACAAAAAGUUAAAGAAGAGGGAGAGUAUGAAAAUGUGGAAAAUGAAGUACAAAAGAAAGAGAUAGAGACUAGAGAGUGUAGAUGAAGAGGAAGUAGAAAGUAACGAGUAAGGCGAUUAGCUAAAAUUAAAUAUGGUUGCAGAAAAAUUAUACAAAGAAUGUUCUGAAAGCGAAAUCUUGGUAAAGAUAUUGUUAAUUUGGAUUGGCUAGAGUAUAUUGGAGUUUAUUUAAAUCAGUAAAAAGAAAAUUCAAAGUUCCAUUGACAAAACUAAUAAUUUAAAGACAGUGUCUAAGAAAGACUGGAGCGAAAAUUGAACAAAAUGAAGGGAACAACAACAAUUGUUCAUGUAUGCGGUAUGAAUUAAUAAAACAAGAGUCGAAUGAUAAUUAAAUUGAAUGGUAAUUAUAACAAAUGUGAUGUGAAUAAUAUUUUCUAUAAUAAUUAUCAAACUUAAAUUAAUCUUUCUAACGUUUUGGCUAAGCUAAAUAAUAUUUUCUUAAAUCAAUUCUUAUUAUUCAGAUUUUGAAGGUUUUUUUUUUUUCUAAAAAAAUAACAGUUAACCUCACCUAAAAACCCUAUAAGUGGUGCGUUUCACAAACCACAUGCGGAAUUUUUUUCAUUUUUUUGCACGUUUACGUCAUGUGUGUCUCAUGCGAGUCAACUUCGUUUGUUUGUUUGUUUUCUUUUUUAUUAAGGACUUCGUCUGUUCUCUUUGUUAUAUAAGUAAUUUUCUAAUGAUGAACCGUGUAUGAUUUAAUUUCUUUGUUGAAUGGCAACAUAUAAAACGUGCGGUUGUAUUAAAACCGUGUCUUCCCACGUUCGGCCAUUGAUUUAAGAAUUUUGGUCAACCCUCAUCGAUCGGCUGUUAGUUGGUUCAUGGUUUAUUAAAAGAGUUGGUUCAUGGUUUAUUGAAAAGCAUGGUGACGAACUCAUUGAUUGGUUCAUGCAUGGUUUAUUAAAAAGCAUGUAAUGUGAUGGGUGAAGCACGAGCGUAUAAUCAGGCGUGUUGUCACGCAGACUGGGGUCAUUGGUCAAGUGGUAACAAUCAAAAUAGGUUCAGCCAUAUAUAGAAGAUUUUUUAAGUGUUUAUUAUGCUUUAACUGGCAUGAAAUAGUUUUAUUGUUUAUUGUAUGCCGAAUCACACGACACACGUUUAGUAAGAAUUGUUGAGCAUUCAUCAGCUCCAAUAGAUUAAGGAUUCAUAUAUCUUGAGUCGGUAAGAUCUAAUGUUAAGUUAUAUACCAUUAAUAAACUACCGCUGCUAAUAAGAUUAUGCAUUUUGGUUUUAAAGGAUACGUACACAUGUAAAUUAUUAACAACCCCUAGCAAUGUAGCAAUGUAGCAUAGUCUAAAUUAUGCCUAACUAUUUCAAUUUAUUUAGUAUCGUGCAAGUAAGUUGAAGAAGCUAAUUAAUUAAUGAUGGGACAUUUAAAAUGUUAUAUUUCUUUAUGAUUUGUGAACAACAUAACAUUAAGUUUGAACAAAGUUCAUGUUUGUGAAUCGUGCCAUGUGAAACUUUGUUUAAAAAGUAGUCUCUGAUUUUUAUAUCAAAAGAGUCACCACGUUUAUAAAUCAUCUCUAUACUAUUAAAAGAGAAGUACAAAUGAAAAUGGGUCGGGUUAAAAUCAGAAAAUUGACCCGAAAUUCUGAAAUCGGAUCUUUGAAAUUUUUUUGGAAUAUAAAUUCGAAUUAAUAAUGAAAAAUCGAAAUAAAAUCAAAUAUUUAUGAAAAUCAAAUAAAAUCUGAUUGUACUUAUGGUAACUAAUAAUAAAAGCAUAUUCCAAAAAAUAUUAUACAUUAAUUACGUAUAAUAAAUUUGUUCAUAUAUUUUUGGGACUAAUUCUAUAACAAUCAACGUUUUUGUCAUUAAUUUCGCUCAUUUUAGCCAAUUAUCAUUAAUUAAAAGAUAUUUUACUUGCUUCUAAAGAUUUCUAGAAAAUUUAUCACAAAUAACCCAUCUGUUUUAUAAAUUAAAUUGAUAUUUUUAUUUUGGUCGUGUAAAUUAAAUAGAUAUUUUUAUUUUGGUCAUGUAAAUUAAAUAGAUAUGAAAUCCAUGUAACUAAUUUUAAUUUAAUUAGAUUAAAUCGAAAUUACGAUAUUUUCAUACCUAUAGCUUACCAAAGAAGUUUAAUUUUCAAUUUAUAAAGAUUUCUUGAAUAUGAUUUUAGAAUUAUUCAACAAGAUGAUAAGUAUUUAUUAAAUUUUGUGAAUCAUGAAAAAUAAUAAUUAAUUUUUAAUCAUUAUACUUCAUCUAACAAAUAAGAUACAUAUUCUAUUAUUACUAUGUCCAAACUUCAUUUUGUUGUAUGACUAAAUAAUAUUUCCAUUAGAACUGUCAAAGCGAGUUGAUUCGUCCCGUUAAGUCCGUUUUGCGAUAAACAAAAAAUAUUUUGACUUGUAGUUAGUCGGUCUGCACGACCCGCGUGUAGCAUAUAUGAAAUACAAACCCGUCCCGCGAAUGUAUGCGGAUUUGCGGGAUUGUCCAUGGAUUUUGUUUAAAUAAUUUUAAAGUAACCAAAAUUUAAAAUACUACUAAAAUAAAUAAAUAAAUCAAAAUACUAUUAAAAGUUUUUUUAAAUUACCAUAUAUUGAAUAAAUUAUAAUUUUAUCAAUAAAUACUAAUAUGCGGGCUGAUCCGCCAACCCGCGGAUGAAAACCGACUAAACCUAUGACCCACUGGGCCACUGCGAAUUAAUCCAUGUGGCCCGCUUAUUUGCGGGUUUAAUAUAUUUUCCCAAAUCUGCCCCAUAGUGAGAUGAUGUGGGCUCGACCCGCGGUUUUUUGACCUAUUUUGACUGCUCUAAUUUCCAUGAAUCGUCUAAUUUUAGAAUUUUAAAACACAAAAUUCUAUUUUGUAAAUCAUAAUUAAUACGAUGGGUAUAUUUAUAAACAAUUUUACAUUUUCUCUACAAUUCGUUAUUAUGAAUAUUUAUAAGUAUACUACACGAUUCGUUCUACUAAAAAACACACACAAUAUUAAACGCAACGUAUGUAAACCAAUAUUCUCCCGCGGUGGACCGCGGGUCCGAUCCUAGUAUAUUUGAAAAUGCUAGAAAACUGAUAAGACGAAGAUUCAAUCUCGUACAAUGCGCCCGUUAUCUUUUACCAGGAUCACAGAUCACGUACGAGAUACCGGAUCCGGUUUGGGUGGAGAUACACGCACGUUGGUUGGUGAUGGCAAAUAUGUAAAUAGAUGGAACUUACAUGGUAGAACAAAGACUUGGUUUCAAACUCGCUGUACUUAUUGUUAGAUUAAAAUCUUUAUAUAUAUUUGUAUAUAUGUAAUAUCUUUAGGAAUAGAUUUGAUCUUAUCACAUGUAACACUAUAUAUAUAUAUAUAUAUAUAUAUAUAUGACCAAUACAUAAACGGAGAUUCAUACCAUCUUUUACACUUAUUAAACAGAGGUGCAUGAGAGAAAGCUUCUUCACUUUUACUACUUCAUCUUCAUCAAUGGCUCUCUCUGCGUCAACCGAGACAGAGAUCAUUACCAGAUUCCAGACAUACCUUCGAAUCAACACCGUACAGCCGGAUCCUGAUUACAUCGCAGCCGCAAAUUUCAUUAUCUCCCAAGCUAAAUCAAUCUCUCUCGAAUCUCAAUCGAUCGAGUUCGUUCCAGGAAAGCCGAUCGUUCUCCUGAGAUGGAGUGGAACAGAUCCUUCUUUACCUGCGGUUCUUUUGAAUUCACACGUCGAUGUCGUCACCUUUGAGGAAGAGAAGUGGACUCAUCCUCCGCUGGGAGCAGAGAUAGACGAAGAAGGCAAAAUCUAUGCAAGAGGAACUCAGGAUAUGAAGAGCGUUGGGAUGCAGUACUUAGAAGCCAUUCGCAAGCUUAAAGCCUCUGGAUUUGAGCCGCUUCGAUCCGUUUAUGUCACGUUCGUUCCCGAUGAAGUGAUUGGAGGCGUUGAUGGGGUUGCUAAGUUCGUGGAAUCGGAAACCUUCAAGAACAUGAACAUUGCCAUCGUACUCGACGAAGGUAAAUAUCUAAUCCUCAACACAUAUAUUACAACUGCCUAGUUUAAGAAGAUAGGUUGCAUAAAAUUAAUUGUUGUACGUAUAUUGGUUACUAGCUAGAUUGCUUGUGGAUAAGGAAUUUACAAAUAUUUUUGAACUUCAUAUAGGGAUGUUUUUAUGAUUAUAAAUGGGUGUAUAUAUAUUAGGUAGUUUAAAUGUAUGUAAAAAGCUUCAUUUUAUGAUCUAGAGGGUGUUGGUUAUAAUUGAGUUUACGCUAAUGUUAUUUUAUAUAACUAUGUAUGUUAUUAAGUGUGUUGUAAAGUCAAACGGUAUGUGUUAACCGUGAUUACGAACCGUUGUUAGUUUAGGAAGUUGCAUUAACGGUUGCUUUGUGUCUUUAGGGAAACUACAUAAGGUGGAUGUUAUCUUAUUGUACAAGUUGUUGAAAAUAAUAGAGAAGUUUUCCACUUUUUCAUUCUCUGUUUUUUCUCUACCAUGCUCUGUACUUGAAGCUAUAUAUGGCUUCUAGUGUAAUACAAGAGCAAAACUUCAACAGAGGGAAGGUACACAUUAAAUUAGUUAACAAGAAAACAAAAUGUUGUGUUUCACUUGACUAAUUUGACGUUUUCUUUUUACAAAACAAAGAUAUAUAUAUUUGACCACAUUUUGACCAUAAAUAAAUAAAUUUUGACUACAUAAGACAUAACAAAUAGUUUAUGGUGAUGAAUGGAUCAGGUUUACCAUCUCCAACUGACAGCUACAGGGUGUUUAAUGGAGAGAGGAAUGCAUGGUCGAUCCAGAUAAAAGCUGUAGGACAACCUGGCCAUGGCUCAAAGCUCUACGAUAAUUCAGCCAUGGAAAAUCUCACUAAAAGCAUUGAGAGUAUAAUGAGGUUCAGAGCUUCUGAGUUUGAUCAGCUCAAAACUGGUUUGGAGGCUGACGGCGAUGUCGUCUCUAUCAACAUGGUUUACCUCAAAGCUGGCACUCCUACUCCAGAUAAUGUAUUCUUCUCUCUUUCUUUCUUUCUUUUUUCACACUUGGUGACCAAACAUUGGUCUCUGUGGUUGAACCUGACAAUUUUUGGACCUCUUUUGAUAUAUAAAGGGCUUUGUAAUGAAUCUGCAACCAUCUGAGGCCGAAGCUGGUUUCGACAUGCGUGUCCCACCCGAUGUUGAUUCUGAAGAACUAGAAAGGCGUUUGGUGUUGGAAUGGGCAUCUCCUGCCCGGAACAUGUCCUUUGAGGUAAUUUUCUUACUACUUUAGCCAGAGUUUAAGAAAGAAGCCGUGUAUCUAUAAAGAGUUCUCUCUGUAUGUCAGCUAUGGCGGUCUGACCAGGGUAUACCCAAGAAGCACUUAGUUACGGCAAAAGAUAAUUCGAAUCCAUGGUGGGAACUCUUGGAAAAUGCUGUGAAAGAAGCUGGGGGGUUGAUUAGUGAGCCUGAGAUUUUCCCUGCAGGAACAGAUUCUCGGUAUUUCCGGAGAGCAGGUUUGCCUGCCAUUGGCUUCUCUCCUAUAUCAAAAACACCGAGUUUGCUACAUGAUCACAACGAGGUACUGUCAUCUUUGUAGAUAUUAGAUCCUUGAGUUUUGCUUAAUUAUUAUUUUGUGGAUCGUCACACCUCUCAAGAGCAAUUUCUAACGCCUUUCUUUCAUCUCACCUUUUUGCAGUAUGUGAGUCAAUCUGAGUACUUGAAGGGCAUUGAUAUGUAUGUCUCAAUCCUCAAGGCUUACACAUCAUAUGCCUAACCAGAAUUUUGAAAGAUGAUCAGUUACGUUGUAGGGUCUGUGACAAACACAGUCACUUGGUGGUAUAUCAUCAAUAAGAAUAAAAUUCAGCUAUAUAUUUAUGCUACCACGUGAAUUUUGUGGUAAUCAAACUUGCAUUUGUAAUCAGACAAAAAGGCUUUCCAGAAGUAAGCUUUGCUGCAGCAAACUUGUUAUUAUUGUUUUUCUCAACCAUCCCAAUGCUAAGAGUUGUCACCGGUGCAGCUUUGCACAACCUCCGUUCAAGUUUCAAUUUGUGAGCUUGGAAAACACAUGCAUAGCCCCCACAAUCUCAGAAUCUUAAUAACCAUAUCUAGGUAAAGUCAUUAAGACAAAGGCCAAAACCAGUUUCUCGCGCGUUUAGUGUCACAAAGAAUCCUUUAUAUAAUUGUCAAGAACUUAGAAGUGGCCCAAUAAGAAUCUGUCACAGAGUCAUGAGGCAACGUGCGUAAAACAAGCCCUCAAAAUUAAUACUAGCUAAUAUAUAACCAAGACUCAGAUCAGCCAGCUUUAUUCGCCUUAAAAGAUCCAAACCCUCAUAAAUGUCGUAGCAAAUCCACCAAUAUAUAAUCAAGUUAUAAAUGAUAGUAGUGAUCUAAGUGAACCUUGUAGUAGUUAAAAAAUAACGAAUUUUUAACCAACUUUUAUCAAAAAAAAAUAACGAAUUUUGGGUGGAGGGGGGACGCACGUGCAUGAUGGCAGUUAUCGUAAAUAGAUGAAACUUACAGUUACGAACUUACUACUUAAUAAAGCUGCUAGAGAGGAGCUUUCUUGUUCAAUCUUCACCAUUCUUCUGUUACGAUAUCGAGGAGCUUUCUUGUUCAAUCUUCACCACUAAUCUUCUGUUACGAUCGAGAGGAGCUUUCUUGUUCAAUCUUCACCAUUCUUCUGUUACGAUCGAGAAGCAUUCUUGUUCAAUCUUCACCAUUCUUCUGUUACGAUAUCGAGGAGCUUUCUUGUUCAAUCUUCACCAUUCGGAGCUUUCUUCUUCAAUCUUGACCAUAUAUCCUUCUGCUACUUGGUCUUUUCAUCAAUGGCGUCUAUAGCUGAGCAAGCGAUCAUCGUUUCCAGGUUUCAGGAAUACCUUAGGAUUAACACCGUACAGCCAAAUCCUAAUUACAUGGAAGCCGUACAAUUCAUUUUCCGCGAGGCUCACUUAAUUGGUCUCCAAGCUGAAUCCAUCGAAUUCGUUGCGGCUAAACCGAUCGUUCUCCUGAAAUGGACUGGAUCAGAUGAAUCGUUACCUGCGAUUCUCUUGAAUUCGCACAUCGAUGUCGUUUCCUUUGAAGAAGACAAUUGGGAUCGUCCUCCGCUCGGAGCAGAGAUAGACGGAGAAGGCAAAAUCUACGCAAAGGGAA